rnacentral:lncRNA from 1 species
AUAUAUACAGAGAGUGAGAGUGAGUCCUUAAUUAUAGAAGUUUCUUAACCAAUAUAUGAUUCCCUAUACAAGUGGAAACAAAUAAACCAUGACAAAUUAAAAUUGAAUUUUGAGAUUCUCAAAAUUUGUAAAUAUAGCUACAAACAAAUUGAUUAAAACUAUAUUUUUGAGUAUUGAUCAUCAGGCUUCAUAAACUAAUUUAAUUAAUGGUGUCAUAUGUCUAGCUCUCAUUAGGAUAAUUCCAGGAUUCAAUCAAUCCAGAAAGGAUAGGAUAUGGCUCCCAGCCUUCAUAUCAACCACAUAUCAGCAACAAGAACAAAACGAAGCAACACUAAUCAUUCCCUUUCCAUGAUGUGAUAAUUGUGGUAAAACGGAGAGGAGCAAUUGGUGGAGAUUGAAAGAGAAAUGUUGGAUUGUAUCAAUUGUCCUGCUCUAAUUUGCAUUUCCCAUGCUUUUAUUUUGUUAUCAAUAUGGAAGGAAAAUAUCAAGGUGGGUGCUCUUUCAGUAUCUCUUUUUCUUUCUAUUUAAUUUCUCUUUGUUUUCUACUUCUUCCCUUCUUCUUCAAUGCUCUUAUUGGUGGCCAUUAAAAAUGUGUAGGAAAACGACUAAAAAAAAAACUAUGGAAUCAUCAACUACCAUUCAAACCCAAGUAUUUAAAUGCUCCAACUCACCUCUUAAUUUGUUUUAGUUACUGCAUGUUUUCCCCAUAACCCAACAAAACAUAGUUGCAAUUAAGAGAGGAAUCCGACAUGAGGACGCACCGACAGUUCUAGAUUAACCUCAAAAGAAAGAAAAAAAAAAUCAGCAUAUUUUUUUAACCUAUCAUUAGAUGUUUAAUAACAAAUUAAUGUGUUAAACAAAUACCGGGGCUUGCUUCUUGUGCUUGACAGCGGUUGGUGGGCUGUGCCAACAAGCCCCAAAAAGUUGCAUGUGAUUAUGGGACCAACCUCUCAUGUGCAAGCUCUCCUUUUCAUUAAUUGUCAUGAUUAAAUUUUGGGUUCACCAUUAAAUGUUGUCUCCGGUCCCGUAAUAACAUGGCAUCAUGAAUUAUUAAUUUGACUCAAGUAGCCUUUUGACGUUGUUGAUUUCAUAAAAAUUUCAAAAACUAUAAUCAUAUCCAAUUAGUUACUCUUUAGCUCAGAGGUCACAAGACUCAACCCAGUUUGAAAAUGGGGAGGAGAAACCUAUUCAUAACAUAGAUGCACCGCCUUCAUCAUUUGGCUGUCCUACAUCAACCUCUUCACAUGAGAAACAUCAAGUGCUUUCCUCACCGAAAAGAUGGACCAAAUUAAUAUGAGUGAUUUACCACAGAAAAAGAACAAAGAACAAAGAAAAAAGAAAAAAGAAAGGUGGGUGAUGAUCAGCUAUGAUCUUGUUUAAUUUAUGUCCCACUUGCCCCAACCUCCCAUCCCAUGCAUGCAAUUCCAAAACAAGUAUGUACGAUCAUGGGUUGUCGUUUAUCCAUCCAUCUACGACUGAAUCAUCUGUACUUAAAUACAUUUAAGUAUGGGGAUUGAAGUGAAGGAAAAGGAAGUGGUUCAAGGGGUGGGCGUCAAAGUUGAAAGCCCAAAUGGUGGGCAAGGGGUUUGUUCAUUUCGAACAUUCCAAACCUUGCUUGUGAGAGUUGGGAAAGUAAUAAAGUAAACCGAACCCCCCUCAAGCCAAAGAUGCUUGGCCCUUUGCUUUCGCAAAUGUGUCGGCAGGGACCAUGGUGGAAUCCCAAAAUGCCCAACCCUUUUUCCUUAAAUGGUUUCCAUUUUACGUGUGAUUGAGGGGCUGCCUUCAAACUUGACAGCUCCAUUAUUCAAUUAGAGAGGUGUUUAACUCCAAAUGUAAGAUAUUCAAUUACCGAAGAGGGAAAGCAGAAACGGAGACUGGGACGUGGAAGUGGAAAUAGACUAAGCAGGACCACAGUAUAGACCAUAUUACACGCGUCACAUUUUGUUGAAGUGAAUGGAGAGAAAGAGAUCUGAUGAAGAUGUAUCAGAGUAUCUCACUAUCCUAUGGGCACCGAUUCAUCACAGCUGUAAACCUCCAAAACCAUGCGUUGCUCCCCCACAAAGAAAAUCUAGCCAAAAUCAACAUACCCAAUUCACACUUGAUAGAGCCAUCUGUCUUGGACUUCAAAAAAUCACACGGUGCGUUGAGGUACGGGUGUGGGUGUGGGUGUGGGUGUGGGUGUGGGUCCAAAAAGAUUCCUAACGUGCAAUGGCUGAUGCCACCGCUGAGCUAAUAAGUAAUAACAAUCUAGCAGGAGAACCCGGGAACACUAUUACUAUAUUACAAUACUAUUUGCUUUUGCAGUGUGGUGUCUCUCACACACUCUCUCACUCGCUCUCUCUCUCUCUCUACAUUUAUUUACACAGUAUCAUGGUUGCUUGCCUGCCUCGUGAUUUCUGCUCUAAGUAAAGCAAGUGGAAUAAAAGAGGGAGAUUUUAUAGUAAAUCUUUCUUCUUUUUAGUCUCAUUUAUACUUGUUUAGGAUGAAAAAUCAUUCAAUGCAGCAGUCCGUGGAAAUUAUAUAGUUAAAUCCAAAACUUGGGCCUUCUAAACGGCCGUGUUCUUUUCAAGAUUUGGGUGAUUGAGAGAGGGAAAGAGGGAGGAGCAGAGCAAUGGUGAAGGUAGUGGGUGUGGUCGUGGCCAUUGUUGGACUUGUUUUUAGCAAAUGGGUUUAUGGUUUUGAGUUUGAAGAAAAUGGGAGUUGGGUACAUGGUCUUGAUGAUUUGAAUGUCACAGAGCUCUCAUUCUCAGUCUCUUAUGGAGUCUCUGCUGCUAGCAGGCCUAUGAUGGUAGGCUUAACCCUUAUUCACGCUGCUGCUGCGAAAGGGGCAGGUACUUUUUUCAAACUCUUCUUCUCAUAUCUCUGCUGCUUGAUGUAGCUGUAGCUUGUAUUUUUUUUUUUUAAAGGAAAAAAAAAAUUGCCGUGUGAAAAUAUUAGAUUAUUCCAUCAUUGCCCUACCAUACCUCCAAUGAGAUUGCUUCAGGUUGGUGGGAUCUUGAUUCAGAUUUUUUUUUUUCAAACUUUUUAUUUAUUUUAACUAAUUUUUCAUUUACCAAAAGCAGCUCUUUUUUUUUUUUUUUUUUUUUCCCAUUCUUUUCCUGUGAUUUUUUCUGCUAACAUUUUGAUCUAUUACUUCCUCUUUUGAUUGAACUCCCUCUCUUGCAAUCAUCUUUUCCAAUGAGUACACUGGUCUGGCUGAGAUUUUCUUUUCCUUUUUCGUCUCUUCUCUUGUCUGUGUUAUUUAUCAACUAUCACAAUGCUGCUAGUAGUUUUGCUUCUAUUAUAGUGAUGGUAGAUUAUGUUAGUCUACAUUUUACCACCUCUCCUUUUGUUUAUUUGAGGAAUAUUGACAGUAGUCACACAUUCUCUCAUCUUUCUCAUCUGUUUGCUCCUCCAGCUAAUCGCAAUCCCCUCUUUCAUAUCAAUUUAGUUCUUUAAAGGCUAAUCCCUUGUAUUCGCAAUCUUUCAUUUCUAAACUUGUACUUGUUUAUCUUUUCCUCAAUUUUAAUAGCAGUGACCUGAGAUGCUUAGUACUCAGAAUCAUGAAAUCUGGAUUCCUUUUGGCAUUAAUACAUCUCCUUGUAUCGUAAAUCGUUGCAGUUUGUUUAGAUGGAACAUUACCGGGGUAUCAUUUGCAUCGUGGAUAUGGGUCAGGGGCAAACAGUUGGCUCAUUCAAUUGGAGGUCUGUGAAGCAGAGUUAGAACAAUGGAACUUUAUAAUUUUCAAUAUAUAAAUGCUGCUUUACACUUUAUGUUUUCUUGCAAAAGUUCAAAAUUUUAUAUGCCUCCCCGUGCCUCUCUUUCUGGGUCUCCAGAUAUGUAAAAUAUCAUUUAGCUAAUAUAAGAGCAGCUAUCAAACUAAACUUUCCCAGUUUCAUAACAUUUGUGUUCAAAUCUUUAAUCCCAGAAAAUGGUUCCAAAUAAUCUGUUAGAAAAAGAAAUCUGAAGAAAGAAUUGAGAGAAAAGAUGAAAAGAAUUCUCUUCAUUCCUCUUGUCGCAAAAUACAAGGCUGCUCUGUUAUAUAACAGAGUAAAAUGGCUCAACAAAAACUGAACCAGAAAAACAGAAACAAAACUUAACAACAAACUGAACAAAACAACUCAAAAAUAGCUCAGCUUACAAUAAUGACAAAACUACCCUUCUAGUAAAAAAUAACUAAUACAAUCAAUCCUAAUAUAAUCCCUACUUCAUUGAAAAUAAAUUCUGACAUCUCCAAUGUGAAGGAACCUGUUUUUGUUGAGAAAUCUCCCAAAAAGUAAACUGACCAUAUACCCCUUAUUCAUGACAUAUUAUGUAUGCAUGCAAAUAUAAUAGCAUAUCUUCUGGCCAAGCAUCUAAUAUAUGAUAAGUUGAUAUCAAAUGAAACAAAAAUCUCUAGGAAUUUGUAGAAAAAAUUUAUUGGUACAACAGGUUUAAACACUAUGCUACCAGGGUUACGAGGACUAUAUUGUACCAUUAUUAUCACCUUUGGGUCAGCUGUUGUUGUCGCCUUAGAAGUAUAGCUAGGAAUGCUUCAUUGAGCCUUUUCUACAAUCUCCAAAAUUAUAAGAAUGUUCCAUUUCCUUUUCAUUAUUGCUUUUUUUUGGCAAGUCCUGGAUAACAGGUUGGCUGUUUCUUUAUCAAAGAUCUUUUCAACAAUACUGAUAUUGCAUUUACCUUGGCAAACAUUCUUUGGCAGGGGGGAGGAUGGUGUAAUAGCAUUAGAACUUGUGUUUACCGCAAGAAAACUAGGAGAGGAUCAUCAAUAUAUAUGGAAAAGCAGAUCCCAUUUACCGGAAUUCUGAGCAAUAAUCCUGAAGAAAAUCCUGGUUUCUUCUCAAACUUUAUGUUGACUUGUCAAGACAAAUCAACUGAUGAUAUUCUCCAUUUUUAGUUUCUCCAGAUUUUUCUGUCAUGAAAAGUUUCUAAUUCCAUGUGCAGAUUUUUUCAACUGGAAUAGAGUAAAGCUUCGUUAUUGUGAUGGUGCCUCUUUUACUGGUGACAGCCAAAAUCAGGUUGGUGGUAAAAGUUCUCCAUGUACUGUGUCCCAUGACAGAUUAAUAUUAUCUUACAACUGACAUUCCAACCAAAAUAGUUGUUACUUCUGAGAUCCCACAUCUUCCAUUUAUCCCGGUCUUCCUGGGAAAAUAAGUGUACCUAGUUUGUACAAAAUUCUUGACUACCAAACAUCACAUAAUAGAAAUUGUUAAUUUUCUUUUAUGUGUCAUAAUCAAGAUUAUUAUGGAAGCAAAAAGGUGCAGUUCUGAGGCUGACACAUUGAUAAAAUUACAAAUUUUAGGGUCUUGUGCAAUGUGAAAUGGAUUGUUUUGAGGUAUUUUUAGAUGACUAGACAAGGUUGUGCUAAGUUAAUUCCUUAGUGUUGUCAAAAGACUUUGAAGCUGAAAUGAGAAUGCUCUUCUAGCUAAGUGGUGUUUAUUUUCUUGUGGUUGAAAUGCAUAGGGUAGCCUAAACAAUACAUCAGGUUGCUCACUUAGCUGAACUGAGCUUGCAAAAUGCAAAUUUAGGUGUAUGGUCAUGUACCUCUGUUCAUGUGUCAUGUGCCAACUUAUAGUGCUCAAGUGCUUACUUUUCUGGUUUCAGGCAUGUGGUGAAGGGGCUCAAAGACACUUAAAAACUGUUUGAACCUCAUUUUUCUAAGGUUUUUUCUGCAUAUUUCUCCCAAAAAAUAGAAAUAGAAAAGAAAGAUCCAAUUGCUCAAGCAACUGAUUUAAAUUAGAUAUCUUAAACUGUCUGAUCAUCUCCAUCAUUCCCGAUCCUUCUCUUUAGGUGGAACCCCAUGGUAGCUAAGGCUUGGUUGAGCUGAGUUGAGUUGGGUUGCUCUUUUAGGAUCUAUCUAAGGCUCCUAAUUUUGUUGCUAUUUGCCAGCCACAGUUGUAUAAUAUAUCAUGCUUAAAAGCUUUCCCAUGUACAGUAUGCUUACUUGGCUAAUUGUAACCAGGUGAGUGCCUAAUCAAGGCUUGCGCAGGCAUGCUACUGCCUAAGUCAAGCAAAAUUGUUCAGAAGUCUGGGUGCUCACCUUGGACAGAACAAAAUCCAAUAACCUUCUUAACCUUUGUCCAUGAUUUCCAUCUCUCCUAGUGAUGGUGAUGUCACCAGAAGUAAUGCAUGUUAUGCAAUAAAAGAGUGGAAGACAGAGAGGAGAAGAAGAAUGGUGUUAAUUGUCAAACAAAAUAUCAAUAGCUACUCCAUUCCAGGGAUUAGGUCAAAUGCUCAUCUGUAUAACUUGAUUUCUGAUGAUAUAUUUAUGUGAUUUUAGGCUGCACAACUGAAUUUCAGAGGACAGCGUAUCUGGUCAGCUGCUAUAGAAGAUUUAAUGUCCAAGGGAAUGCGCUAUGCCAACCAGGUUUGAUGUCUGUAAUGUUUUUUGUUCUUUCUCUUCUUUUCCCUGUAGUAAUUCUUCUUAUUACAUCAUGUGAAUUUUUUGUGUUUCAGGCUCUUCUUUCUGGGUGCUCUGCUGGAGGUCUGGCAGCUAUUUUGCACUGUGAUGAGUUUCGAGGCUUUUUUCCAAGAAAUACUAAAGUGAAGUGCCUGAGUGAUGCUGGAUUAUUCCUUGAUUCGUGAGUGCCAAAUAGUAUUGGAUGAUCUUACUAUCCUCUGUUCUAAUUGUACAUGUACUUGUUCCUCAGCUUUGUUGCUACUACUUAAUAUUUAAUGAUGCCUCUCUUUGGAAUUGUAGGAUUGAUGUAUCCGGUGGGCGCACCCUUAGGAAUCUCUUCAGUGGUGUAGUUAACUUGCAGGUAGUGUAAUGAUCUUAAAUUUUUGGAGCCCUUCCAUUAUGGAAAUCCAUUAUCUCUUGCUUAUAUAGAACGUGUCUAAUCUUCAGUUGGGUUAACCUUUGGGUGAGUCAUCCAUGGAAGAAGUCAUUUGUCAAACUUUGAAACCAAAAGAUCAAUUCUUGAAAUUUAAUAAAAAAAACUUGAUAGUAGAGGUGAGUUUAAUUUGUGGAAGUUCAUUGAGUUCACCUCAGUUUAAAGCCAUGUAUAUAUCACACUUAAUUAAGAAAUCUGGAAGAGAUUUGAAACCCAAAGUGUAAGUGAGGCUCAAGCUCUAUGAAGAAUUGUGGGAGAAAUUGUUUUCAUUUUCAUUAUCACAAUAUUUUCAAUUAUCAAAAUCGGUUGCAUUACCUCAUUAAGAAUUCCAGAGCCAGAUUUUUUCUAUAGUUACUGGAAUGGCUGAUUUAGAAUUUCCUUGGUCUAUAAGAUGCAUUGAUGAAUAACAUUUGGGCAAGAAGUCCUUUCAUCCUUUAAAUUUUCUCUUAAUGGAUCUGAAUCCACCUAAUACUUGAAUUGGCUAGGAAAACAACCAACUGAGAUCAAUAAAGGAUGAGGGAUAGCUGAUGGUUCAACUCCAACAUAUUAACUAAAAAAAUUGAUGAAUUGCAACAAAUAAAUAAAUAAAAGCUAAGGCAAUGCUUUAGACAAAAAAUUUAGAUCCGUCUGUCAAGCAAUAUAGUAGUGUAAGCCUUUGAGACAUUCAAUUCUUAAUAUGCUAUUUGACCAAGUUAUGCAUCACGGAACUCAUGUUUGUUUAAUAAUUGCAGGGGGUGCAAAGGAACCUGCCAUCUUUUUGUUUGAAUCGUCUUGAUCCAACCUCGGUAAUCCUUUUUCCUCGAUUUCUCUUAGGCAAAUACAUGAUUUUAAUGGAUUGGAGUAAUAGGAAAUUAUGUCAUGGCAUUAGCUGUCAAACUGACCUUGUUCUUUUCUCAAUAUUUUUCUCCUUUUCAGUGCUUCUUCCCACAGAACGUGAUAUCCAAUAUCAAAACCCCGCUAUUUCUUCUCAAUGCAGCCUAUGAUUCAUGGCAGGUAAGGAUUUUCAUUCCAUCAGUGCUAAAUUCUUAUCCACCUUCAGUGCAUUAAGAUACAAUAGUGGCAGUGACUUGCACUGUGAAUGGCAUUUGAAGCACUUGGAUGACAACCCAUCUGAAUUACGAUCUUUUCCCCAAUCAAAAUCAGGUCCAGGCCAGUUUAGCUCCACCAUCAGCUGAUCCCCAUGGCUAUUGGAAUGAAUGCAAAAAGAACCAUGCCCAGUGUUCUCCAUCACAAAUUCAAUUCCUGCAAGGUGAUUUCAUUUAUGACAAAUUUUUUUUUUUUUUUUUUUUUUUUUAUCAGAAACAAAAUAUAUAUAUAUAUAUUAAUAAUAAUUAAGGUACAAGAGAAGGAUGAGAGGUCCUUCCCUCAAAAAUACAGAUUCUGAUCAAAGUAAGACUAGACACCCCACUAUACAAAAACUAUACACAAAGGCAUCUUCCAACUAUCUCAAACUUUUGAAUCACAAACUGAAGGCCAGUUGAGUUGAAUAGCAUCAAGUGAUUUAUGACAAAUUAUCUAUAAAGCUCUAUGUUCAUAUUGGCCACAUUAUGACAAGAUAAUAUAAUCUCUUUAUUGAAGCUCUAUGUUCAUAUUGGCCACAUAAUGACAUUAUAAUUUAAUCUCUUUAUUGAAGUAUUUCCUAAUUCUUUGGAACAGGAUUCAGGAAUCAAAUGCUGAAUGCAAUAAAAGGCUUCUCAAUGUCUAAACAAAACGGGUUAUUCAUAAAUUCAUGUUUUGCUCACUGCCAGACAGAGAGGCAGGAUACGUGGUUUGCUGAUAAUUCUCCCAUUAUUAAAAACAAGGUAUGCCUUAUUUGACUAAACAAAAUGGAUUGGAUUAUUAUCCAAAUCUUCUUACAAAUUUCUUUAUAUUUGUUGAGCCUUUGCAUAUGCUUAUAGAGACCCCUGUGACUGAAAGUCCAUUCUAGACAUCCCAUGAGACCAUUCCAAGCAAUCUACAUUAUGAGUUGAAUGAAACACAAGGCUGUCUGAAUUUAUGAUUGGAGAUUUUCUAUGAAGAAAAUUUGAGGAAAAUGUCUGGCUUUUUUCUAUUCUAGAACUAAAUUACUUUAUGACUCUGAUCAUUUAUUAAGAGGAAAUCAACACACUUAAAAAAACAAGAAGUAACAAAAUGAAGAUUGAAGAUGACCCAGAGAUGAAGUUAGAAGCCUCGAGAAGCAAAAGGGAAAUGCAAUAUGGUUUCAAUAAGAGGUCAACAACUGAUAAUUAUUACUUUACAUAAUGAUAUCUUGGAUGUUUAUUUUCUUUGUCAUUGAUCUAGUUAUUUUCCAUAUUAUAUCUUGAUUUUAAAGAAAGUCAGAUAAGUAAAAACCUGAUCACUAUGUUAUAGGUCUCAACCAAGUGCUUUUUUAAUUUGACUAGUCUUUACCAUGAAUCAAGGUCAUCCUAGUGCGCCUAUGUUUGCUGUUACUUGGUUAGAUUGCAGGACUUGUGAUUUGUGUUGUUAUUUGAUAGGUGUAUUGUUUUUGUAAAAAAAGGGUUUUAAAUACUGAAUUUUUUCAAUUGAUGAUAUGCAGGGGAUUGCUUUAGCUGUUGGAGACUGGUACUUCGACCGAUCUGGCAUUAAAGCCAUCGACUGCCCCUACCCUUGUGACAAGACCUGCCACAAUCUAGUAUUCCGAUGAGCCAUUUUGAUCAAUUUCAUCAUUUUACAUGGUCAUCCUAUCGAGUAAUUCAUAUCUUCUCAAUUGCUAUUGAAAGAAACAAUGCAAUUCAAAGAAAAUUUAUAGAAGACAAUAAAAAUGAAGGUUGCUGAGAUGUGCAAUUUUACAGUCAGCAAGCCUUAUGUAUUGUUGUUCCAAUCUCUUGAACCUUCAACAUGUUUUCAAUUUUAUUUUAUCUUCAUUGUUCUCUUGUUGUAGCUGGCCAUUGAGUUGAGUUGUCGAUGGCCCUAUGCAAAUUCUCCUACCCAUACUUGGACUGCUGUCAAGGCCCUUCACUGAGUUGUAACAUCUUGUGGAUUAUAUACUAUAACCUUAUUUGAUUAGACUAAGUUCUGAAUUAGAUGAAGAUGCAGUGUAUCAUUUUGACAGUUACUACAUAAAGAAAACUCAUUUGGCAUGCCAUGCUCAUCUCUAGUUGAGUCAUGAAUCAUUUCAACAUGCUCAGAUGACCAUGAGAAUGCUUCAGAGCUUGGCAGUCAAAAUGUUCACAGAUGUUAUUCUAGACGAGGACGUAGAGUAUGAAUGGAAAAUACUCUCCUUUCCCUUUGUUCUGGCAAACAUCGUUACAAACUAAUCCAUUUGAUUUAUUCUCAAGAUUAUGCACGUUUUAACUUAGACCAUGGAUUCUUGGCUAGUUUCAUUCUCCACCAUGACAGUGGACAUGUAGAGCAGUAAUACAUGGUGGUCUGAAGCCCUGCAUGUUCCUGGCACCAUCAUCUAAAAGCCCUGUAUUUGGCUGGGAGAGGCCAAGAAAAGUUGAUUUUGAGUUGAGUUGCAAGGGUGAUGAAAGUUGAGACCAUCAUUUUUCUAUCCAUUUCAUAAGAUCUCAUCCGCUUCUCCUUUUGAUUUCUUUGUCUGAAAAUCACAUUAAUUAUGAGAUUUGAAGACUAUAUUAGUAGCUGUACAUGAAGUUGAGAAAACUAUGUUAAAUUAUUGGCGUAGGUUAGGUAGGAGGCAAGGCGGAAUCUUAUAAUUUUCAUUAACCGCCAUACUUUUAAAGUCAUGUUACUCUUUCCCAUUACUUAAAUCCUAUCAAUUCAUGCUUGUGAGUUGUGACCAGAACUUAAAAUUUUGGCAAGCCCCACUUUUUCCCAUUUGUCUCCUACAGUGUUUUGAUGGGAAGGCAUAUUGUUUUUGACACCUCAAGCUCAAAUCAACCCUUGCUCCUCCGCCUGUGUUCCCACCUUCAUGAUCAUGGAUCCCAUCAGAUAACCAUCAAUGAAUCUUCAAUAAUUUCUCUUCCCCCCCUGCCAUCGAAAUUUUGAAUCUAACAUUAAUUGUUGACAUCUCAUCAUCCAUCCUGAAUGUGUCAUUGCAAUUCAAUUGUCUUUUGUUUUCUUCUUCACUAAAGAUUGUAGGGCCUGAACAAAAAAAGACCCAAUUAUUUGCUUCACAUGUGUUCAUGGCUAUAUGUGUAUUUAAUAUGCACACCCCAUGCCGGCGAGGAAAGAAGACACUUGUACAUAUUCCAUGGAGGCAGGAUAUUACUUUUUUCCUGUUUCUUUAAUAUGUGCGCACAUGGAUUCACACGAAUAUGCCCGCCGCUGCGUGUGAGAGAGACCCCUUUGUGAGUUAUGACCCACCAUGUGUGCCUCAGCGGCCGCUCCAUCCUAGUAUGAAAAAAUUUACGUUUUCUUUCCUAAUUGAUUCCUAACCUUCAUGUCAUGGGGUUUUUGUAUGGGUAAUAAGAGAGACCCACUUGCUGAAAUCUGCAGAAGAAAGCCUGCAGCUGAUCAGGCUGAAGGGUUGAAUCAGGGAGAGAGUAACCAAGCUGAUGAUAAUGUUAAAUUGUUAAUACGCCAGCUCAGGAGACUCACUGGUGACUAAUGGGCGUGACGCUUCUUUGAAAUGAACUACCUUAAUGAGUUAGGGGACCACCCCUUAGUGACUUUUAUCCAAGGCAUUUCUCUUUAUGAUGGAGCGCCCGCCAUGGCUAGGACCCCCCCUCAUUCUGCAUAGAAGUGGUAGAAAUACUAGAGACGUGGCACAGGGUAUCCAUGGAUGAUUUUUGUCACCUCCUAAUUAAUAAUUUCCAUGAACUGAAUUGGAAGUUUCUUGCUUUACCAUGUCCUACCUAAGAUAAUGUUAGUGCCUCAAGAAAACUAUAAGACGAGGGGGAAUUUAUGGCCUUCAGCUAGAGGGUCAUUUUCAUUCCUUCUUGACUAGCAGGCGAAUUUCUCUUCAAUUUGUUGUGGGGUUGUUGCCCUCUGCGAUCUUUUCUUCUUUUUCAGAGAGAACUUUUCUUGUUUGGGCGUAGAGGAAGGACCCAUAAGCUAAGCUACAUUAUUCCAAGGCCCCUUGGAUGAGGUAAGCAGGAGUUGAUGACAACUUUAGUUUAUUGUCUUAAGGAUGGAGGGGAAGUGACUUAAAGACUGUCAAAAGUGAAAAACAUCUCGUCUCUAGGAGACAGUGAUAGACACCCAUUUAAGAAAAAAUGGUUCCUUGAAUCUUUCAUUAGAAAAGCAUUUAUGGAAUUUUUCAUGUAUUUUUCAUUAUGAAAAGGAUCCAUACAGAAAGAGAUAGAUAGGGAUAAAGAAAUAAUAGAAUUCCAGAAAACCAAGAGAUUUGGAUAUGUCAACAGAGAGUCACAGUCUCCAUGGAUUUUGAAUUUCUUACUGUGUAGGCAAAAGCCAUGAUACUGGCAAAAAAACUCAGAAGCUCUAGACAAAAGCCUUUUGAUUGCUUACAGGGACAGAAUCACAACCUAUGAAUCCGAAACAAAUGAAGCAUAGAAGAGGAAUAGACAUCAAAAGAAACCUUAUUCCAUACCAUACUCCCAUGAAAAAAGAUGAACAGAAGCUUGUUUCCAUUACAAAUAUUCAUUAAGAAAUAGCUCAGCCCUUUUGUAUCAGACCUAUUUACAAAAUCAUAAGAAAAUUCUAUAGCACACACCUGACCAGAAGAUGUUUUUUCCAAAUCCUUCUUGGACUGAAAACCCCCCGUGAUUCUCUCGUCCCUUGAAUUAGAGGCUCCACAUGUUAAAUACAAGUUAACAAAUCUGUCCAAAAGCCACACCAAGUCUCUGGAGAUCCUUGGUAUAUAUGUCAGCUGAAGCUUGUAUGGGUUGUUCCUGCUGGUUCUGAUGCCAGCCAGUACUUGACCCAUCUGUUGUGAAAUGUAUUCCUGGCUUAGUCUCACUAUAGAUAGGUUGAGGGCUUUGGUUCUGUAGUGUGGUGCCCAAUAGAAAUGGGGUAUGGAGAUACUCAGACCAUUUGAUGUCUUCAGGAUCACCUUCCAACAUAUGGAUUUGGUUUUCUUUAUCAGAUUUUCCGCAAUCUGCCAGUCCCAAUGAGAAGAAGUUGUUCUCAAAGAAAGCACUAUUACUUUGCAGUUCAAUACUGUUCCUGCUCCCAUUGCUGCUGCUGGCAUUAUUACUGAAGGUGCCGACUUCCCAGUUCUGGACUCCGUUCACAUCAAAAGAGCCUAUUGAAGGAUUACUGGAGGGAAGACUAAUGGAAGGCUUAAUGCUUGUUGGGGUGGGGAGAAUUGUGCUCAACAUGGAUGGGAGAAUGGUGGGUGUCAUACUAGAACUGAAUUCAGAAAUGAUCUCAGGAGACCUGGAGUUUGGAUUGAAGGAGAGAGUGGCAUUAGGGUUCACUGAGAGCCCAAUAUUGGGCCCAUAAUUCAACUGCUGAAAAGAGAAAUGCCCCACCAAGCCAGAAGGCCUGCAGCUGGUGGUGGAGCUUUCAUGGGAGGUAACGAAUCUAUCUAGGAAAAAUUCCUGGGUGGGUUGGGGUGGUGUCAAAUUGUUUCCAUUGCUGCUGCUGUUGAUCUUGGAACUGGGAGAAACUUCAACUGGAUACUGCUCCGCAGCAGUUGAAAGUGGCUUUAAAUUCUCGGCCUCAACAAGGUUCAGUUCAUUGGCUUUUUCAUUGCUUUUAUCGGAAUUAGGCAGCUUAUCUUGUCCGUUCUCAGCCUCCACAAGCGGUUUGUGAGUGUUGGGGUCGAUGCCUUUUUGUCUAAGCUUCUUCUUAAUGCAGGAGUUCCACAAAUUUUUUAUUUCAUUAUCCGUUCUUCCCGGUAAUUGAGCUGCAAUCUGCGACCAUCUGAUGAAACAGCAGAAAACUUCAGAAUCCAACAGGAAAACUACUAUAUUAAAAGUGGGUUCUUGUAGGAGGUUGCUGACAGGAUUUAAAGUACCUGUUGCCUAGAACUGCAUGGAGUUCAAUUAUCAGGCUCUCUUCCUGUUGUGAGAAUGCUCCCCUCUUCAAAUCAGGCCUCAAGUAGUUAAUCCAUCUUAGCCUGCAGCUCUUCCCACACCUCUGCAAACCUGCCAAUUAUGAUAGAAAGAGAAAAAAGAAAAAAAAAACACAGGAGACUUGGUCUCAAUAACGGUUGCUGUUCUGCAUUUACAGUGACACACCAAAAGAUGAACAUACAUGGGUACCUGCUAGUUUAGGGACGGAGCUCCAACACCCAUGUCCAUACUUGGUAAUAUGCAUCAGAAGUUUCUCAUCUUCCUCGGGAGACCACAGGCCUUUCCUCAGCUUCUGCUUGUAGCAGCAAGAGUGCCUCCCCAUGUGGAGCGCAGGCCACUUACAAUACUGGGGAAAAGCUCAAAGUUUGUAUAGAAAACUUUUAGUUGUCAGCAACAGGAGAAGCUUUGAAAUGGAUAUAGGAGGUGGGGGUGGACUUGGAGGUUGAGAAAAUGAAGUGGCAGCCUGGUAGGGAAUGGAAUUAAUAGGAAGAGCCUUGAAGACAGAAGUCACAUCCAAGAGGGUGAUUGGAGAUGGUGGUUUUUUUUUUUUUUUUUUCCUUUUUUUUUUUAAAAAAAAUGUAUGUAUAUUUUGUUUGAUUUUAAAAUUGGGUUCCUCAGUCCUUUCCAUCCCAGUUUGAUCUGGACCGUCUACAUCCUAUAGGACCCACUGGAGGGUGGAGCCAGAUGCUGAAGUGGAUGGUCCAGAUUCAAACCCAGUGUGUACAGCAUAUGGAGGAGGAGGCUGUGAGAGGGAUGGGGCUUCCAAUAAUCUAACUAGCAUAUGUCUCAUCAAGGUAUGAGAUUUAAUGACUUGGACAGCAGUGGUGGGUCAUUUUGACAGAUAAUUAACCAGUGUAGAACUGGAUUUUGGUAGAAUCCAUGCUCAGACAAGUCCAUGUCAGUAAAAAUGUAGAUUUAGAUGGUGUGGGAAUCAACCAGGUCCUCACAAAUAAAACAAGCAAAAUUUGGUGGACUUUUGAAUUGAGAUAUGGGAGAUUUGUAGUUUGUAUCUGGUUUCAAGUAAUCCCCCAUUUCAACCAAGUCUAUCACAAGAUUCCUAUUACAAAAUCAGCCAAAAGAUUUGAAAAAGGAAAAAUUUUCUUGCAGACAAGAAAUACCCAUGAUUAGUUAAGGUUGGCAAACAUAGAAUACUGCAAUAAAUGGAUGAUAACAGAAGCUUUGUUUCUUAUCUUGGUUUUCCUUUGUUUUCCAUUUUUCUUUUUCUAUCAAGAAUUUGUGUGAAAUUCUGAGUACUCCUCUCUUUUUCUUGACUAACUUUUGUGCCAGAUGCCUUUCCAAUAAAACUGACCCUCUCUCUCCUUUUGGCUUUCCAACUUAUUUUCCAAAAUCAUGAUCACUUUGAAAAGUUUCAUAAUUGGGUGGAAAGAACAAAAUGUUUUGAACCUCUUUUUAAAAAAUAAAUGGUAUCUUCCUUUUCCCCUUAGAAAACUACUCAAAACUCCACCAACUCCUCAAAUCAUUCAUGUUUUCCAAUUUAAAAAUUACCCAUCAUUUCUUUUGUUUAUCUCUUCAUCAUUUUAUUUUUCUGAUUUGAUCAUGCAAGUGUAUGCUUGUCUGCAAGACUUGAACCAAUAUAUCAAAAGAAGUAAACUGGUAUAAUCCUAUAAUUAAAUAGGAGAACCACAAUAAUGCGGUUGUCCUCUAAUGGAUUGCAGCCCUAUGUAUUCCUGAAACUUGAAUGCAGACAAAUUCUGAUACAUUAUUACAGAUUACUGACAUACUCAAUAUGACUAAUAUAUUAAUUGCAGAAUGCCUUUAAUUUCUCCUCAUCAUUUUCUAUUUGUUUAGAUGGAAAAUAACGUGUGCAACAAGUAUGUAAAACUCUGUUGAUGAGGCAUGCAUUGUUACAAUUAUGUGACAUUAGUAUUUGAUGAUUCAAGCAUAUGUUUUAUUUCUUUACAAACAUGUACACUCUACAUUAUAAAGAUGUUAGCUGGGUGAAGCUUCCAUAAAACCAGUGCUGAGGACUUCUUGAUAAUCCUUGAUGACCCGGGUUGCCUUCAAUUACACAUCAUAGGCCAAGCUAGUGAUAGAACUGUGUGGGGUAGCAUAUUGGUUAUAUGGGAUAAUUGAUGUUUUUGGAAUAUAAUCAUGUUAGACAUUGUAAUACAAACAUGGGAAGCCAAAGGUCACAACUAGGAAAUGAGUGUAUGAUAGAAGAAAUAUUUGAUGAAAAUUAUGACUGAAGGAACAGUGUGCUGAGUCUGCUGACUUCUGUUAUUAAAACAGAGUAGCAGUUAAAAGGAAUAUUAAUUUUCAUCAAAGUAGUAUUGUUUCUGUCACUGGAUGACAAAAUAUUCCAAAAGCUGUGCAUGGGCAUACAAACAUCCAAACUGAUGAGUUUCUCCAAAUUUUUUAUUUUUAUUACUUUCCUUAAACUUGUUUUGGAGCUUUUGAAUCAGAGAACCUUCACCGCCUUCACCACCUCCUCCUCCUCCACCACAAUAAAUAAUAGUAACGAUUAAUAAUAUAUUUUCUUUGUGUUUUAGCAUGUCCACUUGUUCUAACAUAUGAAGCUUCCUUGACCUUAGCAAUGUCUUAUUUUCAGACAUCUCAUUGUAUAAAGAACAUUAAAUUAGACCCCAUGAAAAGAUACUUGUAAUCACCAUACCUCAUCAUGCACUCGUGAGCUUAUCUUAUAGGGCAUAUGAGCUGUUCUUCAAGUCAACCAUCGUUACAUGUUUAUUCCCCUUGUUCUUUUCCUACCCAUGUUAAUAAUAUUCAGACUUUUCUGUUAUUGAGCAUCUCAUCAAACUGAAAUUACUCUGCUGUAUAACCCUUAGCUUUUGCAAUUUGUUCUGUUCUCAGACACAGCCCCUGCUAAAUGUUUAGUUGUUGAUAUGGAGUCCUGGACUCCUAGGCAAGGCGAGAGUCACAGACUCACAGCAGUGUCCAACUCUGACUUGUGUCAAUCUGGGCUUCUAGAACAUAUAGAAGGGGGUGCUUAGUAUUGUUACAGUGGUAAGUUCACCUGACACUAUGUCGGUGACGGUCACCAAGGCCAACAGGUACAGUGAGGGGUCUAAGACACAUUAUGGUUACAGGCAGACCAUGGCUGGGGCGAUCUAAGCCAGAAUCAAUAGUAGGUUUUGGUUUGUAUUUGUCGAGGAAGCUGCUGAGCUGGGAUUCUUUUACAUGGCUUGAAUAUUAUUACCCCAAGACCUAACAGCAUUAGAAUUGGCGGGUCCCUGAGUUCAUCUGUAGCAGGAAAGGAAAAAACAUUAAAUAGGAAGUGCGUGAGAAAAGGUUUGUGGGGCUUUACUGAUAAGAAAAUGUCAUCACUCUACAUAAGUCCUUGCCCUUCAAUCACAUUAGCUACUAUUUAGAUCCAAAGAGCAAUGACAGAAAGAAGAACCAUUUGAGUAGAAAAGCACCCUUUUCAGAAUGUGCUGAAUUAGUAUUAGUGAUUGCUCUGAUGCCACAAAGUUGUCUUACUCUUUGAAGCAUUGCUGCUCAGACUGGCCGGAUAUUCUUUGGCAAGUAGUAGUGAUGCCAUUCAAAUUAGAAAGCUAGUAGGCAAUUAAUAAAUUACAAAUCUUUUAGGGAUAACAACCGUCUGCCUGCAGUAGCUUUAUCUAAUUGAUUAGGCCCUGGUCUUCCAAUUCCUGUGGCAAAAGCUGUAGCUUCGAGGAAUAGAUUCAACAAGGGACACUGACGCAAGCCAAAGUCCUACAUAUUGGAACAGUUUUAAUGAAGACAUGACAUGAUUAAAUACCUUAUGAAUGAUCAUAGGUAAAACACACAGGCUGUUCUUUGGCUCCCAGAUGGACAUGGUGGCUCCAAGACAGUACAUUUUCACCUGCAGUCUACUCAAUUAGCAACUGGAUAGCCCUACACUAGUGCUGAUCCAGCUCUCAAUUACGAAUGUCCAAAAGGGUGGUCAGUAAAAAGGCUCCUUUUAGUACUGCAACUCACCAUGAGAGACUAUAAACCCCAUAUCAUUAUGAAAGGUGGAAUGAAUGUAGAAGGCCCUUCUAAUUGUUUACUUGCAGCUGAAAGAUCUGGUGGCCUCUUUCCACCGUCUAAUUCAGCAUGUAAACUGAGAAGCAUGCCACGAGGAGAGCUCAUAGCAGUGCAGCCUUAGCCUCUCUGUUCCAUAGAUGCAAGCUUUCAUUUCAUUCCCUGUGUAAUCAAACCAUGUUGAAUUAACUUUUUCAAAAAUUCUUUUACUCCAGUACCCCCUUAAAGGCCUUGCCUGAGUAUUGCAGUGGUGGGAGAUUGAGGACUAGUAGAAUUCAUGAAGAUUGAGUUUUGGGGCACUAUAAUGAAAUUGUUAUUUGAAAUGGAGGGAGACAUAAUCCAUAUGUCCUUGAACGAGUGGAAGUGCCUCUUUUCAUUAUCCUCAAAGCCAUCUUUUCCUAAAUUCUCUUUUAAAUUCCCAACAAGGAAAACUAAGUGACAAGAAAGAGCAACUAUCACUCCAGCUAUUGGCACUAUACUUUAUGCUUAAUCAUUUUCCAUCUCAAUUAUAUUUUAGAGGUGGGCUUAAAACACUUGUGCUACCACAUUAAUGUAAAUCGGGAUGUAGAGAAACAGUUGCAGCCACCAUGGAAAUCAAACCAAACAUUUAGCAAAAUAGACCUUUCCCUCAAUCUGAUACCUAAGUUACUGUCUUAUUUUUGGCUUAGAGGAUUGCAGUGUCCACUUUUUGCCUAAAAGUCUUUGCAUCAUCAGUUCUUUUAGAAAUUAUUCAAACUUUUAUCAGUGAGGAGGAACUGUGAUUCAUAAACUUUGUUGGAAACAUGCCACGUUACCUUGCUUGGAUUACUGAAAUUGAUAGCUCAAGUUCAAGAAGGGUCCAUUAUAGAUGACCCUUAAUGUAUCCUACUUAAUAGGCCCAUUAGCACUAGUAGGAGACAUUAUCACAUGGAUAUAUCAUAAUUGUUAGUUAAAUCACAACUAAAUUCAUUCAUCUUUUGUCUUGUCAAGUAAUAAGCUAUGAUGAUGGAAACAUGAGCCUCACCACUUAAUUACAUCGCUUACCAUAUAUAGAAACUUAAAUAUCUAAAUAACAAUCAUUAGCAUUUAAAUGCUACAGUUCAUUCACCAUUAAUCUCCUUGAUUAGUUAGUGUAAUAGUGGGUUUGUCAACAUGCAUUAGCAUUAGCCUCUGAUUCAUUGAAGCUGAAAAGAAACCAAGGCCCCAAAUUAUACUGGGAAUUGACUUUAGCAAGAAGGCAACAUUAUAAGAAAGUUUUAAUGCCUUUUAACCCCAUCAAUUAUCGACAAGCUUUUGAGGCCUUUAACCCAUCAGUUUAGCAAAAGCUGUCAGGUUGAAAUGUUCUCUUUGUCCCCCGACCUUGAAUAAUUACGUUCAUGCUUUUGCAUUAUAGUGGGAAAUGAGGAUAGACUUUCUUCUCACAUUUACAUCAUUACCUUCAGUUUUUGGGAGAGAGCUUAUGCCCCUAAGUGAACUACUUGAGAUUCUAAUAGGGUUCUUGAGUUGAGUCUUUUCAGUCACUGUGCUUCUAGAAUUCCAAGCUCUCAUUGGAGCAGACUUAACAGUUUGUUUAUUAAAGGUGUCUGAUCAAGUUCGUAACCGAAAAUUCAUGGAAACUUGCACACAAACCUCAAUUUGAGUCACUUCUACAAUUCUAACCAAAACACCCUAAAAUGUUUUGAUUGCUGGAGUGCCCCACAUGUGCUAUUGUUCCUUCAUGGCAUCAUCUCCUAAUUUGAACUGGAGACUGGCUUGUUGACUUGACUUCAAUUAGAAGGCCUACAAGGUCACUGGAUUUACAAGGCAUUUAGCCAAUUUGGAGCUAGCAACUUCCAGAGUUAUCAAUGAAAUUAGAAAAGAGAAGAUAGAAAUUAUGACAUGGUAUUGACCCUUGUGCCUGACUAUAAGAGGAUAAACUCAAUUAGUAAUUAUGAUGUCAAACUGGAGCUGAUCAUUGCCCCAGUGAACCAAACCCAUUUCAAUCUCACUGAAUAAUCCCAAAGGGAGAGUACAGUUCAGCUGAGUUGUAGACCAAAAAUUAAACCGAAAAUUGGGACUUCAAUCCAAACCCCACCUCUCAAUCACCAUGGUGAAAUUCAAAAUUUAUGGGUACAGAGAUAUAAUCAGAAUGCUCACCUUAUGCACACACCAGACUCAUCUUACACCUGACAUGCACCCUAGCACUUCCCAGGGACUCUCACAGUCUCACAUGAGUACCAAACCCCCUAGGUGGGGGGGGGGGGGCCAAGACCAUGAAAUGACAGAGGCUCUCAUCUGAGCUCUGUGCAUUCUUAGUUAGAACAGAAAGAUUCUCCCCAUUGAAUGCAUCUGAAAAUGAGUAAAGCAAACAUCUGUUGUAGUAAAAAAAACAAGAGCCAAAUUUUAUUCUCAACACUAUUUUCUGCCCAACUACUCAAUCAACUUGGCAUGCUCAAGGGCCUGACUCCUUGCUGAAUCCUUGUUCAUGGAUAAAAGUGGAACUAUUAACACACUGUUGACAUAUCUUAAAUGCCUUAUUCUUGGGGAAAAAAAAAAAUCAGCUUUUCAGCUAAACAUAUAUGAUUGGUUGGGAGAGCAGAGUGGCUCCCUAUAGUCAACUGAAGGGGCCAAUUUGUUCCUACAUCAUCCAUUGGGUUUUCUCGAGUUUCUCAGAAUUUCCUUUGUGGAUUCAAAAUAUGCCCCUCAGUUNNNNNNNNNNNNNNNNNNNNNNNNNNNNNNNNNNNNNNNNNNNNNNNNNNNNNNNNNNNNNNNNNNNNNNNNNNNNNNNNNNNNNNNNNNNNNNNNNNNNCCAAAGGGGGGAGUCCGGUUCAGUUGGGUUGUGGACCAAAAUUAAACCAAAAAAUGGGGAUUUAAAUCAAACCCCCCCUUCUCAUUCCCCAGGGGAAAUUUCAAAUUUUAGGGGUACAGAGAUAUAUUCAAAAUGUUCCCUUUAGGCCCCCCCCAGAUUUUUUUUCCCCUUGACAGCCCCCUUGGCAUUUCCCGGGGAUUUUCACAUUUUCCCAGGGGUCCCAACCCCCUUGGGGGGGGGGGGGGGGGCCAAGACCAUGAAAUGACAGAGGCUCUCAUCUGAGCUCUGUGCAUUCUUAGUUAGAACAGAGAGAUUCUCCACAUUGAAUGCAUCUGAGAAUGAGUAAAGCAAACAUCUGUUGUAGUAAAGAAAACAAGAGCCAGAUUUUAUUCUCAACACUAUUUUCUGCCCAACUACUCAAUCAACUUGGCAUGCUCAAGGUCCUGACUCCUUGCUGAAUCCUUGUUCAUGGAUAAAAGUGGAACUAUUAACACACUGUUGACAUAUCUUAAAUGCCUUAUUCUUGGGUAAAAAAAAAAAUCAGCUUUUCAGCUAAGCAUAUAUGAUUGGUUGGUAGAGCAGAGUGGCUCCAUAUAGUCAACUGAUGGUGCUAAUUUGUUCAUACAUCAUCCAUUGUGUUUUCUCGAGUUUCUCAGAGUUUCCUUUGUGGAUUCAAACUAUGCCCCUCAGUUUCUCGUGUUGCAUCAUGAGAUUGUCCUUGGGUUAUCAUUGAGCACAUGCCCCCUAGUUGACUGGGUGUUAUUUGAUCACAGGCACAUCCAGCAAAUUGAUAGGGAAUAUUCUUCAUAAAUUGUAUCAGACUACUUUUAAGUUCUGCUUUUGUGGCUUUUACAUGAACCAGCUGACUGGUCCAGUUUCAUAAUUGAUGUAAAGUUGUAUCAUUGUUUUGUAGAUUAUACUUCCCAGUAACUUCACCAACAUGGUUGAAUCAAGCAUGCACAAACAUUUGUAUUGGUCUCGACUGGUCUAGAAAUACCAUGCUGUAUUUCAACAGGAAAUUUAAUGCAUACUUAAUUCUAAUAUGGCUCCAAAUUCCACUUCUCAUCCCACCUAAUAUAAGAGAUGGAAAAGCCUCUACGGAGCUCACCAACUAGUAGCAAUCUACCUAGGUUAAGUAGGUUUGCUUUCGCAGUGGGAAACACAAUCUAAUUCUUUGAUUGUGAAUAUGUCCAGGCAUGGGACUUGUUAAUACAGGCAAUGAUCUCAAGCGAUGGCUAAAAUUUGACAUUGGUGUCUCUGAACACAAAUUUUCGUGUAUUCUUAUAGUGCAAAUAGAAGAUUUGGAGUUUCAAUAGGAGACAUGCUCCGGGUGAAUAAAGGAGGUUCUAGAACUGGAUUGUUUAGCAAAUACCAUAGCACAUAGUACUCGGAGCCUUGAAAGCAAGCCAAUCUUCCAUAGAUAGUAUUCCUUUCAAUUUCAGGUUAGUACCUGCCUCAGACAGGAGCCAAACAUUUGUCUUCUUUUCCAAUGAAGUAACUGUUGGAAACGUGCCUUUAGUUGCUACAGUUAUGGGCAAACAAAAAGUUGCUGAAUAAUUGGUCAAUAGACCAAGUCUUUAGGAAUAUUUUCUGGAUAUAUAUAUAUAUAUAUUUUGUUUUGGCUUGAUAUUAGGAAUUGGUUAGACAUGGCUAGAAAUUAGCAAAUUCUCUUGACUUUCUGUUAUGUUUCAGCUCUAUAUAAAGAGCAAUGCAAUGAAUAAAAAUAUACUUCCAGAUACCAAGUUUUUCUUUACUGAAAAAAAUUUGUUUUUCUUUGCUGUCAUAAAUUUCUGCCCUGUUCUUGUGCCAUAUAUCAACAAUCUGGUAUCAGAGCUCUUCUUCUUGAGGGAUCUGUGAGUUGAGUGAAUCCAGAAAUGGAAACUGAAACAACUUUCUCCCAUGUUGCACCACCAAUUUUUGAUGGUGAUAACUAUCAAGCCUGGGCUGUUAGAAUGACAGUCCAUCUUGAAGCAUUAGAUCUUUGGGAAGCUAUAGAGGAAGACUAUGAUGUUCCCCCAUUGCCGGCGAACCCUACGAUGGCUCAGCUUAAGAGCCACAAAGAGAGGAAGACCAGGAAGUCCAAAGCUAAAGCCUACUUAUUCUCUACUGUUUCAAGCACUAUAUUUANNNNNNNNNNNNNNNNNNNNNNNNNNNNNNNNNNNNNNNNNNNNNNNNNNNNNNNNNNNNNNNNNNNNNNNNNNNNNNNNNNNNNNNNNNNNNNNNNNNNNNNNNNNNNNNNNNNNNNNNNNNNNNNNNNNNNNNNNNNNNNNNNNNNNNNNNNNNNNNNNNNNNNNNNNNNNNNNNNNNNNNNNNNNNNNNNNNNNNNNNNNNNNNNNNNNNNNNNNNNNNNNNNNNNNNNNNNNNNNNNNNNNNNNNNNNNNNNNNNNNNNNNNNNNNNNNNNNNNNNNNNNNNNNNNNNNNNNNNNNNNNNNNNNNNNNNNNNNNNNNNNNNNNNNNNNNNNNNNNNNNNNNNNNNNNNNNNNNNNNNNNNNNNNNNNNNNNNNNNNNNNNNNNNNNNNNNNNNNNNNNNNNNNNNNNNNNNNNNNNNNNNNNNNNNNNNNNNNNNNNNNNNNNNNNNNNNNNNNNNNNNNNNNNNNNNNNNNNNNNNNNNNNNNNNNNNNNNNNNNNNNNNNNNNNNNNNNNNNNNNNNNNNNNNNNNNNNNNNNNNNNNNNNNNNNNNNNNNNNNNNNNNNNNNNNNNNNNNNNNNNNNNNNNNNNNNNNNNNNNNNNNNNNNNNNNNNNNNNNNNNNNNNNNNNNNNNNNNNNNNNNNNNNNNNNNNNNNNNNNNNNNNNNNNNNNNNNNNNNNNNNNNNNNNNNNNNNNNNNNNNNNNNNNNNNNNNNNNNNNNNNNNNNNNNNNNNNNNNNNNNNNNNNNNNNNNNNNNNNNNNNNNNNNNNNNNNNNNNNNNNNNNNNNNNNNNNNNNNNNNNNNNNNNNNNNNNNNNNNNNNNNNNNNNNNNNNNNNNNNNNNNNNNNNNNNNNNNNNNNNNNNNNNNNNNNNNNNNNNNNNNNNNNNNNNNNNNNNNNNNNNNNNNNNNNNNNNNNNNNNNNNNNNNNNNNNNNNNNNNNNNNNNNNNNNNNNNNNNNNNNNNNNNNNNNNNNNNNNNNNNNNNNNNNNNNNNNNNNNNNNNNNNNNNNNNNNNNNNNNNNNNNNNNNNNNNNNNNNNNNNNNNNNNNNNNNNNNNNNNNNNNNNNNNNNNNNNNNNNNNNNNNNNNNNNNNNNNNNNNNNNNNNNNNNNNNNNNNNNNNNNNNNNNNNNNNNNNNNNNNNNNNNNNNNNNNNNNNNNNNNNNNNNNNNNNNNNNNNNNNNNNNNNNNNNNNNNNNNNNNNNNNNNNNNNNNNNNNNNNNNNNNNNNNNNNNNNNNNNNNNNNNNNNNNNNNNNNNNNNNNNNNNNNNNNNNNNNNNNNNNNNNNNNNNNNNNNNNNNNNNNNNNNNNNNNNNNNNNNNNNNNNNNNNNNNNNNNNNNNNNNNNNNNNNNNNNNNNNNNNNNNNNNNNNNNNNNNNNNNNNNNNNNNNNNNNNNNNNNNNNNNNNNNNNNNNNNNNNNNNNNNNNNNNNNNNNNNNNNNNNNNNNNNNNNNNNNNNNNNNNNNNNNNNNNNNNNNNNNNNNNNNNNNNNNNNNNNNNNNNNNNNNNNNNNNNNNNNNNNNNNNNNNNNNNNNNNNNNNNNNNNNNNNNNNNNNNNNNNNNNNNNNNNNNNNNNNNNNNNNNNNNNNNNNNNNNNNNNNNNNNNNNNNNNNNNNNNNNNNNNNNNNNNNNNNNNNNNNNNNNNNNNNNNNNNNNNNNNNNNNNNNNNNNNNNNNNNNNNNNNNNNNNNNNNNNNNNNNNNNNNNNNNNNNNNNNNNNNNNNNNNNNNNNNNNNNNNNNNNNNNNNNNNNNNNNNNNNNNNNNNNNNNNNNNNNNNNNNNNNNNNNNNNNNNNNNNNNNNNNNNNNNNNNNNNNNNNNNNNNNNNNNNNNNNNNNNNNNNNNNNNNNNNNNNNNNNNNNNNNNNNNNNNNNNNNNNNNNNNNNNNNNNNNNNNNNNNNNNNNNNNNNNNNNNNNNNNNNNNNNNNNNNNNNNNNNNNNNNNNNNNNNNNNNNNNNNNNNNNNNNNNNNNNNNNNNNNNNNNNNNNNNNNNNNNNNNNNNNNNNNNNNNNNNNNNNNNNNNNNNNNNNNNNNNNNNNNNNNNNNNNNNNNNNNNNNNNNNNNNNNNNNNNNNNNNNNNNNNNNNNNNNNNNNNNNNNNNNNNNNNNNNNNNNNNNNNNNNNNNNNNNNNNNNNNNNNNNNNNNNNNNNNNNNNNNNNNNNNNNNNNNNNNNNNNNNNNNNNNNNNNNNNNNNNNNNNNNNNNNNNNNNNNNNNNNNNNNNNNNNNNNNNNNNNNNNNNNNNNNNNNNNNNNNNNNNNNNNNNNNNNNNNNNNNNNNNNNNNNNNNNNNNNNNNNNNNNNNNNNNNNNNNNNNNNNNNNNNNNNNNNNNNNNNNNNNNNNNNNNNNNNNNNNNNNNNNNNNNNNNNNNNNNNNNNNNNNNNNNNNNNNNNNNNNNNNNNNNNNNNNNNNNNNNNNNNNNNNNNNNNNNNNNNNNNNNNNNNNNAGGCUACAAACACUGCAGUUUUUUUGCUGAAUAGGCUGCCAACUAGAGUUUUGCAGAAAAAAACUCCAUUUGAAGCCUGGUUUGGUUAUAAACCAGAUUUGAAGAAUUUAAGAACUUUUGGUUGUCUCUGUUUUUCUUAUGUGCCACAGGUGAAAAGAGACAAACUUGAUAAGAAGGCAGAACCAGGAGUUUUCAUUGGAUAUAGCAACUCUUCCAAGGCUUACAGAAUUUUCCAACCACAAAAUGGAAAAAUUCUUGUAAGUAGAGAUGUCAAGUUCAUGGAGGAUAGACAAUGGAACUGGGAGGAGUCAAUAAAGAUGCAACUGCCAAAGGUUCCACAAUAUUUUGAUGAAGACAUAGAUGAUGUCCCAGUUAGAGGUAUAAGGUCCUUAUCUGAUGUUUAUGAAAGAAACAAUGUUGCUGUUUUUGAGCCUGCAGAAUUUGAAGAGGCAGAGAAGGAUGACAAGUGGAUUGAAGCAAUGAAAGAGGAGCUUAGAAUGAUUGAAAAGAAUGACACCUGGGAGUUGGUGGACAGACCUCAACACAGAAAGGUCAUUGGAGUCAAAUGGGUUUAUAGAACCAAACUUAAUGCAGAUGGUUUUGUAAAUAAAUACAAAGCCAGAUUAGUUGUGAAGGGGUAUAGUCAAGUGUUUGGAGUGGAUUUCUCAGAAACUUUUGCUCCAGUAGCACGCUUGGAUACAAUCAGAAUGUUGCUUGCUUUGACAGCACAAAAGGGAUGGAAAACUUACCAGUUGGAUGUAAAAUCUGCUUUUUUAAAUGGUUAUCUUCAAGAGGAAAUUUAUGUAGAGCAGCCCGAGGGAUUCCAAGUCAAGGGACAGGAGGAGAAGGUCUACUUGUUGAAGAAGGCCUUAUAUGGUCUUAAACAGGCUCCCAGGGCCUGGUACAGUAGGAUUGAUGAACAUCUUCAAAGUCUUGGAUUUGUUAAAAGUCCAAGUGAAGCNNNNNNNNNNNNNNNNNNNNNNNNNNNNNNNNNNNNNNNNNNNNNNNNNNNNNNNNNNNNNNNNNNNNNNNNNNNNNNNNNNNNNNNNNNNNNNNNNNNNGAUGUGAUAGCUCAAGUACAGCAGAGGCANAUAUGUAGCAGCCAAUGCUACUGUAAAUCAAGCAAUUUGGAUCAGAAAAUACUUGCAGAUCUACACAUGAAGCAAAAUGAGCCAACACAGAUUCAUGUAGAUAACCAAGCUGCAAUUGCAAUUUCAAAUGAUUCUGUUUUUCAUGGCAAGACUAAGCAUUUCAAGAUCAAGUUGUAUCACUUAAGAGAAGAACAAAAGGAUGGUGAAGUUAAACUGCUUUAUUGCAAGACUGAGGAUCAAAUUGCAGAUGUGUUAACCAAGGCUCUACCAAAAGCUAGAUUUGAAACCUUAAGAGGUAAAAUAGGCCUUUGCAGCUACUAAGGCAAGGAGGAGUGUUGGAAACGUGCCUUUAGUUGCUACAGUUAUGGGCAAACAAAAAGUUGCUGAAUAAUUGGUCAAUAGACCAAGUCUUUAGGAAUAUUUUCUGGAUAUAUAUAUAUAUAUAUUUUGUUUUGGCUUGAUAUUAGGAAUUGGUUAGACAUGGCUAGAAAUUAGCAAAUUCUCUUGACUUUCUGUUAUGUUUCAGCUCUAUAUAAAGAGCAAUGCAAUGAAUAAAAAUAUACUUCCAGAUACCAAGUUUUUCUUUACUGAAAAAAAUUUGUUUUUCUUUGCUGUCAUAAAUUUCUGCCCUGUUCUUGUGCCAUAUAUCAACAGUAACAUAAUCUUUCUAAGUUGACAUUUCUGUUUGGCCAUGGAAGUAACAAUGAAAAACCUCCUUUUGUCUGACAGUGCCUUAGGAGAUCCGUUCACACAUGCCUUGCCUGCAUUAAUCUCCUUUGCUUGAUCAUGUUCAAUACAAUCAUGGAUUCUAUACGAGGAGAAAUAUGAGAUACAUUCUUUUAAUGUGGAUUUCUACAACCCAAUAUAGAGCUCAUGAAGAAAGCCAAGGCGAGAAAGAGUGAAGAGCUGUCUCCAAGUUAUCUUUGCCCCCAAACUUAACUAACAAGACCCAUAAAUAUUUAUUAUUAAUUUUUCAUGUCAUAUGAUUGCAGAAAACCAGAGAUCUUAAUCCUAAUAGAAAAAUCUCCCUGAAAAAAGCAACCCAUUGGAGGAAUUGGAAAAUCCAUUUGCUUGGGAGGACAGAACUUUGCACAAAAUUUCUUAAUCUCAUUUUUGUCUUCUUACACAUAUCCCUCAGUCAGCCAAAAAGGAAUAGUUCCCUAUGUUGGUUGAGCAAAUCCUGCUGGAAGAUAAAGGCAUUGCUAGCUCAAGGGGCACCAUUCAGAAAAAUACAGGAUUGAGUUUUAGGCCUUCCAUUGCCUGCACUACUUCAGCAGACGAAGCUGCAUCCUGCUGGCAGUCUGCCAAGGAUGUCAAUUACAAUGAUCAUCCGAAAUAAGUAUGCAUGGCCUAUUUGGAUUAAUGGGCCUGUUAGCUGUUUAGAAGCAAGGGAGGAUCAUUAUGACUACAACAGAACUACACAACUUACUGUUAGUUCAAUAAAUCUGACUAGCUCCAGUGCAUUACAUGUGAACCAAGCCUAUCCAACAAAAAGUUAUGGCAUAAGAGAAAUCUGAUCCACCCUCUUGAACCAAAAAUCAACACUUACCUUCACCACAUAGCUGAAAUAUAAGUUGAAUGAAAGAGUCACUAAAGUAUUAACAUGUUCUUGAAAAAGAAACUUCAACAAGGCCACCACCAUGGCUCUUGACUAUGUACUUCAUAUUCACAACAUCCUACCAGAAUUCUCUCUUGUUGAGGCAUCUGGUUCAAAUCAAAUCCCCAUGCUCUUGACUAGACCAAUCUGUGCAGAUUAUUGAAAUCUAUCUCAGGAAUGCAAUUUCUCCUCUAGUUUGUGGAGCUUGUUUGCCAGCUUCUUCAGAUCAGGUUUGUGGAAUACAGAUAUCAAGUAGCGAGACACUCCCACAUUGCUGUUUUUUCCAAAACUACCAGGCUUAUUCAGCAUUGACAUCUGAGACACUUGCAUUUUUCCAUUCUUUUCCUGUUUGUCCAUCUUAGCACAGUCAUGUUGUAGAAACUACUCAUUGAAGACAAUAGAGAGGAGAGAAUGCAAAUCUUCCCCUUUUUGUUAAUGAUAUACAAAGAUUCUAAGCAUAUUGUCAAUGAGACUCCUCAAUAUGCUAGAUGGGUUGCCAAGGAUGAACAACCCUUAUCCCUGUCCUGGCUCACAUACCUACCCCAAUUUGAGGCAUCAUUCAAUUUCUGACCCAAACAAGGUGUAGGACUUGGCAUCCAGUCGGUGUAAUCCCAUCCAUGACCCAAAAUAUAGAACUGGAUAUCAAAUUCCUUCACUAUCCCAAAAUUCAUUUUCUCGAAAAUAGUCAUCCCAUUUGCUACAGAUGUUACAGUACCAAACUGGCCUGUGUGCACACUGAUUUACCUAUAUUGUAGCCUGCUUUUAUGUGCAUAGUUUGUCCACAAAAUCUAAAAUAUCACCAUGUCAAAAAGAAACAAAAUAUAAAAUAUCACCAUGUCAAAAAGAAUACAUCCACCUCAUCUGGCUUCUUCAAGACUUUUCUGUAGAAAUAUUAGUAUAUCACACUAACGUAGUUAGCAAAUAGGGGUCUAAGAAGAAGGAGAAGUAGGAAUGCAUCAAUGGAAAUUCAGGUAGUCUUCUUUCUAGGAUGUCAAGAGGAAUCCAUUCAAAAAGCAGGAUUGAUACAUCCAUGGAAAAACCAAUCAAUCUGGUUCAAGAAAUGCAGAAAAACAUAACAGGGCACUACAAAAGAGACCAGACGUAGUCAGCAAUAGCACAUUCAGGAAAGGAGCCAGAAGUAUUAUAUUCACUGGUUGUGGAAUAUCUUAAGAUUUGAAUGAAUCAACUAGAAUUAGUUAGUCACAACAUUCCAGAACGUCAUCAUCAUCCAUAAUUUGAUAUUCAAAUAAAAUCAAAUAUAGAAGUCAUCAAUUGUUCCAUUAAGGAGCCUAGCAAGGUGAAUGUGAGUGUAACAGUGGCAAUGGGAACCCAGUCCACACCAACUAAUGUGAUGGGCCAGAUGAGUAGUGCCUAAAAAAAUGAGAAAUAGGUAAUGUCCAAUACCGGAUACCAACUCAAAAAUAAGUGGGUCCAAAAUAAAACUCGACCGUUGCUGUAAGGUGAAAACGAUGGUCCCCAUUUGGAAGUUGUCUUUUUGCCAUGCCAAUUUGGUGUCUCUGAUGUAUAUCUUUUUUUCUUUCUUUCUUUUUUUCAUUUUAAUUCUAAAGAAUCCAAUUCAUUCAAACCAGGUCAUGUGAUAGUGUGUUACCUUUUUUGCUUUUUCUUGGGGUUCUUCUUCUUCCUUUAAUCGUUUGGGCUUUUAGAUUGUUAUCAACUAUAUCAUUCCUUUCUUUCCCUCUUUCUUUCUUUCUUUUAAUCCAAUCUUUAGCAACUGAGAAGGAUCACACUGUUCUUGAGUCCCCAUGGCUACUGAGACUGUUAUAUCAGAUCAUACUGCUACUAAUGAGGUAAGCUCUUGGUUUUUUAUCCUCUUUUUUCAUAUUCAAUCCUUGUUGUAACCAUAAAUUCAGAUGUGAAGUAGUUCUUGGGUUAUGGAAUUCAAAAUGAUUAGAACUUUGUGGGUUUCUUCUUCCUUUUUUUUUUUAAAUCCUUUUUGAGCAAAGACCCAGUUGUGACAUAGGUUUGUAUUGUUGGAAUUAGAUGAUCGAAGUCAUAAUUAUGCCCAUAUUUAAAGUUGUUUAUAUUGUGAAAUCUACUUGAGUAUCUGGUUUGAAGGCAUCUUAAAAGCCAUCUGGCUGUGUGGAAUUGGCAAACCUUUGAGCUUUUAUGAGAAGUCGAUAGUUUCCCUUCACAGUUUUUCAUAGUUCUGGGUUUAGUCCUAUAUCAAGUUGAAGUUUGAUCUUUGAAGUCCUGGUACCAAAUGUUAUACAAAUAUACUUUUUAGGGGAAAAUUCAGGAUUUGCAGUGUGAAAUAGUAAGUAGUAUGUCUACUAUUAGAUGGUGAUUUCUAUGUUGUGAACUGAAGGGAGUUUCAAAGUAUAUCAGAUAGUCAGUAAAAUGACAUCUAUCUAAUCUCAUUCUUUGGGAGAAGCAAAUAGUGGUUAUAAUAUGGAUUUUCCUGUAAAUCCAUCAGGUGUUUAUGAAUUGAACUCUCAAGGAAACAUGCAUUCUUCACAUGAAAGUUUCCCUUAAGUAUCUAGUCAAUUCAUCUUGUUUUCUUAUUCUUUUAAGCUGUCCCAUGAAGUAUCGGAACCUACCACUCCUUUCUGAGAUUUCAAUCAGAGAAUUGAUGAUUGAUGAAGUUAAGAGGCUUAAGAGUUAAAAUUAAUUAUGGUUACACUUUGUUGCAGUCAGUGGCACCCCUUUAUCGCUAUGUUCAAUAUUCUCAAUUUUCAUUUUUGGAUCAUCAUAGUUCUUAUAUUUGUUCAUCUAGUCUUUUCUCUCUGACUUUCCAUAUUUAACUUCAAUGGGAAGACCGAACAAUUUUCAUCUUCCACCCACUGUUUCUUUCUGUUGUUCUUAUUGUAUUUUUUGAAGUGUCAUUCUUGUUCUUGAAUCCUUUUAGUUGAAGCUGAUCAUUUUUCAUUUACCGCAUCAGGUAGAGAAGAAGGUGAAUGAGGAAGUAAAAACAGUUCCACCAGAGCUAGUUUCUCCAUCCAAUGAAACUGAAGAAGAAAAACCCAAAGCUGAGGCAUCUCUGAGUCCAGAAGCUCCAUCUAAAUCAGAAGAAAAGGAGGAGGAUGAGAAGAUUGAGCCUUCUUCUAUAAUCAGAGAGAUUGAGAAGACUGGUGAAAGUCCUGUUGUGGAUGAAGAAGUAAAACCGGUUGAACAAGAGACACUUUCUUCAGUGAAGGAAAUUGAAGAAGAAAAAUCUAUGGUUGAGGAAGAAAAAGCACUUGAACAAGAGACAAUUUCUCCAUCCAAGGAAACUGAAGAAGAAAAACCAAAGGCUGCAGAAUCACAAAGUCUAGAAGCUACUUUGCCUGAAGCAGAAGAAAAGAUGGAGGAUAAGCAGAUUGAGCCUUCUCCAGUAAUCAAAGAGGUUGAGAAGUCUAGUGAUGCUCAGGUUUCAGAUGAAGAAGUAAAAACAGUUGAACAAGAGACAAUUUAUCCAUCCAAAGAACCAAAGGCUGGGGAAUUGAGAAGUCCUGAAGCUCCUUCUUCUAAAUCGGAAGAAAAAAUGGUGGAUGAGCAGAUUGAGCCUUCUCUAGAAAUCAAAGAAGUUGAGAAGAUCGGUGAUGCUCUUUCAGGUGAAGACAUAAAAACUGUAGAACAAGAGACACUUUCUCCAUCCAAGGAAACUGAAGAAGAAAAAUUGAAGGCUGAGGAAGUAAAAAAAGUUGAACAGGAGAAAAUUUCACCAUCCCAGGAAACUGAAGAAGACAAACCAAAGGAUGCAGAAUCGCAAAGUCCAGAAGCUCCUUCAUCUAAACCAGAAGAAAAGAUGGUGGAUGUGCAGACUGAGACUUCUUCCAUAAUCAAAGAGGUUGAGAAGACUGAUGACACUCCUGUUUUGGAUGUUCCAGUUGAAGAUAAUUCCACAGAAGCAAAAGAAUCCUUUCCUGAUGCUGACAUACCCAGUGCUCCAGAGCCAGUAGUCCAACCAGCAGUUGAGUCAGUUGAAGAACAACCACCAGAGAAACCAGCAGUGGAGUCUAUUGAGAAACAGCCAGAUGAGAAAACAAAGAUUGUUGGCAGUGCUGAAUCAUCAGUUGAAGCCAUUAAGGAAACAGAGGAGCCAGUGGAAGUUUUUCCUGUCAAAGAAUCAGAAGCAGUAGUAAAAGAAAGAGAGGAUUCGGAGAGUGGGUCCAUAAAAGUAGAAAAACAAGAACCGGCAGUUCCUGAAGUGGAGGAAAAGCCACAAGAAGAACCUGAAGCUACUGAAAAAGUCAACACAGAAUCUGAGAUUGAGCAUAAAGAAAGCGCUGAAAUUGAAAUAGUCAAAGAUAAAGAGACUUUGGCUGAUAAGGUUGAGGAUACCAUAGUCUUGAAGGAGGAGGAAACCAAGAAAGAUCAGGAGCCUUUUCCAUCUGCAACUGCAGACCAACUUGUUCUAAUUAAUCAGGAAGUUCAAGCUGAUCCAAAAGGAGAUGGAUGGGAAACCUCUCUUCCUCGUGUUUCAGAAAAGGAAGUCAAGGAGUUGGAAAAGAUUAAAGAGGAUGAAGCAAACUAUGUGAAAACUGAAAAUGAGAAUGAAGAGCAUGUGAGUACCAAGGAGUUGACCCAGCCAGAAAUACUGAAAGUUGAGGAAGUGAGCAAUUCCAUUUCUAACGCUGAGGUUACUGAAAAAUUGUUGGAAGGGGAGAACGUGAACACUGAAGAAGAUGACAAAGAUAAUGUGAUUAUAUCAACCCAGCCAGAAACAAAGACAAUCGAGGAUGCUAGUAGUUCCCUUGCUGCUACUGAGGUUACUGAAAAAUUGUUUGAGGGAGAGAAUACUAGCAGAGAUGUUGAGCUGUUUUCUGAAAACAAGAAAGAAGAGCUGACAUCAGUGGAAACUGACAAAGAUGGGGAGUUGGAAGGAAAACUGGAUGAAGUCACUACUGCUGAUAUUGUUAAGCCAACUACAGAGCCUCCAGAGACUGAAUUGGAAGUGAAAGGAGAGUCCCAGGAGACUGAAUUAGAACUGAAAGAAGAGGAAACUGCAAAAGCCAGUAAAGAAGUUAAUGAGGCUGCAAAAUCCGAUGUUCCACUGGAGUCUGCCAAGGAUGGGGUCGAUGAAAAAACUACCCAGGACCUGCCAAAGCAAGAAGUUUCAGCCAAGCCAGCUCAAAAGCAAUCAAAUAACAUAAUAUCAAAGGUGAAACAGUCUCUUGUGAAGGCGAAGAAAGCUAUAACUGGAAAAUCUUCAAGAUCAACCCAGCGUGAUAUCAAAAUCAGUAGCGUUUGAAGUCAUAAACUUUGCAGAGAUUUAUAUGGACGCAUUGUUCCUUCCAUCAUUUUCAUGAAAAUAUAGCAUAAUAGUGGUUUGCAUCAGCGUUGCUGUUUUCUGUUAGUCUUUGGCUUGUCGGUGUGAUGAUAGCAAAGGUGUGUACAUAGUUGAACAACACGCUCCGCUCCAUCUUGUAAAAACUACGUACUUCUUCUCUUUCACUUUAUUCUUUUUAGUUGUAUGCAUUGUUUGCUUGUUGGUGAUUGAUUGUUGUCAAUAAUGGUCGUUGGAUCAAACGUUUCAAUUUUUAAGAUGAUGUAUAGAUUUGUGUUGUGGUUGUGAUUAAUGUUUAUCAGCACUGUCAUUACUAUUCUUCUGCAUUUCACUUGAUAAGAUAAUUUUGAUUCUUCCAAUUAGAUUUUGCUUCAGGGCAAAUCAAGUGUACUGUACUAAAUUUGCUAGUGCUCAACUCAACAAGCCUUAUUUCAACUACAUAGAAUCAGCUAGAUGAAUCCAUUUUCUUAAAUCAGCUAGAUCAUCAUGUCUCUUCUCACAGAUCAAACUUCAUUGGUUUUAACCUUUCAUUUCUCUUUGUAGUCCCUUCAACUUGAACCAAUUACUUUCAUACCAGUACAAUCAUUAAAUUUGGGCAACAUAUUGAUUGUUAGGAAAAAAAAAAAAAAAGAAGUCAGUGACUGAAGCAGAGUUCAUUUCCUAAUUAUUCCAAAUAUGAAAAUUUUAUGUUAUAGAACUCGAUGGUUUGUAGAAUAUGAUUACUGUUAACAUCAAUCCGGGUUUUGCAGGAAAAAGAAAUCCUAUACAAUACUAACAAGCUUCAUACCCCACUAAAACGACACAAUGGGUCAAGAAAUCCAUGAUUAAGCAAGUAGAAAGCAGCCUUAAAGUUGCAUUUUUCUUUUGAAAAGGUGUGGGUACAGGGUACCUCAAUGAUGGAAGGGAGGCCAGUGAUUCAUGGGUAGGGAGGAUUAGGACGUUUAAAACCAUUAUUGCCCACACGUGGACUCAUGGUAGAGGAGUCAUGAUGGAUUGAUUGGAUACCCAGAAGGAAUUAAGAUGAAAUUUCAUGGCUGUAAUGCUGUCACCAGGAGCUAAACAGAGAAUACAACCUAAAUCAAGCAUUUGAUGUGAACGGUACUUCACCAAAUCCAAUAUCUAACUUCAGAGCAAACUAUUCUUACCUAGUUUGUCCAUAUCAUAAACACAUCCACAAAUAUUAAGAACCACUAAACACCAUCAAAUGCAUAAGUUAUAGGAAUAGAUGAAGCUGUUCUAAUACCCACAACAUGGAGAGAGAGAGAGAGAGAGAGAGAUGAUUUGCUUGCCAAAACUAUGAUUUCAUUAAUUUAAAGAAUUAUUAACACAGGUCUUAAACACAUUUGAAUACAUGUUCUAAGAAGUUCAACUCUUUUGACAUUGGAAUAACUGGGUGGGCACGGAAGUGAAUGUACAAAUGCAAGAGAAAGGUUCAACUCUGAAACUCUUCAUCGUACCAAAAUCUGUGCAGUUUUUAGUCUUUAGUGUCCUGAAACUAAUAUUCUGAUCGUCAUUGUCAGGGUUCCACCUCACUCUGCAACUCCAAGGAACGUUUUUCUCAAUAAUUGAAUGAGAUUUGCCCAGAUCUCUGACAAACAAUUAUAAGAUUCAAUCUCCAUAGGCUGCAAAACUGAUUCCUCUCUUCUCCAUUCAGGUCGUCUAUCAUGUCUGUCAAUGACAACCUGCAUAUACAAGUGGGUGUUAAUAUUUUCUUCAUUGAAUCAGCAUUUAAUGCUAAUCACAUGAAUGGAAAAUCAAGAAUAUGGACUCGCUAAAAUCCACUCACAGGCUGCUCCACUAGGUACAAUGUCAUUUGUGCUGGCAGAGUCAAACACCUUCACCGUGACUAACAUCUGGGGCUUGAUCAUUUUUUUGCACCAAAGCAGACUGCUCCUGACACUGACAUUACAAACAACACAAGUUUAUUGGAUUGAGAUUACCUAAGGCUAGACUGCAACUCAUUUUAAAGGAACAAUAGAAAGUUACAGACAAUGUAGGGGAAAAGUUCUGGAUGGUUGGUAGAAUCUAGUAAUCUGCCUUUAUAUACAAGGAACAAGUACAAAUUUGUUAUUAUCUUUACUUCAUUCCAUUUCAUUCCUGAUGGGGGAGAUUCUGCAUCCAUAAACUAGGAAAAGAAGCUCUCUGCAAAGGCAUUCCUGAAACUUUUACUAGGUACAAAACAUAACAAGUAGUUAUAGGAGUAGUAGUGAUGGUCAUACUAUAAGAAACUGAGCAUACGGUACCAAAGUAUUUUUUGUCCAAAUUCAUUUUCCUCUUAUAAAUGAAUUAGCAUCUUAGUUGGCACUCCUAUGGUUAUGACACUUCAGUUAAGGCAAUCUAUGCAAUGGCAAACACGGAGAAAGAACCUUCCUCCCACAAAGAAACUAGUGUUUUUGUCAGCAUUCCUCCAGCUAUGAGAGUUUAAUCGAGGCAAUAAUGAAAGAGAGAGAGAGAGAGCAGAAAGAAAGAAUCCUAUAUGCAUGUGUGUGGAUGAGACAGAGAGUAAAAAUCCUAUAUCUAGCACAUUUAUGUUCCCCAACCCACACCCCAACCUGAAUAAAAAAAUGAAGGUUAAAACACAUUUUCAUUUUAUGUGAGGAAAGUUUUUGUAUUAAACUAAUUAAAUUGAUCAUGUUUCUCCUGGUGUCUUCUUUUAUAGCAGUUGUCAAAAUUUUCCUAAAUACCAAGUUCAUCCAUAAAAAUAUAUGUUGCAUCUACAUUUUAUGUAAAAUGUACCCCACUUAGCUGACAGCAGUGAUUUCAAUUUUUUCUUUCAGAAAUGCAACUCCAUAGAGAAUGGACAAACCUGACUUGAUGCCAUUGAGCUAUUGGCAUCAUUGUUUUGCAUCACUUGUGAGUUCACAUUUUGUAUCAGAUCUUUUGAACUUGAGGCUGGAGCAGAAUCAGGAACUUCCAUAGAGCCUGCUGCCCCAGAGUCAUUCAGUGCCAUGGAAGACUUCAUAAGGGGACUCCCAGACAUAGGAAUUAAUGGUGCAUGAGGCAUCGACAAGGGAAUUCCUUGACCAGGAAGCCCAAAUACUUGAAGAUUGGAUCCCACCAUCCCAUGCAAAUUAGGAGGGACCGAAAUAGGUCGACCAGGGAAAUGUGUUCCUUGCAUUGGAGGUGCCUGAAUAAAGGGGCAACUGGGAGAACCACCAUUCAUAUCAAGCAUGCCCAUCCCAUAACCCAUCCCCAUUCCCAUGCCCAUUCCAACACCCAUGGGUGGAAAGUGACCCAUAUGAGCUGCAUGUAUGUGCUGCAUUCCAGUCGGCAACAUCAUGGGAGGCAUGCACAAUCCGGUUCCCAUUGACAUAAUCUGCGCAGCAAUAUGCCAUGACACCAAUGCAGUUACUUUGAUCAUCAAAAUGCAGAAAAGAAAAUAGAAAAAUAAGUGAAAAAGAAAAAGAAAAAAAAAAGGAGAAAAGGUAAGAAAAGAAAGUUCACCUGUACUUGAAGUUGAAGGGUUUUCAAGUACUCAAUGGCUUCAUCAAGCAUUGAUGCUUUGUCCACCUUAUCAUACAAAAUGCAUGGUUAGGAGAAUCAAACUAUCAAGUAUUAAUUGGUUGUUUAAUUCAUUGUUUUAACCACAUCUGCAUGUUUCCAUAGAAUUUCAGAAAUUAGUACUUUCUGAAGCAACAAAAAUCAGCUCAAAGUGGUCAAAACAUUUUCUUUAUGCAGUAUCACAAAUAAAGCGCUGAGGGAAGUUGAACCCUAGGCAUGUGAACCAUACAAGGAGCUCCAGGAGAGAAAAGCGAAGAAAAAAAAAACAUUAGGGCCUAAAGCUAAAGGCCAAAAACCAAAGACCUUAGACCAUCCCCCAAUGUAUCAACGAAAUCAAGAAAGAACAAGCAUACCAGACCAAAAGUUUAAAAUCUUGUCUGGGGUCAGCUUUUACUUUCAAAUUUCCAUGAUUCUUGAAAAACUACCACAAAUUAAUUCUACAUCCUCAAGACCAAAGUAAAACUGAAUGUUAGAAUCUAAACGCACAGUGAGAUAACAGUCAUUACAAAACUUAUAGAUGUCGUCAAGCCAUUAGUUUGAAUUGUAGAUAACAUAUCAACCUUAUUGCAGUUGGGUAUGAGUUCUUGUAAUGCACGCAUCUUCUCGUUGAUCCUGUCCCUUCUCCUCUGUUCCAAAAGGUCCAAAAUAAGCACCAGAAAGGAUCUUAAAUUCCAGAACCAACACAGAUGAAAUAAAAUCAAAGUUAAAAUAAAUAAAACAAGGCAGACAAUGUCUUUUUAUUGCUAACCCUUUCGGAUAAAUUAUGCACUUCUGCUGCUCGACUUCUCUUAGAACCUGUACCUCCCUUAGCAGGAGCUGAUUUUCUCACACCCACUGAUUCUUCUUCAACAUCCUGCAAAUAAUUGAUUUGUUGGUAACAGGGAAGAAUGAGGCAAAGAAAGGAAAGAUCUAGAAACAAGGAAAACGAUGUAAAUUGAACAUCUUCACUCACUUCACUCGGGCAUUCAGACUCCUCUGUGUCACGGCAUUUUCUCUUUAAAUUAUGUUUUGGGUCAUUUGAAGCUCUCUCCACGCUAUUGCCUGAGCAAACAGAAGAACAAGCAACUGCUGGCUCUAUAGUCUUUUCACCAUCUGGAAUCCCUUUAGCAGUUCUUGCACCAAGAACUUGGUUGGAGGAUUUUUCAUUCUUGCAGGCACCUUCUUGGCAAAUGACUGGGGAUUGCUCAGCAGGAAGUGGUUCCUCCAUAGUUUUAGCCACCACCGGUUUUAAAUCAACACUUGCAGGCACCAUAACAGGUUCACUAUGAGAAUCCACAUCCUUCUGUAAACCACAACUGGAAUCAACAUGUCUGGAUUCAGCAGGAUUUCUACUGCUGGCAGCAGGCUGCUUAUCCUUACUUCCAAUUCUAUCUUUGCUUGAUGAACUAGGACCAGCAAUAGCACCAAUGUUCUGAAGAUUAGCUUUAACAAGAGCCGCAGGUCGUGAGAAAUGGGAGAAGUUCAUCAACCCAGAGUUAUUUCUAGUCUGUCCUGGAUCUUGCUUCUGGGUCUUUGUGCUCGAAAAACCACUUGUGGAAGCUGGAAGCCGAAUGGAGUUGCCAGAAACUGUAUGGUGCAUAGCAUUGCUUGUGUUAUUACUGAUGGGAUCUGAAACUUUUGAUCUCAUAGAUGGAAAUAGCGUUUGACACUGCUGGGAUGAUGGGGGAUAUAACUGGCUACUUCUCGGCCUACUAGGCUCAACACCUGCUGCAGAAGCUUUAGAUGCAUUCCCUUGUUCUAGACUCACACCAUUAUGUGCAGAAAUGGUAUUGGAAUCUUUAAUUGUCUGAUUAUUACUAUUCCUCUUCUCCCCGGAUGCAAAAUUGCAAUGAGUGGAUAACUCGUUUACAGUGACACCGGAUAAUUCUUGCAAGAAAUCUGAACAAUAAUCAUGUUGUAAAGAUUCAUCGAUGGGAUAAUUCAACCAAGGUACCAUAUCAUCGUCUUGACUCAACCCCAUUUCAGCAGAUGGCACGGACAAUGGAAAAUCAUUCAAGAUAAAAUCCAUUGACCCGAACUUUCCCAUCUUUGAAUUGGUGCCAUGUCCAGUAUCUUUAUCACGAGGCUUAGGGGUGUGAGAUGGAAAACUGUUAGAUAAGGGACUCUUCCUAGCUCUACUGGACUGACCUUGCAUCAUAAUCUGACCACCUUCCCAUACUAGCUCAACAAAAUCGUUUUCAGGUCUGCAUUUAAAGCCCAGAAAAUGAAGCAAAUAAAUCAAAAGGGAAAGCCAGGAAAUAUCGGGAGUACUCAGUAAUGCAAUCAAGGACUAAGCUUGUAAAUAUGGUAAAAUAAGUCAAAUGAAAGAAAUUGAACACUUACCCAAAAGAGAGAUCAUUUGUUUUCUGUUGCACUGAUUCGGGUUUCCCCUUAGCCAUUCGAUAAAGCUCAGAGAAAGGCAUGAUGAGGAUUUGAAUUACUAUUUUCUAAUUGCUAUCACAAUCACUUUGCCAUUGGUGCACUCUUAUGAUUCUAUAAAUCAACUCUCCCUCUCAACAACCCAAAAACUAGCAUGGCCAUCAGCGGAAGCCUAGUUAAAGACAAUCCCGGUUGAAGUAACAGGAGCAAAAAGGAAAAGCCUUCUACUCCUUUUACAGUUACAUAAUUUCCAGAACAAAAUCUUGCUUUUAAUACCAAUGUCCUAAUCACUAAAUUACAUAUAAAUUAAAAAUGAUUUUAUCAGUCAAACCAAUUCUUUAAUGACUCAGAAAGAUCCGAAAACCCUCUAAAUUAAGCUGCUUUGAGUUAAAAAACUCCAUCCUUUCCGCUUUUUCAAUCAUCAAAUAAUAAAUUAAAAAAACCCCAGAUAAACCCACAACAGAUUUGCUAAAUUAUUCAAUAAAAUCUCAAUAAUCUCCACUAAAAACCAAGUACAUAAAGAAACCCAAAUCUCAGAACCAAGUAAGUAAGCUUCACCUCCAAUUAUAUCACUCCAAGUCACAACCCAGUGAGCAAAUUGCCAUUGAACUCAAUGAAAAGGAAACAAAAAACUUUUGGAAAAUUGAAGCCUCCUCGAACCAAACAAAAAAAGACGCCAAUCCAGAUGCAUGAAGAUGUGGAAAAAACUGAAACUUGAGACUCAGAAGCUGAAGUUAUCGAGAGAGGUGAGAUGGGUGGUAGUAGAAGACGGCGAAAGGCUUGGGAACAAUGGGAAGUCUUUGAUUUGUUGCAGUGGCAGGGGGCUAACCCAACAACUGCCCUCUCACCUUUAACCACAGUCAAGUUCCUUUUUAACCAAUCAUACUUCAUUUUCAAGUUUGCACUGCUUUUCUAGUUUUUUGAGUUUUUAAAAUUUUUUUCUUCCAUUUGUAUGUGUAAGUGUGGGCCCAUUGUCUCUAUUCUCAUCCAACGGUUCUUGUGAAUUGUGUCACUCUCUCAUUAUUGAAAUUGCACUAUAUUUAAUUAUUUUAUAUACACCCUGUGCCCCACACCACACACCACACACCACCACACUCACCCUUUGGCCUCAUGGCCUCUUUGUUGUGAAGAGUAAAUGAUAGGGUGGUUCUAAUCAGAUAAGGGAGGUGCAGUGUCUCUGUUCCAUGUAUUCGAAUUCAACAAUAUUAUUCUAUUCCAUUCUAUAUGUUUUUAAAUGUUAUCCCAAAAUAUAGUUAUACUUGUGGGGUUUAUAUGUAUUCAUUCCCCUUUCCCUAAUAUAAAAAAACAACUCAAGAUUGGGUGCCUUGCCCUUUUUCCUACUUCUAGCAUUAUCCUUGGGUUUGAAAGUUUUGGGUUCUCAAGGAUUCAUAAAGUAAUUGCUUUGUCCAUCAUGGGUUUCUCAUUUAUUCUACUCUGCUUUCAUUGUCACCUAGACUUAGACUCUACAUUUGUUAUUAUUUGUAAAUGUAAAAUCAAAUUCUUUUAUUUUACUUGAAGAAUUUAAAGUAUUUUGAUUCUCAGUUAAAAAGCUGAAAAUGUGAGAUCAGAUUACCACCUCCCCAAUAGUUUAUAAUAGAAGGAAUUGUUUGUCGCCCUCACAAGUGCCCUUUGUUGAAAAGAGCAUGAUAGGGUUCAUUAGGGGACACCCAAAUCACUGCCUUUAUCCAGUAAGAUAGAGAGGAAGGACCCACUGGAUUAAAAUAUGAAUUUGAUUAGAUUUGGGUUGAUGAGAUUAGGGGAUGUCUCUGUCUUCUAUGCACAAGAUCAAUAGUUGUUUAUUUGCUUUCUACUCAGUAAACGUCUAUUAAAUUCGGUUAGUUUUGAUUGAGAGAGAGGUGGGCAAUGCCCAUAGACGGAACCAAACAGUGGGGGAAAAAGGAAAAUAGAUUUUCCAGGUGGACCCUUAUGUGAUCCAGUAAGGGAUUUGGCACUAUCCAAUGUGGACCCCCUCUCCUCAUUUCUAGCAUCUUUCCCCUUUCUUUUACCUUCCCCUUUGGUGCAUGCAUGUUCCUUCUUCAGUGAUUUUGAUUGUGACCCAGAAAAUUUUUUUGAGCUUGUGGAAGCUGAGUGUCGAAUGGGAUGGUGUGCAAUUCACGUGACACUGUGCUCAUCCUUUUGUGGCCAUGGACAUGGACUUGAUAUUGGCAGCUCCUGACCGAGACACAGUGUUUCCCCCCCUCCUGCAAUUGACCCAACCCCAACCACGUGUCCCCUAUGCAAGACAAUGGCUUUGCCACUGCUCAGUGCCCACUAUUCUGUAAAGUUUUUUGAGUUUGGUUUGUCUUUGAUGAAAAGGACAUGACUGAAUCAUCUUCAAGUCUAGGGGAAUUCAAUCAAUCAACUUCGUUACAGCAGGCACACUAGGGGUCUUCCCUAUUGGUAAACUGCAGCAAUUUCCCCCCCAAAUUCUAAUUUUACUCUUAUAAAAAGUUUUGUUCCACCUUGUUCUGAGGCAGCUUCUUUCCAGCACCCCUGCAUUAAAAUAUACAACCACUUUUAAAAGGAAACCCAACCCUGACGUGAUCACAGGAGAAAAGCAUGGACUCACCUAACAAUAACGUUUACUUUCUUUUCUUAAAGCAAAAUACAAAUACCAGUUGCAAAAGUGAAAAGACUUAACCCACAUCGGUUUUUCAAACAAAAGUAUCUUACUUCGCAAAAAUAACAAUGGUAUAGGCACAUCAGAUCACAUAUGAAUCAUCUUCCUAGAAAUUACAGCAAUUCUUCAAAGUCCAUAUGAAUAGACUGACAGAUAAGGUGACCCAGAAGCCAGAAAAGGCAGCAUUAGACAAACACCAACUCAGCAGACGUGUUAGUUGCAUUUGGGGCUACCCCACACAGCAUAUUUGCAGCCUAACCAUGUCAAACAUUCCAAUACUAAUGAUAGGACUAACUUCUUCCAUUUUAGGACUAAGUAUCAUGUGUCUUAUUUUUAAACUGCAAUCUUCUAGGUUAUCCACCGCACUAAAUUCUUGAACCGACUAUGAUUCAAUAGAUGAGCAUAUUUUGUCUGAUCUUGUAACCCGAGGUCCUGCAACAGCAACCAAAAUCUUCUUGUUUGCCUCUGAUGACUUCAUUUUUUUAGUUCUAAAUUGUCCACAAAGCCUAAACAGAACAACAACCUUAAAACAAUACAGAAUGGAGCCUAUUAUUAAUCCAAAACAGCAUGUAAGGCAAAUAUAGAUAAAUAAUGUACUGUGCCUAAAAGAAACAAAAGAAAUAAUUUUCCUGAGAAAGUUGGCAUUGACCUGAUGAUCCCAUGUAAAAUAUAUCAGACACAGAAGGGAUACUAGAUUAAAAAAGGGAAAUAUACAGUGUCUCAUACAGAGAUGUGGGAAGAAGAGAGGAUAUUGUAAAUUAAUGGAGUGAGCCCCUAUGGGAUAAUGGAGGUAGGACUGACCUCACUUAAAUUAGUGCUCGUCUUGGCCGCGGAGCCUUUUUAUUGGACCAAGCAUGAAUCAUGCUUUCUCAGUACUAACAAUUUCUGCAGACCAUUGUCUCUGCUUCCCUGCAAUCUGCACAUGACUGAUAGACCCAUCUAACAUGGACAGACAUAUUUUAGGCUAGAAAACUUAAAUUGCUCUGUAAGUGGAGCAGAAGCACAGGGGCCAGGGUGCUGUUAUCUACCACCAACCUGUCUUCAUCUUUUCUCUUGUCUUUAGGUGCUACCAACAAUAUCUAGUAUUCAAUACAAUUUCUUGUGUCCCUGAAAAUCAUGUUCAAUCUGUAAUAAUUCAAAUAAUAGCACUGUUUUUUAAUAACAUAAUGAUUGGUACGCCCUUGCUCCAAACCAUGUACAUAUGUUCAGCUACCUCCACUCCUUUUAUGUUUACAUCCCACAGGACUUGAACAGGAGUGCAAACAUCAAAACAUGGAGCACUGAUAGGAAAAAAAUAAUUUCCAUUUUGCAAGUUCAUUAAUGGGCCUCAAAUGAUUCAAUUGAUUAUAAUAUUACUUCUGCCCAUGAUUUUAUGAAAUUCAGGUUUAAAGAUUUUACUAAAUUCAGAAUGACAGAGAUCAGGGCAGCAUAACUUUUGAAAUAAACAUGCGUGUGGCAGGUAAUAGAGUCACAUGGGCGUUAUUUCAACAGUAGAGAGGACUCAUGUUCUUCAAAUGGAUAUUUUCAUAAAUUUGUGAUAUGGGAACUCAAGGGGUGUUAGUGGUGGUGGUUCUGGGGAGGUUUGCCCAUACAAAGUCUACACGACACAUUAAAGUAAAGCCUGAGACCUGCCCAAGCUUGUGAUGAGAUAGCUCAACUGUGUUGCAUCAACCUUAGAGAAAUCUGGCUUUAAUGAGACCAUGUCGGCAUCAUUAUUGCAAUGUCAUCGAAUAAAAAAAAGAGUAAUUACUUUUCUCACCAGAGAGGUUUAUGAGUUGCACUUCUGUGGACAGGCAAUAAAUAGGUUGUUUCCUUUAUGAAAGCAACUUAAGAAGGAACACCUGCCAUAUUGUAACAGUGAUUCCCCUUGAUAAAAUUCACCAAUUACUGUACAAAAAAGCCACUUUGGUUCACUAUAAUAGGACUCCUAAGAGAUUAUUGUUUGAAGAGUUAAAAAAUAAAAAAUAAAAUAAAAUAAAAUAAAAAUAAAAAGAGGAAGAAAGAAACUAGUCUUGUGGUGCAACUGCAAGAUAUGACCACAUCAUGUUAUAUAUCAUGCAAGAAACAGAUCAAAGAGCAUCAAAUUAGGAAGUAGUCUCAAUUUUCUAAUGCAACUUACUUUCAGAACAGAAUCCUCUUACGCAUUGAGCACUACAUGCAUGCAUGCAAUCUAUGUUUCUGAAAGGAUAUACAGGGAUAGAAAGUUUCUGCAGAGACAGCUUCACCAGUUCACCCUCAUCAGAUAAUAAUAGCAACCGUCCUUCCAAGGCAGCAUACUCUCAUCAGAUAGUAGUAGCAAUAUCCAAGUUCAUGCACCUUUGUCUUCAAUAAUAGGCCAUGGUUAUCAGAUGGAUGACUCCACAGCCCCUAGCUACACCCAGGAGAAUCAAAAGGGACAGACAAAAGGCAAAAAGGAAAUUCCAAAAGACAGCUUUGCAGAGAUUCCAAAACAAUCAUUACUGGGCACUGCAACUUAAUUAAGGAUAUAGAGAAUUCUGCUUGCACGUCCCAUCCACAAGAACCUGGGUUUAAAAUAACACAGCUAUGUUAUAGACCUAAACUAAACCUUAUCUUUUUAAGUUUUAACAGGUCAGGAAAGGAAGCAUACUGUUCUAUUGGGUUUUUUAAAACUGUUUCCUCCUUUUGGUUAUGAUGAGCUCGGGGAUGACCUAAUGAUCACUUCAUUCUACAUACAGGAACUUGGGACCCAUUUUGUGAUAGAAAGAUGCUGCUUGGAGAAAAAUCUCCUCAGUGGCCUGCGGUAAGAACAUUAAACUUCUGAAAUCUCUUUGCUCAUAGUCAAUUUUUGUUACUUCUAACCUUCUGUCCUAAUUCUAUUUGAAGUACUGUUGCACAGCAUCCACAGCUUUCCUGGUUCUGGGGUUUCUUAGCAACUAGUUGCCAAUAAGUUAGGAUCUGCAGAAUUAAAAAUCAACUAUAAAAAUCUCAAAUCAACGUAAUAUUUGAUCAUAAAAUUUCAUAAUUAUGAUGAUAAUACAUAAAGUUUUAGCUCCAAACAAAAAUCAACAAGGAGAGACCAAAACCAUCAAAAGUACCUGAUGGAAGCAAUUUGAGGGGAUGCAUUCUUAAUUUAUUGCAGAAUGCUUUCAUAGGCUUCAACAUUUAUCAAGUAAUCUCUUGUGCAUGCCUUUGGAACUCCACUGGAUUAGCAAAGUAAUUAUCAUGAAUAUGCACUCAAAUCUUUGAUGAGAAUUCCUCAUAUCCUCCUGGCUUUAGUAUAGAGUUCAUCAAACAGUUCAUAACAAUUUUAUCACAAUUUCACAGCCCAGAUACUAAUGGUCAAUGAUAGAAUAUCUCAUAGACCAAUUAGCAUAUGAUGCAUUUUGGAUCCCCUUUUUAAAAAUUCAAAAACAAAGAACAGUGAUCAGAGGACAUAAAACUUCUUGGUCAAGCCAAAAAGACUGUCAACAGGAUGCUCCUACCCCACCAUGCCUGGCCCUUUAUCUUACUUACCUUAAGAAGAAAGUGUGGGGUUAUGAAGAGUGGGAAACAUUGCAAGAGGUAUAAUAAAUAUACAAAUAAGAUGCCUAUUGGCAACAAUGACAAUGUAAAAGACAAGUAAAUUCAAAGGUUUGCAAACAGGAAAAUUGGAUGUGCUAGUCUAAGUGUGCUAGUCUAAGCCAGAACUCUAGCUUCCUUUAAAGAAGAUUUCUCAAGAUUUGAUAAUAAUGUUACAGAAGAAAUUCGGUUAGGCAGCUCAAAAAAUACAACACUGCUAAGGGUGACAUUAUUUUGACAUUUUUUUUAAAAUAAUGUUAACUUCGAUUAAAAAGGAAAAUGAAAAAAGAGAGGCUUCCAAGAUGGUGUUUGGGACUCAUCAAAUUAUGCUGAGUCUAGUCACCAGUAAUCUCCACAGGAACAAAAACCAUCUGCAAACCGGUGGAACCGAUUGAUAUCCCUGACAAUAAUCUCUCUGUCAAAAAUCUUUGAAGCAAGUUUCAUAACUGUAUGACAAUGACCACAAGUCCUCAGGUUCUUCUUUAUUCUAAUUGGAGAAUCGAUAGGAAGGGUUAGUAGUCCAAAUGCAAGGGCUAGUUUCUCACUGUGAUACCACAAGCCCUGCUCCUCCUCGUUCUCUUCCAGAUGGUUAGUGACAAAUUCAGUUUCAGCCACAUACCCUUUCUUCUUCACCAAUUUCUCCAACUUCUCUAGCAUCUUAUAGAUCUCAUCCGAACUUGAAUGUGAUCUAUCAUGUGCAGUGAACACAAAUGUCAUGUUCUUAACAUCAAUCCAGCUACAGCCAGGUUCCUUUCUUACCCCAUUGACACCCAUCAAUCUCCUCACCUCAUUAGCUUCUUCCAGCCUUCCACUGCGUGUGCACAUGUUAGCAAGCAGCACGUAGUUUCCCGGAUUAUAUGGCUCCAUCUCAAAAAGUCUCUCUGCAGCUUCUCUUCCCAUUUUCAGAUUGCCGUAUUUCCUGCAAGCCCCAAGCAGAGCUCCCCAGACAGAUGGGGUGGGCUUCAUUGGCAUUGAUUCUAUAAACCUCUUAGCUUCAUCCAACCAACCAGCACGACCAAGCAAGUCAACCAUGCAGGCGUAGUGUUCGGGCCCAGGGUUCAUAUCAUGAAUUUUCUUCAUGGAAUUGAAGUGAGCAAGUCCCUCUUCAACACGCCCAGUAUGGCUACAAGCUGAUAGAACACAGACAAAAGUAACAUGACUCGGUUCAAUCCCCUCACUUAGCAUAUGCUCAAACAAUUCAAUCACUUGGUUUGCACAGCCAUGCAGCUGGUAAGCUGAGAUCAUGGCUGUCCAACUGAUCACAUUGUGAUCCUCAAUCCCUUCAAAGACUUGAUAAGCAUCAACCAGGCUCCCACAUUUUGCAUACAUUGUAAUUAAAGAUCCCAAAAUGCACAUAUUCUUCACAUACCCUAAUUUUAUUAUCUGAUCAUGGAUUGCAGUGCCUUGAUGUAAUGCAGCCAGACUAGCGGAAGAAUGAAGAACAGUAGAGAAUGAGGCCUCAUCAGGUAAAAUCCCUUCCCUCCUCAUGACCCAAAAAUAAUUGCACGCUUCUUCAAAUUUGUCAUUUUGGACAAACCCCAUAACCAGUACAUUCCAUGUUACAACAUCUCUAUCCCCCACACACUGAAACAGCUUGACACCUUCAUCAAAGAACCUACAUUUAAAGUACAUAUCCAUCAGCGAAUUCAUCACAUAAGUUAAAGGAACCAAACCAAACUUAACGACAACCCCGUGAACCUGUCUCCCAAAAUUCAAGCCCCCCAUGUUGGCACAAGCACUCAACACACUAGAAACACUUACUUCAUUGGGAAUGACCGUUUUCUCCCUAAGAACGUCCUUGAAAACCCCAACUGCCCUAUCAUACAAGUUGUUAUGAAAGAACCCGACAAUCAUAGAAUUCCAGGAAACCAGGUUUCUCUCAGGCAUUUGAUCAAACACUCUCACUGCGGAGUGCAUGUCAGCACACUUGGCAUACAUGUCAACCAAAGCGGUGCCAACAAAGAUAUUCGCGUCAAACCCAUGUUUAUGGAUCAAAGAAUGCAGCUGUUGACCAUGCAGAACCAUCAUGGUGGCGGCAGAAGCGGAUAGAAUUGAAGAGAAGGUGAAUUGAUUGGGGUAGGGACCAGAGCACCUCAUUUGGUUGAAAAGGGAUAAGGCUUGGAGGUGCAUGUUGAAAUGAGAUAAGUGGGUGAUAAGAGAUGUCCAAGUGACAAUAGUCUUGAAAUGGUGAUGGGUGAUUGAGAAGAGAAGGAGGGCUUGAUUGAGACACCCACAUUUCGCAUAUAAGUUGAUGAGGUUGUUGAAAAGAAAAGGCAGGGAUGUAUAGUUUUUUAUGAUGAUUUGAGUAUGAAUUUGGGUAGCAUGCUUGAGGCUUCUGGUUUGAAUGGCUGUGUUCAGUAGAUGGUUGAGAUGAGUAGGACUGGGACUGGGAGGAGUUGGAGAUAACCCUUUGUGGAAGAAUUUUAAUGGGGAUGGACCUCUCAUCGCAUCGCAUCUCUAUCAAAUAAAAAAAUUCCCAGUUAUAAGCAAAAUCUUCAGUAUCUUUCCCAGUAUUUUAUUGAGACUAGAAGCAGAAAGCGUCAAAAGUAUCCCAAAACAAUACAUACGGGAGUAUCGCAAGUGGGGUCAAGCUCUCCCAUCGACUCUAUAUAUACCAUUUGUCACCAUUUAUAUACAACUUCUCCUUGAUUCCAACCAUGUGGGAUAUCAUAAAAACAAACCAAGGAAGAAGCUGUACAAAUCCACUUUCAGCGCAUGAAUUUAGGGUUGGAUCAUAACUUCAAUGUUUGCAGGAGAAACAAAAGACCCGAAAAUGAAGGGAAGCCCACAAAUGGUGGAGAGAGAACUAAGAAAAGGGCACAUGGCAGUUUGUGAUACGGUGGCAGAGGGUGGCGGCAGGGGUGUCGGUAAUGGAUACUGUUCACGCGAAUACAAUCUCAAAACACCUUGUCCUUAUCCUCUGUCUUUGUGCUAAAGUUUUCUCAAACUCACAAACGGGAAGCUUCCUCAAAUCCUCACAGAUACAUAUCAGAAGCCAAUACCCAUCACCCACAGAAUUGGAAUGAUUGGCCGGAGGUGCCACGCUGCUCCAAACUACAUUGUCAAACCUUUAAUUUAGAAACACACAAACGAAUCUCUUAAUUACCCAUCGACAUAUAUGUGUCUGCAAGGAAGUUCAAAGAACCAGCUCUUUUUUUUCCCCCCUUUUCAUGCUUAUCUCUAAAGUGUAGGACACUGAAAAAUGCACAGAUGCUUUACACAUGGACGAUGGUGAUGUGGGGUUUGGACUUUUGGACCAAGCUUACACCACAUGCACGGUGGAACCCAUAUCACAACUUCCAUGAUCGCCACCGUCCUUGCAACCCACCAGCCUCUAGAUUAUCAUACCAACCCGUCUCUUGCAACUGCAAGUCUCCCACAAUGAGAGUUACUCGCAAACUUAAGAGUUAAGACUUUGGGGGUGGGCCUUUCACAUGUGAAGCUACCACGUGCCACGUUCCUCAAUUCAUUGGCCGAUGCUGUGUGAGCUGUAUCUUUAUUUUAUGUGUCUGUAAAGCCAUAUCCCAAAUGCCUUUAGAAAACGGGCACACAAUAUCUAAACCCAAUGGGACAACCCCACGUAUUAGUUAGGUCUAUAAAUGGGCAACCACCUACUGAUGCAGUUACUCACCUUUAGAAACUACUCCUCUCCCAACUUCUCCAUCAUCUCUCCCUCUCAACCCUUUAAUAGUCUGUGUCUUUCUGUGACCAAAACCCGUGAAGAAAAUGGCAGCCACCUGCAUAGACAUUCUCUUGGCCAUCAUCUUGCCCCCCCUUGGUGUCUUCCUCAAGUUUGGAUGCCAGGUACUCGAUUUCCAGCUCUCUAAACUAAUCAUGGUUUGUGUUAACUGAAUGAUUGAAUUCGGAAUCACUUUCUGGAUUCAAAUUGACUUCAUAUACAGUUUUCAUCUUUGUAAUACCCCUUGUCCAAUUGCUGAAUGGUGACAUGAUGAUGCAGGCGGAGUUCUGGAUCUGUUUGGUGCUGACUUUUUUCGGCUACCUUCCUGGAAUUGUCUAUGCUGUCUAUGUCAUCACCAAGUGAUAAUCCACUCUCUGGUAAAUAUCAUCUCUCUUGCAUAUUUUUGCAUAUUACACCCACAAUUCAAUUUUUGUACAUGUGCCACGUACAUCCUGCCGACUAACUCGUUGAAUUAUUUACAGAAACGUGUACAAUUGUUUUACUUUGAACUUUUUUUUUUAAUACAGAAAAUGAUAUAGAAAAUUUGAGUCCUACUUGAUUUGACCUUCACCAUCCAAUGCUUAUAUUCAAAUUUUUGAAUCAGAUCUAAUAAUUGAGGGGUUCGGACCAUUACAAACAGUGGCAUCUGAUGGCCAUAUAUAAAGAUAGAAGAUUGAAUAAUUUUAUUUUAAAAUGGGUUAUGGCUCUUUUCUUUGUCUGUCACAUUUUAUUAAGAUAUGGCGAUGAUUACCGGUAUUAACUUUGUGGCAGGUGGUGGGGGAAUGUGGAGGGCCCAUGGAGUUAGCUUGAUUGUUACUUCUGGAUGGACAGUACUGAUUUGGAGUAUUACCUAAUGGAUGAUUCCACAUUCAUCGUGUGCCAGCGGUUUUUGUUCUUUUCCUUCAUUUUGUUUCAAUUAGGAGAAAAACUUGUUGGUGGGUGAUUACAAUGGUGGUGGUCAUUUUAGUGUUUUGCUAGAAUAUCAAAUUUGUUUCCAUGUUUCCAUGUCUUUGUACUAUUUUCACAAUUAUUAUUAUCUAUUAAAAGUAUGAAGUGAUGUUUUCUUGUACCUAUUUUUCCUUCCCAUCCAGAGAUAGGAGGAUGGUGGUGGGGUAUUUGAUGGAGUAUAAAAAGCAGACAGAAUAUAAAAAAAGAAAUUCAGAUUAUUUUCUAGGCCACUUUUUUUCUUCCUUAUAAUUCUUAGGAUGCUGUUCUUUGAAAACAGCAUUUUAUCCACCUUUUUUCCCACCCAAAAUGUUAAUGGGAUUCGAUUCUCAUCCAACAAAAAGGCCCCCCAAGUUUUGGACUUACCUAACCACGUAAUAGCUACAAUUAAUAUUCCUUUUUCCUUGUAAUUUAAGCAAUCAAAUAGUAGAUCAGUUAACCACCAUACAAAGGAAGCAUUCUUGUGUGAAACAAAACACUUGUGCAUCACAUAAAGAGUUUGGCUUUAUACAAGAAACAAGAUGACCAUGUACCCAUCAAGCAUGAAGAACUUCUGUAUCUGAUAUGUAAUUACAGUAUCAGACUACAGAAUAUGGAUAAAAACUAAAAUAUGAUACAUGGAAGCGCAUUUUUUUACACUACGAUUGAAAUGAACACCAUCAGGCCAGAUUGUAGAACCAUUCAUUUACCUAAAGAAAAGAGGGCAGCCAAAGGUGAGCCAUGGAACCCAGAACUCGUCAACUUGGAGCAAAAUUCCAUAGCAAGCAUAUGUUCCAGCACACUAGCAUAUUUGCAAGCAGGAGCAUUGGACUUUUCUUCUUUUUUUUUAUUUAUUUACCUAGAUAUGAAAAUAAAGUUGAGCCUAACACACAUGCCACGCAUUAGCAUAUCCACUUCAUAAGACAUGCAACAGUGAAGUUAGAAUAUUCUUUAUGUCGUUUCACUUUCUUUAGAACUGUGCUUAUGCAUUUGCCUAUCCCACUGACAGUGGUGGGUGCUCUAAAUGAAAUAGCUGUUUUGAGUGUUAUAAAGGAAACAGCUGUUAUCAUCUCAUAUUAAGUUUCUUUUUGUACAGGAACCCCACAUUUCCUUUUAACCUCUUUAAGGGCCUAUUCUUUUCUCCACACUAGUGUUUCCUUUUUCAAAAGAUGGUUCAAAAAAGCAAGUACAUAAAAUGCCAAUGUAUGAUCACUAAUCAUCAUUAUUAUCUGGUAAAGGAUUAUAAUAGUUAAUCAAAUUAGUAAAGGGGGUUUUUGUGCCAUAUACAAAGCUAAAUAUAUGACUGAAACCUCUAACUUUCCAGGUAAAGUGUUGCCCAUCUAAUAUCAACUAAUACACUUCUGAGACAUAGAGAUAUAGACCAAGAAUUCAUACAACUUGCAUAUUUCAUCCUUUGAACUGCCAUUCCCUACGGCACAUGGGGCAAUGCGCUUGAGGAGUCUGCGAAUUCACCCAUUUCAAGAUGCAAUGGAGAUGGAAUGCAUGGUUGCAAGCACCCCAAACUGCAGGACAAAACAAUGGUUAAUAGAAUCAUUAGUUGGAUUGAUACCAAUUCCAAAAAAAAACUUAAAAGUUUCUUUAAUCUUUUUUUUAUAUAUAUAAAUAUUUGUCAAUCAAAAGAACCCCAUAAAAUGAAAUAUUCCAUCCAAACAACCCACUUCCCAGAUCCCCAUGAACUUCUCUUUAGGGAAGAUUAACUCAUGCAGAUCUUAGGAUCAUAAUCAUGCUGGCCAAACAACAAGCAUGCCACAUGCAUACUUAUUUUAAUGAUUAAUUUCCACAUAUGCCCAAGCAAGAACAAAACGUUAGGCUGGGACGCUUGGGGCAGGAAGGUUCCCAAUCCAUGUCCAGAAACCAUCAUAGAGAAAAAAAUAAAUGAGAUGAUAAAUGAUGCAUGCACAAUGGUGAAGAGGCCACAAGAAACUUAAUGAUCCAUCCAUAAUGGAGAAAAAGCAAUAGAGAAGAUAAAUGACACAGGAGAUUUACAAGCCACUAGGAAAAUUCUAGAUUUAAAAAUAUAAUUUCAAGAUAUAUCCAGGAGAAUGAAAUACGAGGCCAAAAAAUUAAAAGUGAAAAUGAAAGAUGUAAGCUUUUCAAGAAACAACACUUUCAAUUUCUAAAAUUGAACCUGAAUGCUUUCUUUUCUAUGCCUCAUAAACCAUCCAAAAAAUGCCAUUCAUGAUGCACUCUUAACAGUCAACACAUAGAAAUGCAGGGAGGGAGUUUAGGGGAGGGCAUGAUGUAAUUGUAGCCUACAGCAAGAACUAUUUUAAAUCCACCAUUGGUCAAAGACUAACACAGAGGAACUUAAUGGAGAAGCUGCUAAAAUCUGUACAUUGAACUAAAAAUAUGGGAAAGUAGUUCAGAGAAGGUGGCAAAGUUGAUAGGAGAAGUUAUUUUAAAUCCACCAAUUUUCAGUGGCUAAUAUAUGGAAACUUAUGCAGGAGCUCCUACAAUAAGCAUAUUCAACUACAAAAAUAAGAAAUUAUUCAGAAUCUGGGCAAACUUGAAUACACAACAGCAAGACAAUAAAGUAACCAAAGUCAGCCACUUACUUAGUGGGCAAUCAUCUCCAGGGAGUUUACAAUCAGGACAACAACCAUCAAAUGCCAUCCUACAAAUCCCACAGGUUUCAUCUUGGGCAUCCCAUGUCCAUGAUGCGACAGCAUGCCACCUACAAUUUUUACAGAGUACAACAAUUAUGGCUUCUUACUAUAUAAAAAAUGAAACAUCUAAAUAUGCAGGUCAACAACCAAGAAGGUUGUGAGUAUUUUUCUUCAUAGAAAAAAGGAAAUCUAGUCAAAGAUAUAAUUAUUGAGUACCAGAUAUAAAAACCUGUACCACAUAUUCAGUAUUUGGAGUUCAAAUAAGAUCUAAUAUAUAAGGGAUUAAGAGAACAUACUCUGUUAGAAAGCCAGGCAGCAUUCACAAGUGAAUAGGUUAAGGGAAACAGUUUCUACAAAAAGCACAAAAUAAGUCAUGUUGUACCAUCCUUACAAUCAACAUGCAAUUCUACGAUUACUGCUCAAUGCAUUCAUUGAAGUGCAAUUCAUGUUCAGAUUAAAAUGAUACAUGCAGAAACCAGAGAAUGAAACUGAGAUUAUUUGAACCUUGGAAUAAAUUAUUGAAGGGUGAAUCUCAUGCAAGUCAACUAAUAAUUCUAAAGGGCAUAGGCUCUCCUACAACCUAUUAUAAAUUAGGAGAUUCAAAAUUUUAGCAUAACUCAUAUACCACUAGUUAUGGUCCAAAAUUCAUUGCAUUUACCUAUAAAAAAAACAGUCCAAAAUUCAGUCCAAAUAACAAAGAGAUCAAGAUUUCAAGCAUUUUAAAAAAGUAUCCAACAAAAACUAAACCAAUUAUAUAAAAUUUUAAAAUAAAGUAAAAAAAUAAAAAAUAAAAGUAAAAAAAUGAAAAAGAAAUAAAAUAGAUGAAGAGCUAAAGCUAGGGAGUCAUUGUGUCAUAGGCCUAGGCGCCCUUUAAAAAACUAUGGUCCCAUGAGAGGAGUAAUAAAAAGUAUCAGAAUAUGGAUCAAAGUUCAUUAUAAAAACUUUAUUUAACAGUCUCAUGAUAUAAAGAUGGUAAAAGAAUUCAAGUGGUGCAUCUUUUGUCCAAAAUUACCUUAAGUUGAGCAAUUCAAAACAUUAUGAUUUCAAAUUCUGAAUAAAUAACUAAAAUUUGUAACUAGUUUGCACACUACAAAAUGACUUUUCUAAUAGGCUAAUUAUAAAUCUUAUAAAUAGAUAGCCUAGAAAAAAAAAGGGGUGUAUAUCCCCAGUACAGAGGUAUAAAAGGAGUAUGAAUGCUUAUGUGACCCAAAUUUAUGCAUAAACAUCUCUCUAAAAUAGAGAACCUUGGUUCAGUAAAUUCUUUUAUCUUUUGAGACAUGAGAUGACACAUAUAAGAGUGUAAUGACAUGACUUAUGAAGUUUUGAGAGUUUGAUGGUUUAAAAUAUUGAAAGAAGAAGAAGGAGCAUAUCCAAGCAAAAAACAAAAACAUAAUUAAAAAGGAUACGCAAGAUCUUGACUUUCAUCCUCUUUGAGCUGCUACGAAAAAAAAAAAACAACACAAAAACCAACAUAGUUAGUCAGAUGAUCCAUAUGCUGAGAGUUUUGAAUUCUCUUCAAAUUUUGUUUCUGAAAUUUUUCUUCUUUGGUUGGGGUUGACUACUGAGUAAUAUCAAUGCAUCCAACCGCCCAGGAGUUUUUGCUAUGCAAUUUUUAUGGGUAACAAUUGACAAUAGUAACAUUGAUAUUGACCUUACCAAAAUUAAUCUAUUUGAUAGUAAAAUCAACUUUUGGAUAAUUAAUCAAUUAGAAUCUUCUGAUUCAAUAACUUAUAGAAAAGGGUAACAUUUUUCAUUCAAUGAUCAUUUGGGUAACAUGUUUAGAAAAAAUAAAAAAUAAAAAUCAUUGUCGAUUGUUACAAAUCAAACUUGUAUUGAAGUUGUUUGAACCUAUUAUGACGUUAAGGUACCAAAGCAAACUUUCUUUACAUCAAAUAAAUUGGUUCAUUAUGCUAAAAGUUGCCACUGUGGGUUAAAAAAAGGCCUGCUUCUCAUGAAAGUUUCUCAAUGGUAAACCUUUUUUAUGUGAUUAUAAGCAACUGAAUCCAAAUCCCACAAAACAUGAAAAUUAUGAAUAACAAAGAACAAACAAAACCAAUGUACACAUUCCUCAAUAUGACAGAAAGCCUCAUGUUCCUCAGAAUGAUAGAAAAGGCACACACUGUCUCACACAUGACUAAGAGAAGGUAUACUGCAAGAAGAUCCAAAUACAACAUGGUCAUACCCACCAAAACCAUGACUCCGGGUCCCAAGCUUCAAGUUACAUCACCAACACAUGAAACUGGUGAGGCUAAUAAUACACAUGAAGAAACCAGAAAAAAAAUCCAACUCAAAUAACCAAAUCUGACAUCUUAUAUAGAUUAUCUUCCACAUUAACAAAGAUGGAAAUCCUGCUGCAUGAAUGCUACGAAUGGAGUUGAAAAAAUCAAAGCAGAACAUGGAUGGUUGGCUACAUGAAUGCCAUCAGUAGAAAAGAAAAAGAUGAAAAUAGAACAUGUAUCGUUUCUCAUUUUACAACAAGGCGAUAACAACCAACAACAUUGCAAUCAGAAAAAAUAACAAAAACUUAAAGAGAUUAUAAAACACUAUUUAGUUAAGAAGACCCAAAUUAAUCCUGUACCAUAUAUAUAUAUAUAUAUCCCUCCUUGAUCAAUGUCAAUCCUGCCAAUAGAAUUUCCCGUAAUUCCUAAAGAGAGUCAAUACAAAUAACAUAUUCCCAUGUUAAUACCACAAUUUUUUUUUCUCUUCCAAAGAUGAAUUUUGCAUUUUGUGUGAGAUUGAAAAGACCAUUGUGUGAAAAAACUUAUUGACUGUAUUCAAACCCCUCAAUGACCAUUAGAAAUUUCUGUUACAUUAACACUCUGGGGAAAACAAGUUAGCAGACAUGAAAACUGUCUGGGUUCACUCAGGUUUGCUGUUCUUUCAUUUUAUUUGAAACCAGCAGAAUCCUCCUUUAUUUUCCUUUUUUUUUUUCUUGAACAAUACCCCAAAUCCCAUAGAGAAAACCAUCCAACUUCCGUCCAGAUUUCCUACCCUUUUCAAGCAAAAACUGCUUGAAGAACCCACAAAUCCACAUCAGAGUGGCCAAAAGCUAAAAGUUUAGAAAACCCAAAAAAAUAAAAAAGAUAAAAACUUAACCAAAUAAUGGAGAUGAAAUGUAACAAAGAAUUCAAUAGAAAAUGAAAACCCAAAAUUUUCAUCAUUUUCUGGGUGAAAAAUUAACAAAAUAAGCCCUAAAAUUUGCCUAAAAAAUAAUCUAAAAUUAGCAUUACGGGAGGCGAAUCAGAAGCUUACAUAAGGGGAUCAGAGAAAGAAAGAACUCGCAGCAGCAGGUGUUGAGAGUGGGAGUGGAUUUGCUCAUACGAGAGAGAGCGCUCUGAAUCUGGGCUUCGUUCUUCAAAGAUUCAAGCAAAUUCAAAUCUUAGUGGAGGGUAACGUUAGUAAUGUUACAAUAUUUAUUUAAUUUGAAAUUUUAAUAAAAUAUUUAAUAUAUAUAUAUAUAUUCAGGAUCUAGAGAAUUUUAAAAAUUGUCCGUUAUUAGUAAAAUAUAAUUAUUUUUAAAAUUGAUGAGUUUCAUAUAAAAGAAAUUGACAAAUCCAUAUUCAUGCACAAUUUGAUAAUAAAUUUUCUAAUCUUUUACUUACAUAAUAUCAAUGCUUGUUUGAUAUAAGAGGGAUUAAUAAAUUAAUAAUAAGUUUAUAUUUAUAAAUAUAUAUGUUUGAUAAUGAAUAAAUUUAUAUUCAUUAUAUGAUAUUAAUACUAGUCAAUGGAAAAUAAAAUUUGCUAUAAGGAUGUUUUAGAUAUAAAAUGUUUUAUUAAGGUUGUGUUUGUUAUCAGUUAAAAGUAAUAUUUUGAUAUCAUUCAAUAUAAUUAAAAUGAACUUGUUAUCAAUAAAUUCAAUUUAAUUAUGUAUGAUAUCAACAAAUUACUUUGUUAAAUAAAAAUAAAUAAAUAUUUUAGUUUUUUUUAUUCAACCAAAAAACAAACAUCAACAAAAUGUUUUCACCUUUUAAUUAAUUUUUUUAUAGUUAAUAUCGUUUACAAGCAUAUUAUAUUAUAGGUCAUAUAUAUAUAUAUAUAUAUAUAUAUAUAUAUAUAUAUAUAUAUAUAUAUAUAUAUAUUUUAAGCAUCUAAACUUUUAGUUUUUCACAAAUCUAAAAAGUUAGAAUUUCAGGUUUUUUCUAGUUUGGAAAUUCAUUAUGGAAGCUCUUAUAAAUCAAAUAUGUUGAAUAUUAAUAAUUUAAUAUUUUAAAAUUUGAUUUAAUUUUUAUAAUUAGUAAUGAUUUGUAUCAUAUCCUUUUAUAUUCAUUUUGAAAUUUGAUUUAUAAGGGAUGGAGCUCACUGAGUUGGAGGAGAAAAUGUUUUGAAAAUAAACGCACAAAAGUUGUGUGAAUUUUUUUUGUUUUAUUUUGUUAAAAUCAAUGUGAGCAGUGGUGGUAGUCAAGGAUUGAAAUGCCGACUCCGAUACGAUAUUCGUCACCGGUCGACGGAAAUUUCGGUAAUAUUUCAAAAAUAUCUCCAAUAUUUCGGUAUUUAUCGGUAUUUUUACCGAUUUUUUUGGGAAAUUUCCCGAUAUUUCUUACCAGUCCAGCCCGCACACAGGAUACAAAAUCUGUCCAAUUUUUUUUUAAAAAAACAAGAAGAUGUUAUUUGGUAAUCUGAUCAUGAUUUGCAGGCCAAGGUUGUGUUUUUCAGCCUGGCGCAAAAAUCGUGGAUUUAGGGUUCGUGAAAUUUAAAUCCAAUGGCACAAAAGCAAAGCGACCCCUAGAACAGAUCCAGAAAACACAGGGAGAAAAAAAAAAGAGCAAUUUUUUUGGUUUUCCUUGGGGGUUUUGAAAUCAAACGAGGAUGAAUUUUCCCGGAAAUCAAAUGGGGGAUGGAUUUUCUUAGGAAUCAAACGGGGGUUGAAAAAAAAAAUAACAUGAUUAGAUUAGUACCUGCGAGGAUUGAAAGUGGCAGAGGAAAAUGGGGCCUUUUUAGGGCUUCUUGAUGCCCGAGGCCCCGAGUGAGAGAAGUGGUGGCGGCCCUUUUGAUUUUUUUUAGAUUCGGUAGAGAUAAAAUAAGUAAAAAAUAAAAAGGAAAAUAGGAAACAAAUCAUGACAACAAUUUUCUCUCUAUAUAUAUAAAUAAUUAUUAAUUAUCCAUAUUUAUGAACGAUAUUUUAUGAAUUAAAAUUAAUGUGAUAAGAUAAAUUAUUAAUAAUUUUAAUUAUUUAAAUAAAUUAAUGUUAAUAGAAAAAGUUAUUACCACAUAUUUUUAAUAAAAUUUUAAAAAUUAAAUCUCAAAUAAAAUAUUUUAUAUAAAUUAAUUUAAUUUUUCAUUUAUAAUAUAAUAAAACAUGUUUUAAUAAAAGUAUUUUAAAAAUUUUUAAAUAAAUAUUGUCUUCAACAAGAUGAGCUUCCUUCAUCUAAAAAUAUGAUGGAAUCACAUCGAUCUUCAUUUUGAUAUCAAAGAUUAUUGUAAUGUCAUGUGUACUAUAUUUAUGUAUAAAUUGUUUUUAUUCAAUAAAUCAAAUAUUUCUUAAUUCAAUUAUAACUUUAUAUACUUCCAAAAUUCAAAUAUUGAAUCUACCAAUAUAUCUCUAUCGAUGUUUUUUUUCUUGAUCACAUCUAUAUCAAUUACACUUGCAAAAUAACUUUAAAAUGUGUAUUCUUGUUUAUUUUAUUGUUUUUUGGAAUUUUCCAAGCAUUUUUAUGAAUUUUAAAUAAUUUUCGCUCCACCGAUAUUUAUUCGAUAUAUUCGUAAAAUUGAAAUAUCUGUAAUUAUCAAUAUUUAAUUGCAAUAAUAUCAUAGGCAAACAUUCAAUGAUUAGAAAUAAAUAAAGCAACAACAACAGAAAUUGAAUGAGAGCAUCGAAAGAAAGAAUGAAAUGAGCUUUGACCCAAAAUACUAUAUUUAAAAAAAAAAUCCAUAAAGUACCUCCAUUUUCAAAAUAAUGUCCAAUCUAAUGUGUUUGCGCCACGUAAAUUGUCAUAUCAUAAAACCGUAGUUGGUAACUACGGUUUUACUUUUUAAAAACAGUCAAAACCGUAGUCACCAACCACGGUUUUAACUUUAAGUUUAAAACCGUAGUUGGUGACUAUGACUUUGACUAUUUUUAAAAAUAGUCAAAGUCAUAGUCACCAACUAUGAUUUUAACUUUAAGUUUAAAACCGUAGUUGGUGACUACGACUUUGACUAUUUUUAAACAGUCAAAGUCGUAAUCACCAACUAUGGCUUUAACUUUAAUUUUAUAUAUAUAUAUAUAUAUAUAUAUAUAUAUUUAACUUUAAUUUUUUUAAAUAAAAUAUUAUAUUAUUUUGAUUUUAUAUUGAUUAAAAAUAUGUAAGUGGUAUAAUAAAAAUAUUUAACUUUAAUUGAUCUCAUUAUUUAAAGAAUAGUAAUAUAUGAAAUUAAAUAAUUGAUGUCUUUAAUUUGAUAUAAAAAUAUAUUUUGAUAAUUUUAUUAAAAUAUUUGGCACUACACUCAAUAUAAAUAUAAUUAGUUAUAAAUAUACUAUUUUAUACCCUCAUAAUGAAGAAUAUUAUAUUAUUUUGUAACUUUGUGCAAAAAUUAAAGGCAAUUAUGCACUUGUACAAAAUAUAAUAUGACUUCAAAUGGGUAAAUAAUUGGAAAAUUACUUAAAUACAACAAAAAUAAUUUUUUUUUGCCAUUUUUCUCCUUUCAAAAUGAGAUUAAAAUGGAAUGGAAAGGCUUAAAAUGUUAAACUUAAAAUGCCAACCUAAAAGAAUUUGUUUUUCCACUUCUUAAAAUAUAGAAUUGUAGAAAGAAAAUACAUUUAUUUUUCCAAUCGAUUCACUAUUUAGUUUAAUUGUUUUGGUAAAUAGAUGAAAAUGCUUUUGGAAUAUUUUUGUAAAUUCAUUGAUAAUAAGAAAAAUGUUUCUUAUUGGGUACUAAUGGGAGUUUUGGGCAAAAAUGAUUUCUUUAAAACAGAAAAUUCAUAAAAUAAUUUUAUUCUCAAAAUAAUUUUCAAUGUGAUGUGUGUCUUAUUCAUGUGGGUAUUCACAUCACAAAACUGUAAUUGGUAAUAAUGAUUUUUGAUUUUUUUUUUAUAAAAAUAGUCAAAAUAGUAGUUGGUGAUCAUAACUUUAAAUUUAAACCUAAAACCAACUUUUUAAGUUCAAAUUUUAAAUCAUGUGAAUGUUCAAUUUUUUAAAAAUGAUUUUGAUUGGAGGUUUAGAUUGUAAAUUUUUUUUAAUACAUUAUUUUUUUCUAUAUCAAUAUAGUGUUGUUGUAACUAAUUAGUUAUAAAUAUAAUUAGUUUAAAUUUAAACCUAAAACCAAUUUUUUAGAUUGUCAGAUUGUCAUAUGUAAGUGGUAUAUAUAUAUAUAAGUUCAAUUUAAGUUUAAAAUUUAUCAUAUUUUCAUUUAAAUAUAUAAUAAUUUGUUCAUAAUAAAAAAAAGUUAACAAUAUAAUGCAAAUGAAAAUAAACACAAAAGCUAAAAAACAAUCCUCAAUGAGUGCCACAUGAUGGGGCUUUCCUCUCUAACUGUGUAACAUGUGUAAGGGUAUGAUGCAUGGUAGUCUCUAUAGGAAGACGUGUAGGUGAUGGUAAAGUGGUAGAUGGUGGGGCGAUCUCAGGUACAGUGAUAUAUGAUAUGGUAGCAUUUAGAAGAGGUGAUAUAGGAGAUAGAAGAAUGACAUCUGCUAUAAUGGUAGCUGGUGCAAUAACAUCUGGUAUAGUGGGCUCGAGCAAAGGAGAUAUAAGUGAUGAUGGUGAGGUGACAUGUGGUGUAGUGGUCUCCUCGAGAGAAGGUAAAGGUGAUGGUAGACUAGUAGAUAGUGGGGUAGUCUCUGGUAUAGUGACAUCAGGUAUAGUGGCCUCUAUGGUAGGAAAUACAGGUGAUGGUAGAGUGGUAUCUGAUACGACAUGCCUUAAGGGAGAAGGUCUAGGUGAAGGUGAUGGUAGGGGUGAAGGGGGAAGUGUGGAAGCCUUAGGUACAAAUGGGGUAGAUGAUGUGGAUGGUGCUAACAUGGUCUUAGGUGGAUGCAUAGAUCGUCGAGGUUGUUGACCAGCUCGCCCAUCAUCUCGUCUACUACCUCUCCCUCGACCUCGAAUAGGCUGCAUCCUAACUGUAGUGGCUGACACAGGUGGACUCAUGGAUGGGUAUGAUGAUAUAGGUGAUUGACGGAGUGAAUGCAUGUGAUGCUCCUCUCCAAUAACAUGCAAAAUAUCAAUAGCAAUCUGAUGAAUGUCGCCUAAUGCACCUGAAGUAGGCCCAGCAGAUCGACUAGCAAUCUUAACCAUACCAAUGAUCUAAAAUAAAAAAAAUAAAAAAAUUUAAACAAACAAAAAUGAUUUUUAAUUAAUUAUAAUUUAAUAAACCAUUUAUAAAUUAAAAAAUCUUACCAAUAACUGACUAGUUGCUGCUAUACUAUGAUACCUCAUCUGAUCUCUAUGGAGAGGGGGUGUGAUCAAACGUCGUGUAAUAUGGAUCAUGAAAUUGCAUAACACCCACCAUAGGUGGUGUCGUCCCAAUACGCUCCUCACGAUUACCCCAUAAGGUAAUAUACUGUGCAUGAAAUGCUCCCCAAUCAUACUUAUGUCGUCAUCGCCUAUCCACAAAAUGGAGGUCUAGCUUUAUGGAACAAGAUGGAGGUAUCCCUUGUUGAAGGUCAAACUGUCGCAACACUCGCUCCGGUUGAUGCCACUCGACAAUGUCAAAGCAAAUAAGAGGUGACAUCGUCCGUCAAAUCUUCUGGUCUGCUAGAGAUAUCGCCGAAAGAUGGGCAACCAAGUCUCCAAUGUAAGGCUCCUAUAAAACCUGUUAAAAUCAACAUUUGACAUUAAUACUGAGUACAGGUUUAUAUGGUUAACAAUAGCACAUUACAUCUUAUAUGUACCUGGUCAUGGGUCUGUGCAUCUAACUGGUCUCAAUAAAAUGUCAACACACGUGAUGGGUUUUGAGCCCAUGAUAAAGGUACUCUCUACCUACAUCUUAACGGAUCAGCUGGUAAACCCUCGUGUAACAAUGCCUCAUCUUGUAAUCUGUGGUCUAACUGCUCAGCUGGUAAAUCAUCGGCUACAUCAUGCUCUAAAUGCUAGGCUGUUGGAGGGACUGGUGGUCGACCAAAAUCGGGGCAACCCACGUGGAGUCUCUCCCGAAACCACAACUGGAAAAAAAUGUAACAUUAAAAUUUUACUUAAAUUAUAAACUUGAAGCAACUAGAAAUUUUAAUCUAAUGUGAAUAAUUAAUUAUACUUGUAAUAGUGUGACACAUCCAGCAAUAUCGGUGGCACCAUCCAAACUCGCUCGACACAACUCCCUAUAUAGGUGUGCUAAUACUGUACUACCCCAACUAUACAUAGAUGUCUGAGUCAAGUCUCUAAGUAAUGGGAGAUAACACAUAUGGAUGUGGGUACCCUUCUUGUUUGUAAAUAACGUUGAACCUAUGAGUCCUAAUAUGAAAGCUCGUGCAUACCGCUCUCAUGUGGCAUCAUCUAAAUCAACCGGUAGAUGAGAGAACUGGUGACAUAGCCAUCGUGUCAAUAUCGUUGAUCCUCUAAUCUCAGAUGUAGAGGGAGUCAUUCCUAAAAGUUCAUAACAUAGCAGUGACCAAUCUAUGUCACAUGUGCCAGUGAUGGGAAGCUCAUGAAUACGAAGUCCUAAUAUGACAACAACAUCCUGUAAAGUAAUGGUCAUCUCCCCAACAGGUAAGUAAAAUGUGUGUGUCUCGGAUGCCAUAUCUCAACUAGACUAGUGAUCAAUCCCUAAUCUAGUGUAAUGUGUUCAAUACGGUAUACACCAUAAAAUCCAGAUCGAAUAAUAUGAGGUCGAAGACAAUAAUCCAUCUCCCACUCCCGCAUAAACCUAGAUAUAUGUUGUCGACAAUUCAAGACUGAAGUAAGCUGUAAAAAUACAAAAAUAUCAGUUAUAUAAUAAACUGCAAAAUUUUCCAUUAUUUAAUGAGAUAUUAUGUGUUUUCAUAUACAUACUUGGCCAAAGUCAACUAAAUGAGACCUGUGUCUAUCCUGUAGAACCAAAACAGGCGUAUCUAAUGGAUCUGGAUCAGAACUAUGUCCUCUAUACUCCAUAUCUGUAACAAAAUUGUGAAGAUAAAUAAACAAUACUUACUGUUUUAAAAAAAAAAUUAUUUCUAAUGGAAAAAUUUUAAAAGUUUAUGGAGUUUUCCCUAUAUUAAGUAUAUAUCAAUUUUAUAAAUUUAAGUACAUCAAUUUUAUAAAUUUAAGUACAUCAAUUUAUUUAUGACCAAUAAACAAGUCAUACUAGUCUAAAUUAAAAAUAGAGAUACAAAUACAAUUGAGCAUUUUGUUAACAUUUUUAAUAGAAAAUUUCAAAAUUUUGACAAAGUAUCCCCUAUAAUAUGGACAUUAUUCCAAAUACAAAUAACCUGAUUAUGCAAAUAACAUCAAUAUUUAUAAUCAAACCAAAGCCAAUAAUUGCAUAAAGGUAGUAUCAAAGUAGCUUACAUCACAAUAUCCAAGAAAAUUACAUGCAUACAUCACAUAGUCUAAUCAAUUCUAUUACUGUUUUGACAAGAAUGACGAUUGUGGCCACUUUGUUUGCAUAAACCACAUGUAAUAGAAGUCUUACCCUCUCUAACAUUCAUUUCAUUAUGCAAAUGACUCGAUUUAGGUCGUCCACUUAUACACGUUUCAUCGACUCAGAAGGCACGAUAAUCAGACCAUCAUAAGGAGGCCACUCAUAUACAUUGAAAAUAGGAUGGAACAAGGAUGCCCAAGAAUUAUAGUACGAUUGUGUACUGUAGUAGUGUUGAACAAGUGGUCUAAAAUCAACUAAACGAAAAUAACAUGCUGCUAGAAUAUGGCUACAUGGGAAUCCAUAAAUGAGUGUUUUUCCACAUGUGCAUGCAUACUCCUAUAAGUUGAUGCGAUAUGUUCAACCACGAGUUGAGCUACUCUUAGUAUCCUUAUUAGCCUUCACAUGGAAUUGUCCUCAGAUGUGAUCAUAUAAAACAAUCUCAUGAGAUCCCGCCUUAACCACAUUUUCCUUAAUCUUAGCAUCGACAUAUGGAGUGUAUUCCUCAUUUGAAGCAAGUUGAUUAGCACUUUGUUCCCUUCUCACAACAAAGUAACUAUUUAGCCGAAAAAAUGUCAAUUGAACCAAAGCAGUUAUGGGUAAACUACGAGCCCCUUUAAGCACACUAUUGAACACCUCCGACAUGUUUGUAGUCAUGAUGUCAUACAUUUGACCUCCGUCAUGAGAGAGCGCCCAUUUCUCAAAAGGGAUUGCUUCCAACCAUUAUUGUAUGGCUGCAUUAAUCCUCCCAAUUGUGUUCAUAUGUUUAUUGAAUUUUUCAAUCUUGGUUGCUAAGGUUGUUCUGCACAUCAUAUUUUUCAAUAUUUUAUCCUUGAAUCGAGUCAUAAAAUAACUGGCAAGAUGACGCAUACAAACCCUAUGAUAUGCGUAUGGCUCAGACCAACCAAGAUGAACAUCGCUCAUUGCAGCCAUAAUGUCUGGAUGUCGAUCUGAUAUAACACAAAGUCCUCUCCUAUGAGUUACUUUGGUUCUAAUACAUGUCAAAAACCAACCCCAACUAUCAAUAUUCUCACCCUCUAUUAGGGCAAAAGCCAAUGGGAAUAACUAAUUAUUUCCAUCACAACCCAUAACAAUCAUUAAAGUGUCUUUAUACUUUUCAUACAAAUAUGUACCAUCAAUACUGAGUACAGGCCGACAAUGCUUGAAUCCUUAAAUAGAUGGAUGAAAUGUCCAAAAAAACUCGUUGAAAUAUCCAUGUAUUCUCCAUAAUACCAGGAAAUGUUUUUGAAAUAACAACACAUCUUGGAUUUUCCUACUCUAAGGCAAUGAAAAAAUGUGGCAGCUCUGCAUAUGACUUAUAAAAAUCACCAAAUAAGUUUGUAAGAGCUUUAAGCUUCGCUUUAGAUGCCUUUUUGUAUGAUAUUUGGCAUCCGAAUUUCUCCACAAUACUUGCUUGAAUAGCAGCCACUAACAAUGUGAAUUGUGUCUUAAUCAUUCCUUGGAUAUGAGCAACAAUCAAGUUGGAAUCUAAUUGUUGAUGGUCUCGAUUCAAGCAAGGAUUUACACAUUUGUGCGGACCAUUGUAUUUAUUGAUUGCAAAUGAAGUUGUACCUUUUACAACCAUAGCAUGGAGUUUCCAUGGAUAUUGAGAUUGCUUAGCCUUCUUGCAUCUUAAGACUAACAACUUUGUAGUUGACUCAACAACAACGUACUCUUAAUGUGCACUAAUAGAGUACAACUUCGCAGCAUGUUGUAAAUCUGCUUUUAAAUUAAAAACUUGGCCAACCAUGAACUCUCCACCCGAGUUUCCAAUAUUAGUGUUCCCCCAUGGCGUCCAAUCAUUGAAACGACAUUACCAAUGUUUUCUACAUUUUCAAAUUGCAAUGAGGGUGCCAAGUGAUAUUGAACAGGGGAAAACUCUAUUGGGUCCUCAGGAUCUGGGUUAUUUGACAUAUCACAACCUUCCCCAUCCACAGAGACAUAUCUCCCUUGUUCACCUUCCAUUGCUUCGUGAAGAGUUAAGAAAUAUGAAACAACAUUAACAUUAUUGUUUUCCUCAUCAAUAAAUUCGAACACCACAUCGCCAUCAUGUUGAAUAUCUGCUGCUCUCUCACUUUGAUCGUCGUCUUCUUGGGAUUCACAUUCUUCUUCAUCUUCAUCUUCAUCUGCUCUACAAUCAUAAGUCAUUGCAACAGGGGCACUACUAGGUUCACAACUAUACUCAAAUUCCUUAACAUUAUCAUUUUGUCCGAGUAAUAAUUGUGUGAAGUUACCCAAUAAUUGCCCUCUCACCCGUGGUUGUACUGGCACUUGUUCAAUAUACAAUUCAAUUUCGUCCAUUCCAAAUGUGUUAACUAAUUUCAACAUUUGAGAUAAACUAUUAUCAUCCCAUAUUGGACAAGGUUGGAACCUAUUUUCCCUUUUUAAAGGAUACCGACAACUGAGGACUAAUUGAAAUUGUUUUUUGUCAAUGCCAGUUCUCGAGUAUAUCAUAGAUAACAAGUGUUCGUAGGUUGAACUAACAGGUACAUCCAAAGGCACAAUUACAGCUUCAUCCCCAAUAUACUUUACAUCUGUUUCUGUCCUCAACAUUUUUCCUUUAUAAAAGCAAAUCACAAGAACAAUAGAUUCAGACAUGAUUUACCUACAAAAAAUACAAUAUCAAAUGGUUUAAUAAUUAAUGAAAAUAAUAGCAAGAGAAAUUGCAUAUAAUCUUUUAACAUGUGAAUACACAAGUAUAUAAUAAAACACAUUCUUACACAUUAGGGGGAAAAAUAUAAAUCACUUAAUAAUAAUAAAUUUUUUAUUUAAAUAGUUAUCUAUGAUACAAAUAUAAUCAUAGAUAAAUGUUUUAUAGAAGUUUAAUUUAAAACUUAGAUAGUGGGUUAUAAAUCAAUAAAUUUUGAGUUAAACAAUUACAAUAAUCUUAAAAUUAAAUAAAAAAUAAUCCACCAAUUUUUUUUAAUAAAAUAUCAUAUAUUAAAAUAAAAUUGAAUAUUAUCAAGUAUUAAAUAAUAUAUAAUUUAAAUAAUUAUGUUAUUAUUCAUGAAUCACUUGAUAUUUGAUUAAAAAUAAAAGUAAAAAAAUAAAAUAAAAACUCAAAAUCAAAUAAAAGUAACCCACAAUAGAAAAAUAUAUUAAUAAAAUAUCAAAUACACAAUUAUAAAAAAAAAUCAUUUAUAUGUAUAUAUAUAAACAUUAUUUGAAUAUUAAAAAUGCAAACAAAUAAACAUUUUAUAAAUCUAUUUAAUAUUAAUUUUAAAUAUAGGGAAAAAAUCAUUUAUAAAUUAAUAUUAAAUUUAAUUUUAAUUUAUAAAUCUAUUGAAUAUUAAUUUUAAUUUUAAUAAAAUUGAUGGCACAUAAAAGUCGAUAUUUGAUUAAUGAAAAAAUGAAAUUAAUAAAAAAUAGAACAAAAUAUAUUAAUGAAAAAAAUACUCGGAUUUCGAAUUCACUAGAAAUCAAUUUCGACAUUAAAAAAUCAAUAAGAUCUAUAAUUUAUCAAGUUAGGUUGAAGACCUUAAAAUUUCAUCUAAACUGAUAUUUAAUUUUACUUUAAAUUUAAAUCCAUUAAAAUCUCAAAUUAUGAAUCUUAAUUCCUUUGAUCAAUUAUUCACAAUUAAACUUAAUUUAUCUUUAACUACCUUCUAAUAGAUCUUAUAAUGAAACUAUCUCAUCUUAUCAAUAUUAAAUAUUUGGCGAAUUUCUUAUAAACCCAAUGUUAAGUGGACAUGAUCUCAUGUUCUAUAUUCAGAGUUGAACACUAAAAGUAAUGACAUUAAAUCUACUCAGAACUUUCAGUCUUAAAAAAUAUGCAUGGAAUUAAACCAUUCUAUUGAUGAACUUCAUCAUUUGAUUGGAAAUUAAACUUAUGUCCUAUAUAAUAUUCUUCAUUUAUGUCAUUCUUCUCUUUUUUUGGUAAACACAGUUUCACUAGACAAAUAAAGAAAAACCAAUUACCCUACAAAGCAGAGAAAAAUAAACAAUGAAUAUGUAACUCCUAAAAGUAGCUUGUCCUUGAAAAUGGACCAAUUAAUUUUACACUUAACAUAGUUGGCAAGUAGGAAAGUGAACCAAGCUACAUUUUAAAUUUCAGAAACAAAGAAGCAAUGCAAUCUGUACAACAGUGGACCAUCACGUUUGUAAACACGUUUAUUAUUUUUUAACAUAUAAUUUAGAAUUCAAGAAAUAAUCCAAUUACCACUAAAAAUUACAAACUAAAACUAGUUCAAAAUGAAUAUUAUUUCUUCUCUAGACUUCAUUUUAUUUUUUAUCAAUUUUUAUACUAAACAAAUGAACUUCAAAUAAUGCAUUAGAUCAAUUAAUGAGUAAAUUUUUAAAAAUAAUUUGGAACUAAAAAAUAUGCUUAGUAAAUACCAAAAAGUGAUUAGACCAAAACUAUUUUAGAAUGAGUCACAACUUUGGUAGUGCAUGUAAUUAUAUUUUUAUGAAUUUUUUCGUUAAGCAAAUAAAUUCAAAAUGAAGUGAGAUUUCAUGUUUUAGUUUUUUUAAAAAAUAAAUCUAUUAAUUUUUAAGAAUAAUAUGAAAUAUGUAAAAUUUAUCCAAUUACUUACAUAUUGAAUCAAUAUCAGGUAGCUCCUAUAUGUUCUAGGUUUGGGACCAGGUCAGGGGAAGGCUUCUACGGACCUGAGUUGUUGACGCCUUGUCAAGUGAAAAUUUGGUGAGGGGACCUGGUCAAGAAGAAGAGUCUUCCAAAAUUGACGCCUUCACAUAAAUCCUUUUCAUCACUAGGUUCACGAAAAUGCUCAAUUGUGAGGAAUAAGAAACAAUGGGAACCUAACAUCCAUACCAUACCCCUAAAGUCAUGAAGCCUCAAGUUUGAGGAAUUCAUUGAUUAAUUAAAUACUAUUAACAAGCAUACACAAAUUUUUGUUUGAUCUUUUAUACUGACAAAUUUUAAGAUAUGGGGCUUUGACUAAAAAAUCUCAACAAUGGGUAUGAACAUUUGGAUACAACAAAAUAGAAGGAAAAACUAUAGAAUAUUUAAUUAAACAUCAUUAAAAAAAAAUAAAAAUAUUUUUAAUGAGAACUCUGUUUUUAUUUUUAUUUUUUUGCUGUUAUCUUUAUCCUUUGUUUCUUAUUCCCAAAUAUUUUUAUAAAAAUACACUACCAACAAAAUCAAAAUUUUAAUAUAAUUAUAUUUUAAGGUUAAUUUCACUCACAUCCCCCUAGGAUUUGGCUAAAUACACUUUAUCCCCAUUGAUUUGAAAUUUCAUUAAAUAGGAGGAGAGGUGACUGAAAAUAAUACUUAUUUUUUAAUAAGAGAUGAGGUGACUGAAAAUAACAAAUGAGAAAAAUAAGGGAGAUAUUUGAUCAAAUUUUAAACCAAUAAGGAUUAAGUGUACUUAACCAAAACUUCUAAGAAAACUAAUGAAAUUAACCCUUAUCUUUUAAGAAAGUUGAAAAUAUAAAUAAAUUAAUUAAAAUCAAAUGACUUGCUUUAAAGCAAAAUAGGAGUAUCAUAUAAGGAUCUCAUACCAACACUCAUAUCAUGUCAUGUCCAUACCAAUACAAUGGAUGAAACUAGAAGAUGCAAGUACCAAAGGAGCACCAUAUGCAACUUGCUUAGCUUGAUUAAGACAUCUGAACUUUGCAUGUCUUUUACUUGGGUUGGGUGUUUUGGCCACAUAAGACUAAGAGAGGGAAAAAUUAACAAGGCAUGGAGUUCCAAACCCUUCAAGAACACAUCCAAAGGGGUAGCUAAAGUUUGAAUAUAUAUAUAUAUAUAUAUAUAUAUAUAUAUAUAUAUAUAUAUAUAUAUAUAUAUAUAUAUAUAUAUAUAUAUAUAUAUAUAUAUAUAUAUAUAUAUAUAUAUAUAUAUANNNNNNNNNNNNNNNNNNNNNNNNNNNNNNNNNNNNNNNNNNNNNNNNNNNNNNNNNNNNNNNNNNNNNNNNNNNNNNNNNNNNNNNNNNNNNNNNNNNNNNNNNNNNNNNNNNNNNNNNNNNNNNNNNNNNNNNNNNNNNNNNNNNNNAUAUAUAUAUAUAUAUAUAUAUAUUUGAGUAUUUAAUGCAGCAUGACACACAAAAGUGAAUUUUUUAGGGUAUUGAACCACUUGGAAAGGUCUAGCUCUCUAUUAAGAAAGCUUGAAUUCAACCAAAAUAUUCAUAAGUAGAUAAUGAACAUUUGGAUACAACAAAAUAGAAGGAAAAACUAUAGAAUAUUUAAUUAAACAUCAUUAAAAAAAACAAAAAUAUUUUUAAUGAGAACUCUGUUUUUAUUUUUAUUUUUUUGCUUUUAUCUUUAUCAUUUGUUUCUUAUUCCCAAAUAUUUUCAUAAAAAUACACUACCAACAAAAUCAAAAUUUUAAUAUAAUUAUCUUCUAAGGUUAAUUUCACUCACAUCCCCCCAGAAUUUGGCUAAAUACACUUUAUCUCCAUUGAUUUGAAAUUUCAUUAAAUAAGAGGAGAGGUGACUGAAAAUAAUACUUAUUUUCUAAUAAGAGAUGAGGUGACUGAAAAUAAUAAAUAAGAAAAAUAAGGGAGAUAUUUGAUCAAAUUUUAAACCAAUAAGGAUUAAGUGUACUUAACUAAAACUUCUAAGAAAACGAAUGAAAUUAACCCUUAUCUUUUAAGAAAGUUGAAAAUAUAAAUAAAUAAAUUAAAAUCAAAUGACUUGCUUUAAAGCAAAAUAUGAGUAUCAUAUAAGGAUCUCAUACCAACACUCAUAUCAUGUCAUGUCCAUACAAAUACAAUGGAUGAAACUAGAAGAUGUAGGUACCAAAGGAGCAUCAUAUGCAACUUGCUUAGCUUGAUUAAGACAUCUGAACUUUGCAUGUCCUUUACUUGGGUUGGGUGUUUUGGCCACAUAAGACUAAGAAAGGGCAAAUUUAACAAGGCAUGGAGUUCCAAACCCUUCAAGAACACAUCCAAAGGGGUAGCUGAAGUUUGAAUAAAUAUAUAUAUAUAUAUAUCUAUAUAUAUAUAUAUAUAUAUAUAUAUAUAUAUAUAUAUAUAUAUAUAUAUAUAUAUAAUUUGAGUAUUUAAUGCAUCCAUGGCACACGGAAGUGAAUUUUUUAGGGUGUUGAACCACCUGGAAAGGUCUAGCUCUCUAUUAAGGAAGCUUGAAUUCAACGCAAAUAUUCAUUAGUAGAUCCCAACUUAGAGAAAAUACAAAUCCAUUCUUAAUUUUAUUUUUGGUUAUUUAGGAUAAAUAUUCUCCUGUUUUAUUUUCAAGUGGUCUAAAAUUUAUAGUAAGAUUAAAUAUCUUUUGUAGGAAGCCUUGCAAUAUGAUUAACUCAUCUGUGGGAAGUCCUAUAACUACUUAAUUUAUGUUCGAUUCUUUACAUGGUUACUUUACUUUGAAGCUCAUGUUGUUGGAUUGGGGUGUCAGGUUCUAAGGACCAGAUGCAAGAAGAAGAGUCUUCCAAAAUUCAAGCCCUCACAAAAAUCUUUUUCAGCACUAGGUUCACGAAGAUGCCCAAUUGUGAGGAAUAAAAAAUCUCCUAGCUUAAGAUAAAUCUAACCCUUGAAAAGUGGAGUACUCCUAUUUUUUCUACUCUUAUAACAAAAAUCACCGCUCCUCUCGUUCAUUUUUUGAGUUUUUUUUUUACAGUGGUUCCCUCUAUUUUUGGUAUCUUUAACAAAAAAAAAUUCAUGCUGGCCCCCAUUCCAUAUCUGUUUUCUUACCAAAAAAACUUUUUUUUCUUUCUGAUAAGCUCACAAUAAAAAAAAAAAAAAAAAUAUCAAACACAUCUUUACCAAAUAGAACCUAAACACAUAUAUAACAACAACAACAACAAUGUGAAAACCAAAUGGAUUACAAAAAAAAUUAAAAUUUACGAUAAACUGAAAAACUCAUAAAUCGUACCUGACCAAUGACUUCCAAACUUUGAAUUUGAGCCAAGGAUGCAAUGGGAAGGAUGAAACCCUAAAGAGACGAAACCCUAAAGGAAAUAAAGGUAACUGCAAAAAUGAAUAAACCUAAUCGGGAAAGGGGGAAAAGGUAAAGGAAAGUUAUAGCCGUAGUUGGUGACUACGACUUUGACUGUUUUUAAAAAUAGUCAAAGCCGUAGUUACCAACUACGGUUUUAUGACGUGACAAUCUACGUGGCGCAGACACAUUAGAUUGGGCAUUAUUUUAGAAAUGGGGGUACUUUAUGGAUUUUUUUUAAAACGUAGUCUUUUGGGUCAAAGCUUGAAUGAAAGAGGAUAUAUUCACAAGGUAAGUCUUCAUGCAUGUAAUCAUGAUAUGGAUAGGCACCACACUUCUUAACAACCACUCAAUUCUCAUGUAGACCUACAUCAUGCUACUACAAGGCUUCACUCCCCCUUAACUUACUCCACCACCACAUUUUUAUUCUAAAUAUUUCAAGCAAUGGGAAAUCAUGGUCCCAAUAAGAAAGAAUUACUCUUCAUGGCUCACUCCAUCAUGGUGUCAAUUCAAGCAAAACAAAGUUAGUCUUUAGCUUAGGAAGACUAGAGUCAACUAGAUAAGGAAAAUAAAAAAAUAGAGUCCUAAACUCACAUCAACCAUGGCCAUGGAACUAUAAAUUCUCAUCUUCAGCUAAGUAAUUGAUUGAAAUUUAAAUAAAAAUGAUGCAACAUGAAUUGAAACUAAGCAUUAAACUAAAAGUUAAGAAUUUUGAACCUAGAAGUAGAACAAACUCAAAAGAUAAAAAUGACUUGGAAAGCCUAGGACAAUGGACUAACAAAUGCUACCAUAACUAAAAUCCACAAGCCAUCAAAGCUUUUUGAACUGUUUAAAGACUUGAUUGUUGUUGUUGAAACUUGAAAUAUAUAGGUAUUUAUGAGUGAAGAGGCUCCUCUGGCUUGCUUGCUCCCGUCUUUUUAUAAAAGCCAACCUCUAUUAUCAUUGGUUGCAUUACUUGUAUGAAGUACAACUUGGUUAGUAGAUCUUGAUCUUAGUCUUGCUCAUGAGUUGCAAAAUAUUAAGCUUCCGAUAAAGAUGAGACAUCCUCUCCCCCUACUCAGUCAUGGAAUGAAGAGUUGCAAAUGCAAAAUUUAGUGAGAUGAAAAAAAUAAGUUGCGAAGUUUGAAUUUUCUCAUGUUUAUUGUUUAGUUUUUCAUUAUUGAAAUAGAAGGCAAUAGGUUAUAAUGGUUCCAAAUUUAUAAUCAUUUGUGAAAUAUGAAUGAGAAUCUAAGUAUUAAUUAAAAAGCAAGUUACACAAAUUAACACGAAAUAUGGGAUGAAAAAUAAUAAGUCCUAUAUUUUAGAUUGACUAUACACACAGUUUAUAUAGGAAAUUACAAGAGAAUAAAUAGGAAACAAGAGACAUAAUAGGAAACUAAUUUAUUCCUAAAUAAAAAAAUUAUCUAACUGAAUCCCUCAAUUUAAGGGAUUUUAAAAUAAUUCUCCUAUUCUAUUUACAACUCAAUUACAACCUAUUUACAACUCAACACUCCCCCUCAAGCUGAGGAAUAGAUGUUUUCCAUUCCCAACUUGAAUACAAGAUUGUAAAACAUUGAACUGUUCAACCCUUUUGUUAGGAUAUCAGCUAAUUGAUGUUUUGAUGGAACAUAGGACAUACACACUACUCCUUCCUCCAAUUUUUCUUUGAUGAAAUGUCUAUCAAUCUCAAUAUGUUUUGUCCUAUCGUGUUGUAUAGGGUUAUGAGCAAUAUUGAUAGUUGACUUGUUGUCACAAUAGAGCUUCAUAGGACCAACCCACUUGAUUCUCAAAUCAUCUAGAAUAAUCUUCAGUCAAAAUAGUUCACACAACUCUUGAGCAAUGACCCUAAACUCUAAUUCUGCAAAUGACCUUGCUACCACAUUCUACUUUUUACUUCUCCAUGUUACCAUAUUACCUCCAAGAAAAGUACAAUAUCUUGUAGUUAAUCUUCGAUCCACUAGGAAACCUGCAUAGUCAGCGUUGGUGUAUGCAUCUAGAGUAAGAGUAUUGUUCUUCUUGAACAAAAUUCCUUUCUCGGGGUUGCCUUUCAAGUAAUGCAGCAACUUGAAGAUGAGGUUCUCUUAGAUCAUGCAUGAAUUGAUUGAUCACGCUCACUGAGUAAGCGAUGUCUGGCUGAGUGUGAGCAAGGUAUAUGAGCCUACCAACUAGCCUCUAGUACAUUCUUUUAUCCAUCAAUGGUUCUUCUUUAGCUUUUCUCAACUUGUGGUAUGGAUCUAUUGGGGUGGAGACUAGUUUACACCCAAUAUUCCUUGUUUUUGCCAAUAAAUCAGUCACAUACUUCUUUUUAUAGAUGAAGAUCCCUUGUGUGGAAUAUGCCACCUUAAUACCGAGGAAUUCAGUUUCCCUAGUUCCUUUAUCUCAAACUCUGUUGUUAAUCUCCGUUUCACUUCAUGUUUUUCUCUCUCAUCAUUUCUAGUCAUUAUGAUGUCGUCAACAUAGACCAAAAGAGCAGUUACUUCCCUUCUAUUCGAGUGCUUAAUGAAGAGAGUGUGGUCACCUUGGCUUUGUUUGUACCCAGACUCUUUCAUGACUUUUGCAAAUCUCCCAAACCAAGCCCUAAGAGAUUGUUUUAGUCUAUAAAGGGCCUUUUUUAGCUUACACAUCUUGUUACCUGUGUUUCCCUCAAAUCCUGGUGGGAUGUUCAUGUAAAUUUUUUCAUCUAAAUCACCAUGAAGAAAUACAUUCUUAACAUCAUACUGUAGGAGUUGCCAAUUGUAGUGGGCAGUUAGUGACCGCAGGAUUCUUACAGUAUUCAUUUUUGCAACUGGAGCAAAAGUCUCCUGAUAAUCAACUCCAUAAGUUUGAGCGUAUCCUUUGGCUACCAAUCUUGCUUUAUGCCUCUCAAGAGAUCCAUUAGCCUUAUAUUUCAGUGUGAAAAUCCACUUACAAUCAACAAUAUUUUUUCUCUUUUGGUCUUUCAACAAUCUCCUAUGUUUUAUUCUUUUCUAAUGCACUCAUCUCCUCUCUCAUAACAUCCCUUCAUUCCCUUUUUGUCACUGUCUCAUAAAUAGCGUUAAGGAUGAUAGUGGUGUUUAAACUCACAAUGAAAUUCUUGUGGGCUGGUGAUAGGUGCUUAAGAGACACAUAGAGUGAUAGUGGAUAGAGUGGUCAGUUAGUGCAUUCUUUGGUGCCUUUUUUGACAACAAUGGGAAGGUCUAGGUUUAGGUUGUCUGUUGAGUCAGUGGAAGUUUCACCAGGUUGUGUAUGUAAAGGUGGGUCUGAUCUUACCGUGAUUUCAUUUUCAGUGUCUGAGUUGGAUUCUUGGACCUGCUUUUGUUUUGGAAUGGCCUUUUCCCUUGAAUACACCUUAGGAAACUGUGGAAAAUUGCGAGUGACACUAGAUGGAACAAGGGAUGACACGGGUUCAGUGGUAAAAUUGGGUGACUCAGGUGUGAUUGGCUCGGAUGACUCAAGUUUUUCAUCACCAUGGGCUGAGACAUGAGGAAGGUCAAGAGGUUCACAAGACUCACAAAGACUAUCUUCCAUCAUUGAAAUCUCCCCCUUAAAAGAGGACUUGGGGAAAAAAAGGUUUAUUUUCUAUGAAGGUGACAUCUACAGAGAUGUAAAAUUUUCUACCUAAGGGAUUGUAACACUUGUAUCCUUUUUGAGUGAAUGAGUAACCAAGAAAGACACAUUUUAUGGCUCGGGGGUCUAGCUUGUCUCUAUGUUUGCUGUAGACAUGAACAAAUGCAGUGCACCCAAAUACCCCAGGAGUGAGCCCAUUUGAGGUUCUGAAGUGUGGAUAGAAACUCUUAAGUAUCUCUACGGGGCUUUUGUUGUCUAACACUCAUGAGGGAAUUCUAUUUAUCAUGUAUGUGGCAAUAAGAACAGCUUCCCCCCAAUAGGACUUAGGAACAUUCCCUUGAAAGAGUAAGACUUGAGUUGUGUUGAGUAAAUGUCUAUUUUUCAUCUCGACUACCCCAUUUUGUUGGGGUGUGUUAACACAUGAUGAGUCAUGGAGAAUGCCCUAUGAUUGAAAAUAGGGUGACAAAAUCUGGUUAAAGUAAUCUCUAACUUUGUUUGCCCUAAAGUUUUUUAUUUUAACCCCAAAUUGGUUUUGAACCAUUGAGUGGAAAUUAAGUAUAACAAUGCUAACAUCAAAUUUUUGUUUAAGAAGAAAGAUCCAUGUAACCCGAGUGCAAUCAUCAAUUAAGGAUACAAACCAACGAGCCCUAUAAACAUUAGGUAUAGUCGAAGGACCCCAUAUGUCACUAUGAAUCAAAUGAAAAAGAAUAAGAACUUUUAUUGUUGAUAAGAAAAGAUACACAAGUAUGUUUUUCCAAUUCACAAGUUUCGUAAUGAAACUCAGAAAUAUCUAAUCCUUGGAACAAAUAAGGAAACAUGACCUUUAAAACCCUAAAAGAUGGAUCACCUAGAUGUAGGUGAUACAACCAAAUGGUCUCUUUAUUUGACUAAUUGAGAGAAGACAACAACAAAUUAUUACUAGUUUUCUGAGAUGAUUCAAGGUGGUAAAGACCACUCAUUUCCUUAGUAAGUCCAAUCCUCUUCCCCGAGCCUUGUUCCUGAAAAACACAAUAAGAAGGGAAAAAAUAGCAUAACAUUUAAGAUCAUGGGUAAGUUUUUUAAUGGAAACAAGGUUGGCCGACAAUUUUGGUACAUGGAAGACAUUUUUAAUAAUAAGGGUAGGUGUGAUGUAUAUGUCUCCGAAACCUGCGACGGUAGCUAAAGAGCCAUUGGCCACUGUAAUUUUCUUGUUACUUGGGCUUGGGGUAUAGGUAUGGAAAAGUUGAGAUUUAGAGGUCAUAUGGUCUGUGGCACUGGAGUCUAUUAUCCAAGAGUCAUCAUAAACCCUGUGUGAGGCAUUUAUGCAAAAAGAGAAUGAAGGUGUACCUGAAAGAGCCAAAGAACAAGUUCCAGUAGGUUUGUUAAGUGAUCCCAACAAGUUUCUCAGCUUCUCCAUUUCUUCACUAUUGAACCCGCCUGUUGCUGAAUUUUCCUCAGUUUUGGUCUGCUCUGCCAUAUGUGCUUGAGUCCUUUACUGUCCUCCAUGGUUUCCCCAUUCACGACUUGGUGGCUUACCAUUCCGCUUCCAACACUUCUCUUUUGUGUGCCUUGGUUUCUUAUAAUAGGUGAAAUCUUGUUCUCCUUCCACUGAUUGUCUCUACCUAAGUGUUUAGGCAGAUCAUUCUUUCCUUGCUUUGAAUAUUCUGUUUUUGCAACUAGGGUUGAUUCAUCCAAGGUUUGUGGUUCAAGCAUAACACUCAUUCGGCUUUCCUCGCCUCGAAUUAGUUCUACCACCUCGUUAAAGCACGGAACCUCCUACUUGCCAAGAAUUUGGAUUCUCACUUGAUCAAAUUUUGGGUUAAGCCCAACAAGAAAAUCAGACUCUAUCUUGUUGAAUGAAAUCCUUUAGAACAACGGCAUCGUCAGGACAUUUGGUUUUUAUCACCUUAUAAUGAUCAAGUUCUUGCCACAAAGCUUUCAAUUGAUUGGCAUAUUCAGUAACUGUUUUACUUCCCUAUUUUGCAACAAUCGUCUUCACCUUAACCUCAUAUACUUGAACCACAUCUCUAGCUUUUGAAUAUGUCUAUUGGAUUAUGUCCCAAAUAUCCUUAGUUGUAGCUAAGAACAUACAUGUGUCACUAAUCUUAAGAGUCAUAGAAUUCCACAGUCAUGCCAUAAUCAUAGAAUCUUCUUCAUCCCAUGCUUAAAAAUGGGGAUCUCCUGGUUUCGGCCCUGUACCCAUAAGAUGGUUGAUCUUCUCUUUCCCUUUCAGCAUAGUGCGAACAAGUUGAGACCAUUUAAGUUAAUUUUUUCCAUCCAGCCUAUACGCAACCUGAAUGUUUUGGAAAUCCCUAGGUUGUUGAGAUCGAACAAUCUACUUCGAUUGUGUUGUAGCAGUCGUCUCUACAAUCUCCGACAUCUUCCACGAAAAACCUGAUCUCUUGGGAAUUAAGGUAGAUUGCGAAACAAAAAACCAGCAGCAAUGAAGGCUGGUAAAAGAACACGUGAAAUACUCUGUUUUGCCUUCAGAAAGCAAAACAAAGCAGAAAAAGAAAACGUGAAUAAAAAAAUAAAAAAAUAAAAAAAAUCCAACUAUGAAGGCCAGAAAAAAUGGCGAUGAAGGUCAAAAUGAUGCCCAAAUUUUAAAAACUUACUACUCUGAUACCAUGACACAAAAUAUGGGUUGAAAAAUAAUAAGUUCUAUAUUUUAGAUUGACUAUACACACAGUUUAAAUAGGAGAUUACAAGAAAAGAAAUAGGAAACAAGAGACAUAAUAGGAAACUAACUUAUUCCUAAAUUAGAAAACUAUCUAACUCAAUCCCUCAAUUUAAGGGAUUUUAAAAUAAUUUUCCUAUUCUAUUUAUAGCUCAAUUACAGUCUAUUUACAGCUCGACACAAACAACUAAUUAAGCAAACAUGAAUGAGACUCGUUUUUUCUAUUUUAAAAAUAAUAAUAAUAAUUUUAUGUAAAAGAGAAAUAAUAGAAUACAUGUAUUUUUCUAUUAUUUUUAAAAUUUGAUGAAAACAACUUUUACUUAUUCUUUAGAAGUUGUUCUCUAUUUCACUUUGUUUUUAAAAACUAAAAACAAAAAAUAAUUACCAAAAAUUGUUAUGAAUUUUUAAAAACAGAAAACUGUUUUUAAAAACUCCAUCAAACAAGCUCUUAGUUUUCAUUUGGAUACAUUUCACUUUUUCUAUUUUUAAAAUAAAAAAAUAAUAGUAACUUUUAUACAAGAUACAAAGAAAGAAAUUAAAAAAUAACAUUAACUUUAAAUGUUUUUAGAAAGUUUAGUUUUCAUUUGGAUAUAUAUUGUCUUUUCUAUUUUUAAAAUCGAAAAAUAAUAGUGACUUUUAUAUAAAAUAUAAAAACUUCUGGUCUAGUUUUCCGUUAUUUUCCUAAUAAAAUUUUAUUUCAAAAACUCAAUUAUGGAAAUUAGUUUUUGGGUUUUAUUCUAUAGAUAGCGGCUAUAUAUAGGAUAAAAGUUGUCAAAAUAUUCUUUACAUUUUUAAUUAUUUUUAGAAAGUUAUCUAAUAAGCUACAAAUGUAUGAUAAGGACUGUAACGGCUACCAAUUUUGAAAAUUCCUAAUCUGAAAUGACUAUAAUAACCAUUAGUUUGUCUUAUAAGAAAAAUGCCCAACACCCUAUAAUUAAUUUUUAUACUUACCAUAAGGAUUAUAACAUGAUAGAAAAAUACUCAAAUAUUUUUUCUCAUAACUUGUAAGGGCUUAAUAUUUUAUUUUUUAUUUUUCAUUUUUUACAAUAUUAAUAAUAAAUUUUUAAAAGCUACAUCUUGAACAAAAAUGAUACACAAUUUGAUUAUUUAUUUAAAAUUAAAUCAAAAGCAAUCUUAUUGAAAUUAUUUUACAUUUAAUCAAUACAAAAGUUACAACCUUUAUGAGUUUUCAAAUAUUUAAAAUAAUAAUAAUUAUAACUAAAUGUAAUCUUUUUUUAAAAUAAAAAAUAUUAACAAUUUUUCAAUGCAAUUAGGCUUUUUAUAAGAGAACUAUGUGAUACAAAUAUAUUAAAAGAAUGAGGCAAAUAGAUUAAAAAUAUGAUACUAUAUGAAUAUUAUUUUUCUAGCGCAAACUAAUACUUAUCCAUUUGUUUUCAUAGACAUUAAAAGUACUUUUUAACAUUCUCAUGAUACUUAGGUUUAUUAUAAAAAUACACAAAUACAUUAAAACUAUUAUGACUUACAAUACAAACCAAUAUAGCAUGAUAAAACACCUCCAAAACAAAUUAGAUUUAUGGUAAAAGCCAACUACAACACCAAUGUAUUGAAUAUAUAUUAGACGUCGUGCACAGGCCACGUCUAAUGACUGCCUCCAAAAAAGCAUAAGGGUUUUUUUUUUGUAAAAAUCAUAUGUGACAUUCAAUAUUAAUAUUUAAUAAUAAUAACAAACUGGCAAAAUUAAGGGGGGCAAUAGGGUAAAAUGAUAAAAAGAAAAGGACAUGAUUGAAAUUGUAGUGUGGUCAAGUUUUCAAAAUUCCUUUUAAGGAUUUUGGAUAUGGAAUCUGAAGGAAUUAGCAAACUUGAUGACCCUUUUUAUAAACAAUAUUUGAGAGCACCUCAAAAUUAUUCUUACAAAAUGACAUUUCAAUACAAAAUUUAUUAAUAUGUUUUUGAAGUUAAAAAAACAAGAAACCGAUCUCAAAAACAGAAUAUGUAGAUGAUGACAUGUGCUUAGAGAGACAAAUUAUUCCUUAGGGUAGAGAAUUGGAAGCAUUUGCUUCCUCAUUAUUUCCCCCCUGUAAUCCUCAGGUUAAAAAACCCCUUAAAUAUGCAUUAAACCUCUUACCAAAAAAUUGAAAAUAAUAUUUUGAUUGAAAAAAUAACAAUGGGAUGUCAAAAAUGGAAGAAAAUCUCAACCAACUCACCCUAUUAAAUUGAUUGAACAUUCUAAAAAUCUCCUGCCCAAGAUUUGACCUGACAAAUAUGCACAGAUAAAAGAUGCCAUUCCAUUUUCUUCUUGAAAGCUUUAUGUCCAAAGUUUCAAAGAUGGUAAACCUUGUUAGCCCACAAUUGGAAGGAAAAAAAAAAAAAAGGGAAGAAACAAAACAUAAGGUGCCCAAAAUUUAAUGACCUUAAUCCAAAUCUUAUAAGCGAUCAAUAUUCCAACUAGGAUAUGCAAAUUCAUAAUCUUCUGAUAUCAAGAUUGGAAUCUCUUCAACUCUAUAUAUAACAAUGGUUUUUUGAGGCAAGAGAAGCCAACUUCAUUCCAUAUUCUUUUCUCCUCUCUAACUAUUUUUGCCUGCAUCAUGACUAGAAAGAAGGUGAAGCUUGCAUACAUCACUAAUGAUUCUGCAAGAAAAGCAACAUUCAAGAAAAGGAAGAAGGGUCUGAUGAAGAAGGUGAGUGAGUUGAGCACUCUCUGUGGGAUUGAUGCCUGUGCCAUCCUUUAUAGCCCAUAUGACUCUCAGCCUGAAGUCUGGCCUUCCCCUUUGGGAGUCCAACGUGUGCUUGCCCAUUUCAAGAAGAUGCCUGAGAUGGAGCAAAGCAAGAAGAUGGUCAACCAGGAGAGCUUCCUCAGGCAAAGGAUAGCAAAAGGCAAUGAGCAGCUCAAGAAACAGCGCAAGGACAACCGCGAAAAGGAGAUUACUCAAGUCAUGUACCAGAGCUUGACUGGUAAGGGCCUGCAGAAUCUCAAUAUAGUUGAUUUGAAUGAUCUUGGGUGGAUGAUUGACCAGAACUUGAAGGAUAUUCACAAGAGGAUUGAGUCUCUCAACAAAGAGGCUCAGUCCCAGGCAGCAGCAGCGGCCGCAGCUGCAGCAGGACAACUGAUAAAGACUGGAGGGAAAGCACAGGAGGAGAAACCAGCCUUUGACAGCAUGGAUGCCAUUCAGAGGCAGCAGUGGUUCGUUGACUUGGUGAACCCCAAUGAGCAGAUGGGCUUUGCUGGAGAUGACAUGAUGCUGCCAUUUGGGGACAACAACCACAACGCUCUCUGGCCUAAUGGCUUUUUCCCUUGAUUGCAUCAGCAAUGGGGUUCUUGAUCAUUUCUAGCACAUGUUUUUAGUGUUUUAGCCUAAGAUGAUCAGGGUUGUUUUCAGUUUCUGUUUUCUGUCCAUGGUAGUAGGAUUAUCUCCACAGUCUUUAGCUAUCUAUGAUUAGUUUUCUGAUCUCUCACGUGUUUAUCUCUUUAUGACCCCAAAUUCUGUAUCAUCAUGGCAUCAAAGACAGCACGAUGGCAAUCACAGGCAGGCAAAUAAUGUCUAAGAACUAAGGUCUUAAUUUGAAUGUCUCUAUAUUAAUGGUCACAACCCUGUUGUGACAAAUUUCUUAAGAAUUGAGUUUCCAUUUAUUGGAAUUUCCCUUUUCCAUCUCUUUUAAAUGAUAAAGACCAUUGUUGUUGAAAAUUUGAAAUGCUUAAGCAUUAAGGAAGACAAGUCAGGUCCAUUAUGUUUUUUAUGCCAUUUGACAGAGAAUCCAAGCCCUCACCAAAAUGACGACACUUGAAUGGUAGAAAAUUGAACACUUUGUCAUAAAAACCAACGCGUCCAAAUGCCCCAUUAAUGAAUUAUCAUCGACGUAUUUGUAUUUACAUCGCACCAUGAGUUGUACCUUGGCAUGCCAAACUAUGUACUUGAUCAUCAUAUAUAUGAUGUUGGCUGUCAAUGUGGCCAUGAAAAUUUCAUCCUUUCUGUCAUAUGCAGAAGGAGAGGCCUUUUCUGCAUUCACAAGGACUCAAUUCCUCUGUGUUGUUUCUCAUUCAGAACACAUGAUGAACGUGGAAAACUCAAUACAGAAUGCCCUUGUGGUUGGAAGUUUAAGCAUGUUUUAAGAAAAGGUGAAAACUCUUAUCAAGUACAGCAUAAUGGAUAUUCCCCACCAUCAGAUUUUGUUGUUUAUUCGACAGAUCCACAGGAUUUCAUUUCAAAAAAUUCCCAUAAAUAAGAUGUCUGACCAAAUAUUCACCUUAUCAUGGAGCAAAUCAAUUAAUUAAUUCCUGCAUGUGAUAGGCAUGGUAGUUACCAUAUGUUCUUGAACCCAACAAAAUGACCAUGUUUGCUGUCAUCCAUCUCAUUGCAAUCAUAGAGAUAUUUCCCAUGAAUGGCUGUGGGCUUGAUGAUGAUCUAGUGAGAUAGAAUUCAAACAAUAAAUUGCAAAAAAUCUGGGGUUUUCCAUAAAAGCAAUGUACAAAUCAAACACCAUUUAAGACCAUUUUUACGAUAUGGAGUUUCUCCCUUUGUUACACAUAGAAGGCAUCUAAAUUAAUAGCAAAGAAAAAGGACAGACACUGACCUUGACCAUAGGGUUUGGUACUUCCAACUACUUCGAAGGACUAAUGCUCAUCUUUUGCUCUCCGAUAGCCGCGGCAAGUUUCUUUGUACAUGUAGACAUAAAAAAAUUAGUGGAUUAAAUUACCACUAAUUUGGUCUUCUAAAAAAAAAAAAUCAUCUUAUGGAUAAGUCUCUCUCAUCUCCAACUAUAAAAAGGAUAAUAAUAAUAAUAAUAAAAUAUUAUUAUUAUCAUUAUCUUAUUGGUAAAACCUCCCGGAUAAGAAAAUUCGCUAAAAUUAUGGAACUAAAUCUCUUGAAUUAAGCAACUAAAAUUGAGGAUUCUGAAAUUCAAAUUCUCUAUCUUCACCUAUAAAUAGAGGUGUCUUCCAUCAAGAGAAAAAAAAAUUCAGAAAUCAGGAAGGAAAUUCUGGAGAGGAAAAAAAAAAUAGAGAGAGGAAAAUCCUAAGGAGAAAAUCCAAAGGUAACUUCGUAUAGGAGAAGGGGCUUCACAACAAUAGAGAGCUUCAUCAAAUCUCCUUGCAAGUUCAGUAAACAGCAAAAGAACUAAUACAAUCGUUCUUUGCCAUUCAACAAGGUCAUUCGAGAAUAAGUCAUUUGUGGCCCUCGAUUGAUCUCUGAAAUCAAGAAAACGUCAUCAUCGUCUUCCGAAGUGUGAUCAAAUCAAAAGAAUCAGCGGGAAAAAUAUUCUUUUGGAAAGAAUAUUAUUUAUUUAUGAGAUUGUACCUGCACUACAUUUUUAAAUUUAAUAAAUCAUUUGUUUGCAUUAAUUUUUCUAUUUUUAUUUUGUUAAUUUUUACAGGAUAAAAAUUUACGAAAUUUGUGCAUACAAAUUUCUGGCACACCCGGUGGGACCUCUCUGCCUCUCAUCUCUUUUGUUAGAAGAUUGAUCUCUACUACGUCGAUGGCACCCAAAAGAACUCAAGUUGUGCAUGACAACAAGGGCAAUGAUAAGAUCGUCAUUGCACAAUCAACACAUGACACCACUACGGGCCCCAUGACUCAUAGCAAAGCAAAAUCAACAUCUUCGCUCUCAACAAAACAAACAAGUGAGUCUGCUUGUUUUCCAAAAUCGGUAAGGACCCAUGAUGAGCAUCAACCUCUCAUCACCUUGGCCUCUUUGGGGGCAAAGAGCCAUAGUCCUCGUAGCAGGGGAAAACUCUCUUCAACACUAAGGGACUUUGGGGAUAAAUCUCCUUGCUCUGUUACUGACGCCAACUCCAGCACUGGCUCAUACUCCGGAUCGCCAACCAGAAUGUCAAAGGAGGAAAAAUACUCCAAUCAUUCUGACUCUUUUACUUCUCCCUUCUCGAUGACCAUGCCGGUAAUGGCGACCGACACUACAUCCGUAGAGGAACAAUUAGCAGAGAUGGCUCGCGCCAUCGCCAAACUCACCAAGACGGUUGAGGAGAAGGAUAUGCAGAUAGCCUCUCUCGUAAACAAGGUUGAGACACAAGUACAAAAUGCGGGUGAGUCAAGUCACGGACUCAACCACCCUCCGAUUGUUGCAUCUCCUCUCGAUGAUGCACCACAUACGUAUAAGACAAUGCAAUGUGAGAGACAAACGACGGAAUCUGCCUCAGUGGCUUCAUUAUCUGUCCAACAACUUCAGGACAUGAUAACUAACACCAUUAGGGCGCAGUACGGUGGACCCUCAUAGAGUACGCUCAUGUACUCUAAACCUUACACUAAGAGGAUUGAUGACCUACGUAUGCCUAUGGGUUAUCAACCUCCAAAAUUUCAAUCAUUUGAUGGAAAAGGCAAUCCAAAACAACAUGUUGCCCAUUUCGUUGAAACUUGUAACAAUGCAGGUACAGAUGGUGACUUAUUAGUUAAACAAUUCGUCCGUUCUCUUCGAGAGAAUGCUUUCGAUUGGUACAUAGACCUUGCACCAGAGUGUAUCGAUAGUUGGGACCAAAUGGAACGUGAAUUCCUCAACCGUUUCUAUAGCACCCGACGAAUUGUAAGUAUGAUGGAACUUACUAACACUAAGCAAUGGAAAGAUGAACCGGUUGUAGACUAUAUUAACCGUUGGCGUUCCUUAAGCCUUGACUGCAAAGAUAGAUUAUCGGAGGUAUCAGCCGUGGAGAUGUGCAUACAAGGAAUGCAUUGGGGUCUCCUAUACAUUCUCCAAGGGAUAUGACCCCGUACCUUUGAAGAAUUAGCUACCCGAGCACAUGACAUGGAGCUCAGCAUAGCCAACCAUGAUGCUAAAAAUGACCUUAUCAUUAACCAGCAAAGAUAAAGACACAAUGGGAAAGCAAGUGAUAAGAUUUCAAUAAAACCCAUCCAGGAGUCAAUGACGGUAAAUGUGACUCUUGCGCGAGAUAAAAAGAAAGAAGUAACAGAGGCUAGACCAACCCAAGAAAAUGAGAGGUGUCGGUUCACCUUGAAGGAAUUAGAGGAGAAGAGGUAUCCUUUUCCUGACUUUAAUGUGCCUAGCAUGUUGGAAGACCUGCUUCAGAAAAAAUUUAUUAAGAUACUUGAGUGCAAACGUCCAAAAGAAAUUGGUCGUCUUAAUGAUCCGAACUAUUGUCAUUACCAUCGAAUCGUCGGUCACCCGGUAGAGAAAUGUUUCAUCUUAAAAGAUCUUAUAAUGAAACUUGAAAAACAAGGAAGAAUUCAUCUGGAUCUUGAUGAAGUAGUAGAGUCAAAUCAUGCUACAGCCAUAUUUGGGUCCCUCGAUCCUAUUUCGUUACAUGUUCCACUUAAGAAACUGGGGGCAUGUGCCAAUACUAUUCAAUAUGAGUCAUUGAAACCAAAGCAAACACAAGUGUCGUGUCAAGAUAGCUUUCUUCACCUUUGCUUUGAUAAUAAAUCAAUGUCAUAUGACAAAAAAGGUUGGACAUUGGUGGCACAAAGAAUACCUCACAAGAAGCAAGAAUCUCAUCCCUACCCAAAUCUUCCUAUGAAGGAACAAUGUAAGCAAAAUAUUCAUCGAUAUGCGAAGAAGAAAGAAGAAAAGAAACCUAAAAGAAAACAAGCGAUUGUACAGGUUGAUGAUCUCUUGGUACAAAAACUCAUCACCCCUAUCACCUUAGAAGAAUACUUCCCUCAUGAGUUCUUCAAUAGAGGGAUGGUGACAUCAACUCAUAUGGUCUCUUAUCAUGAGAUUUCGAAAGAAGAUGAGUCAAGUAAAGAUGAAGAAAACGCUUUCGGUGUAGAGCCAAGCAAAACCAAGGAAGAUGAUGAGAUACAUAGGAAUCCAUCACUUUAUGCCACAAAAAUAAAGGAGGCAAAACGAUUUGAAGACAAAGGCCACGAUUGUGCGACAUGUUGUGCAAACAUCACCUACACCAGCGGCGAUGAAAAUGGCGUGACAUCAAAUUUUACCACAAUUGUUUUCAAACCUCGGCAUUCCAGUUAUGCUCCUUAAAGCAUGAGCCUAAACUGCAUAUUGCUCCUAUCCUACAAGAACUUAAACUGUAGUAAAAAAAAAAAAAAAAUCAUUCUUAGCAAACUUCUUAAACUGAGGAACAAACCCUUUGUAUUAAAGAAGUCAAAUUCGGAGAUUCCAAACUAAAAUCUCUAACUUCUCUACAUACAAGUGUUCUUUCCUUUCAGCAUGACGCGUUCUCAAAAGGGCGAUGCAACCUAGAAGCUAAAUAAAAAAAAUGAAGCUUCAAAAGUCAAAAUCAAAUUCCAAACAUUCUUCUACAAGCUCGUGGAAGAAUAUCAAACACAAACAAAAGUGUCAUUCAUCCACCUUCAAAGCUAAAGAAGACAAUGAUGGGUUCUUCAAAACACUUGAGGAAAUUGUUGAUAAGUUUACUUGAGAGCAAGUCAUCAUUGACCCUCAAUUAAAUUUUGCUCCAAGAACACGUGGUUACCACCUUUGGAUUAAAAUCAAGUCCAAGCUUGACACAUUCUUCAACAAGCUCGUGGAAGAAUAUCAAACACAAACAAAAGUGUCAUUCAUCCACCUUCAAAGCUAAAGAAGACAAGGAUGGGUUCUUCAAAGCACUUGAGGAAAUUGUUGAUAAGUUUACUUGAGAGCAAGUCAUCAUUGACCCUUAAUUAAAUUUUGCUCCAAGAACACGUGGUUACCACCCUUGGAUUAAAAUCAAGUCCAAGCUUGACACAUUCUUCAACAAGCUCGUGGAAGAAUAUCAAACACAAUACAAAAGUGUCAUUCAUCCACUUUUAAGAUUGAAGAAAAUCAAGACAAAGGACUUCUUUUGUUCUCCAAAAUGCUUAAGAAAUAUCUUCAUAAGUUUGGUUGAGAAUAAAUCAUCUUUGACCCUCAAUUAAACUUUAUUCCAAGGACGUGAAUUUAUCAUCCUUCAAUCAAACUCAAGACAAGUGAUACUCCUGACCCGCAUGAGCAUAAACUACAUACGACACAUAAAAAAAAAAAAAUGGAACUACGUUUGACUUGAUUCCCUCUCUUUGAAUGGUACGUAGGCAACUCGAGGAAACCACUCGAAUUCAGUCACUACUACACAAAAAAAAAAAAAAAAAUUAUUACUUUAAGACUCACCCUAUCUACAUGACAAUGCAUGUACGUGAUGAGUCUUGAAGUGGGGGCAUUUGUAGACAUAAAAAAAUUAGUGGAUUAAAUUACCACUAAUUUGGUCUUCUAAAAAAAAAUCAUCUUAUAGAUAAGUCUCUCUCAUCUCCAACUAUAAAAAGGAUAAUAAUAAUAACAAUAAAAUUAUUAUUAUUAUUAUUAUUAUCUUGUUGGUAAAACCUCCCGGAUAAGAAAAUUUGCUAAAAUUAAGGAACUAAAUCCCUUGAAUUAAGCAACUAAAAUUGGGGAUUCUGAAAUUCAAAUUCUCUAUCUUCACCUAUAAAUAGAGGUGUUUUCCAUCAAGAAAAAGAAAAAUUCAAAAAUCAGGAAGGAAAUUCUGGAGAGGAAAAAAAAUUGGAGAGAGGAAAAUCCUAAGGAGAAAAUCCAAAAGUAACUUCGUAUAGGAGAAGGGGCUUCACAACAAUAGAGAGCUUCAUCAAAUCUCCUUGCAAGUUCAGUAAACAGCAAAAGAACUAAUACAAUCGUUCUUUACCAUUCAACAAGGUCAUUCGAGAAUAAGCCAUUUGUGGCCCUCGAUUGAUCUCUGAAAUCAAGAAAACGUCAUCGUCGUCUUCCAAAGUGUGAUCAAGUCAAAAGAAUCAGAGGGAAAAAUAUUCUUUUGGAAAGAAUAUUAUUUAUUUUUGAGAUUGUACUCGCACUACAUUUUUAAAUUUAAUAAAUCAUUUGUUCACACUAUUUUUCAUAUUUUAUUUUGCUAAUUUCGCAAGAUAAAAUUUUACGAAAUUUGUGCGUAUAGUACAUAUCAAUCAAAAUUCUAUAGGUGAGUUAUCAUCCAACUUCUAUAGCGGAUCCCCCUUUGCUUCUCCUAAAAGGCUGGAUAUAGUGUACUGUAGAUUCGAUAUUGAGAGUCAUUUGGUAGUGAUUUUAAAUAGCGCUUGUAGUCUUUCUUAUACUUGAAAAUUUUUAUUUUUCAAGUAUUAGAAAUAUUAGAAACAUUUUUUAGAAUCACAAGCACUUUGAAUUUAAGAUGGUAAGAAAAGAAAAAUCUUCAAGUGUAAUUUUACAAGCUGUACACCAAUUUUCUCUUGCUAACUAUUCUAGAAGGCUAAUUCUUUUUGACUUGACCAUUGGAUUUCCACAUGUAUAGGAUAAGGGCAUUCACCAUAUUUGAUUUUAUUUGUAACAAGUCUUUAUAACCAUCGUUGGAUGAUAAAAAAGGGGAAAAGUUUGAUUAAAUGUUAAAAAAAAUUAUAAAUUAAUUAUUAUUAUUAUUAUUGUAGUAAAACAUAUUUCACCAUAAAUUUUAUUUCAUGGGAAAAGAUUGAUCUUUCAGAAUUUUCUUUUAUGGUAAAAAAGUUACAUAUUGCUAUAUACUUAUUUAUGGUGAAGAAAAAUAUGUUGUCGCAAAUUUCAUUUGGCCGACUUAAAACAACAAACUCAGCCACAAAUAAUUUUUUUGUGUAAAAAAUUCUUCUAUCACAAAAUACUCUCUUUUAAUCACAAAUUAAUUUAUGGUAAAACCCUAUAUUUGAUGUAGUGUUUUCAGGCUCCUCAAUAUUGAUUGUGUUUAGAGGCUAAGUCCCCUUCAAAAUUGACAACUUUCUGAGUCCCAACUCCAACACAAUCUAAGUCGUCUUCACAGCCAUAUGCGCAAAAAUCAACACGCCGAGUGAUAUACUGUUCAUGGAACUAGGACCAUGGAAAUAUCACGGUACUGCUCAAGUUGCUACUAACAUAACUGUCUAUCACAAAUAAGGAUGCAUGUUUGGUCUCAUUUGAAUUCAUACAAGAAUCUCCCCUUUAUAAUUGUGCAUUGACCCGAUUCUCCUUUGAUCACGGUAGACCAGUAGAAGGUGGGGAAUCCAAUUUUAGCGCAUGCCCAUCACUAGCUUUGCUUGCAUUACUUCAAUGGUAAACAAUGAAUCUUUUACUUGGACAACAAGGAUGCACAUAUGAAUGGACCAAGAAUCACAAAAUAUAGAGAAAGCUAGGAGAAAUUUCGAUCUAGUUGGGGCCAUUCAAAAUUUUACUUUCAAGGAGGCUUAGUCUAAGUCCAUUGAUCAAUAGUUGCUAGGGAAUUUCAAUUCCUUAAGUUUGAAGAUUCUAAAAUAAGGUCAAGGCUUCGCGGGUAGGCUACAUAGUUAUUUUAUUGACUGGUCUAGAAAGGUGUAACAUUUCUUAGAAUUGUAUUAGGUAAAAGAUUGACUAGAUUCGUUCAGCUGAAGAACAAGAAAACUGUAACAUAUCGCCUUAGCUUCCAAAAAAGUGUCUGAUAAUGUUUGCAUAAUAAACUAGUAGAAACUGGAGGAUCUUGAAGAUUUUAAGUCUCUUAAGAGACAAGCAAGUGAGAUAUCAUAUCUUUUUCUAAUGAAAGAAGUCAUUACAAAUUCAGGUGCAAGAAUCCGAUCUUCCUGUACUGUUUGCUAAAGGAUUUCUGGUGGGACCAAUGUUUUGGGAAAGAACAUAUUUGAAUAUGACACGUAUCUUAAUUUAUAUGCAAAUGUUGUCGAAGUCAUUGGACCUAUCUUCAUGCAUUGCUACUAAAUUCCAAAAACUUCAAAGGUGAAGGCAAGAGAACAUUGUAAAACUGAAGAAAAGCUAAGGGAGGCUUUAGUCAUUAGUGGAGUAGAAAGGAGAAUUUAGGAGGCUUAAAACCAUCAGUUGUGCAAAUCCAAUCACAUGGUAGAGCCACCCAAAAAGGAACUUAGAAAAGGGAUCCAAGGAAAAGGGAACUUCAUGCAUGAACUUACUCAGAUGGCUCUCCUUCCAUUCAUCUAAAUGAAAAAGCCUACAUAAGCCAGUGUACUUUAGCCUGGCACGGCUAGUAGCUUCCUCAACACUUUGUUUCAUUACUGUUCGAAAGAGAAGGAACCAGUUAGAGAUGAGAAUCCUCCAACCAUGGCUAAAACUAGGGUAUAGGGUGUGUACUGUCUUCUAAUAAUUCAGCUUUCACCUUCUUAGGAUUGACACUUACAGUGUUUGAUUAACAUGGUCUAGUUGAAACUAGCAAAAAAGGCCAAAUCCACAAGAAAAUUAGACUUGAAUGGCAGGACAGGAGUCGCAAAAGCUACUCCAAUUGUUAUGCUUAAACACAACAAAUGAGACUCAAGCCAAGGACUGUGUAUGUUAUCCACUAAAAAUUAAAUAAAAUCCAUCACAUUAUAGAGAGAAUAUUGACAAUAAUAGCAUGAUUCAUUUUGAGCUCAAACACAAGGAUAGGGACUGAUUGAUAAGUUCAAGCUUUUUAGAUUCAAAGAUCAAUCACAUGCGUAGAAGUCUAGGAUGCCGAAUGCCAAAUAUUUCUAAUUUGUCAACAUUAUUCUUGAUUCACUGCUACCACGGCCUACUUUUCUUGGGGUUGUUCUAAUGUUUAUUGUCAGUGUCUUAAAGCCAACUUUUCAAAAUAAUUGGGGUUUUUAACGAGUCUAGAACAGGGUUCUAGUUUUUUCACAUGCUCUUGUUGAUUCUUCACUGCUACCACGGUCUACUUUUCUUGGGGUUGUUCAUAAUGUUUAUUGUCAGUGUCUCAAAGCCAACUUUUCAAAAUAAUUGGGGUUUUUAACGAGUCUGGAACUGGGUUCUAGUUUUUUCACAUGCUCUUGUUGAUUCUUCACUGCUACCACGGCCUACUUUUCUUGGGGUUGUUCAUAAUGUUUAUUGUCAGUGUCUCAAUGCCAACUUUUCAAAAUAAUUGGGGUUUUUAACGAGUCUAGAACAGGGUUCUAGUUUUUUCACAUUCUCUUGUUGAUUCUUCACUUCUACCACGGCCUACUUUUCUUGGGGUUGUUCGUAAUGUUUAUUGUCAGUGUCUCAAAGCCAACUUUUCAAAAUAAUUGGGGUUUUUAACGAGUCUAGAACAGGGUUCUAGUUUUUUCACAUGCUCUUGUCUGUAGGCUCAUUAGUUUUGUUCUCCUAUUUUUCAUUCCUUUUUCUAUUGACACCGUUUGUUAUUGAAACUCUUCACUCAUCUUUGAAAAAUGAUUAUACUUGUGAAGCAUGGAUUAGCAAAGAACUGAACGAAAAAUAGUACCGUGUAUAGAAGGAAUAUAAGCUAAAAGAAAGGAGAAAAAGGGGGCGGGUUGUUACAGACUCUAGCCCAGAAAAAGUUAAAGGCUGAGAAGAAAGAUAUGUGGAAUGUCCAAUAAUUUCUCUGGGAGAAACCACAACCCCUCUUCUUGAGAAUGUCCUAGAUUCCAAAAAUCAGAGGCACUGUAAGGUUCUUUAGCCAGUAUCUUACUCUGGGAAACAAAAAACUUAAGAAGUAACUUGGUAAAAUAUACCCAACACUGGAGUACCAUAGUUGUAAGUAACUUGAUCCCAUGACAGUUAUUGUACUCCUCUCAAAAAUGCAUUCAAGAACCUUUCUUACUGCCCAAAACCUGUGAUAAUAGCAUAAACUUAAAAACUCUGUUCUUUGUGGUCCUAAGUUUUAUUGGUGGAUGUUGAUCACCCCAUUGUAGACUCUGUUGAUAGUUUAGGGUUGCGAUGAGCCUUCUGGUUUGUUGCAGCUAAUAAGAAGAAUGAGGCCAUUGGAACUGUCCCAAGUUGUUAGAAUCCUUGUUAACAUUGACACAAUCAAAAACCUCAGUAAGGAUGAAUCCCAAAGAGACCAUAUAAACACACUCUUAUCUCUGCAAAGAAGCAAAAAGCUUGCAACAAAUCUUUGUAUUAUGGUUCACAAAUUAGAAAUACUGCUUAAUUUCAAGUAGUUUCAUUGCAAUAUGAGGGAUAGUAGCACAACGACCAGACUGCUAUGCCUUAAAUCCAGUUAUUUUCAGUCAUUAAUGUUUUAAGAGCAGUAGCUUGGGCCUAUAUAUUAAGAAGUUUCUUGAUAUCUGCAGGCUUUCCUGGAUUAUGCCUUCAACAGAAUUAUGCACUUGAGCUAUAGCACCAUCACCCUUGCAAGGAUAGAGCCAUGCUCAUAACAAGAAUGCCAAGUCAUUUAGAAAUCCUAUUACAAAGCUAAAAACUAUUGGCAGAAACCGAAACGGCAAUAAAGAUAAACUCAAUUUGAUAUAUAACAGUACUGAUUUGAUAUAUACAGAGGAGGGGAGGAGAGCUUGAAUAUAAAACAACACCUCUUACAUAUUAUUGUCCACAAACUAGAAACAACAAACUCAAUUUGAAUAAUAAGUAAGACAAAACAAAUGAAGACGCAGAGGCUCCUGGCAUUCAGUUUGCAGCUGCAAUCCGACUACGUUUCUCGUGGAACUUGUCGAUGAAAGCCGAAGCUUCCUUGUCAAUAGAAGGCUCAGUUAUCCAGCGUACCCCGCCACUAGGCCAUACCUUUUGCAUGUUUGGUGAUUCAUCAUUGGUGUACUUCACUUUCUGAGACCCCUUUGAUUUGAAGAGGCUGAAAACAGAGAAAGAAGAAGAAGACUUCUUCUGCCUGUUGUUGCCUCCCAUGCUUCUUCGCCUCUUCCUUUUUUGCUGUAAUGAAAACUCAAGUAAGAAGGAAGUUGCAGUGCUCUGUCUUGGUUUUCCAAUGCCAAGAAGCUCACCUGUAUUUAUAGCUGGUGAUCACAGGGUGGAGAAUCUGGGGAGUUCAAGUCUAGAACGAUAGAUAUCGAUGGUCCAAAUUGAAUGAAAUGACAAGCCAAGAAAGCAAAGAAAUGAAACAAUGUUGGUAAAACUUGGGCAAAGCACGUGUGCUACGGUCCUCCACUUUCAUAUUUAUGGCAAGCAGCCUGCUGGGAUGUUGAAUUACUACGCUUGUGGUCCCUCCUUUCACCGUGAAAGAAAAAAAUUAAUCGGCGC